rnacentral:lncRNA from 1 species
GUUAGCUUACUAAUCUACUUAAAAGUUUUGGAAUUUGAAUUCUGUCUUGUGUAUCUAGCAAUUUAUUAGCUAGCAAAUAGCAACAAAUCUUUAAAUGAAGCUCAAAGUGCGGCAGAUUAGUCGUUGGCCUGCCGCCUGCCAGGUCGGGGAUACCAGGGUAAGAAACAAAAAGAGACCGAAGGUAGUAGCAGCACAGGCAAAGACAAUUGGAAGAAGGAAUAAAAACGAAAAAUAAUGAAAUUACUUCAUUUUAAUUCUAUUAUUUUAACAACUGUUCCAAUUCUCCAGAUACUAUUUUAUUUAAAUCCAAUUCAAGUCAAUUACAUUCAGGUUAAUUCAAAUCAUUUCCAACCAUAAUCAUGCGAUCAAAUCUAUAAUGAGACUAAGAUAUAAUAGGGUGAUAUAUAUUACUUUUAUGUAUAUUAUUUUUGUAUAAUCGGUGUUUUUAGUAUUAAAAAUGAUUCAAAAAAAUAAAAUUAUCUUUUAUACUAGAAAAAAAUAAUUUAAUUUUGAUACGCACGUUGUUAAUGUAAAGUUGUUUUAAUUUAUAUUUGCAUCUAAUUCAUCUAAUUAUGAUGUAAGCAAAAGUAAUAAUUAUUUUUUAUAUUAAUAGCAUGAAUGGUUAUUUAGAAAAAUAGAUCUGAUUGGAUGAUUGCAAAAAACAUUUUACAUUAUUAGUGAAUCAAAAUUAAACUCUAAAAAUAAUAUGAAAAAGUUAUUUGAAUCUCAUUUUGAUAAUCUGAUCCACUAUAUAACUAAAAAGUAAUAAAAAAAACAAAAAGUAACAUACACUAAACAUAUCGUCACACAACAAAAGGUCCAUCUAAUUGUGUAAUAAUAUAUGUAUGUACUAGUCAUAAGUCAAGCACUGAACGUCAAAGUUCACAUUUCGUUUUCUUAACACAAACACACUGAAUUACUUCGUCAUCAUCCUCACAUUGUUAGCUAUCUUCCCCGUUCGGUUUGUUUGUAUGGUUCUUUAAUGAGACCAAUACAACCCCUGAAGAAGCAUAAAAAAAUAAAGCAUAUUGAAGUGUUCCAAUGAGACAAAAAAGGUGCAGCGAAGAACGACAAGAAUGCGAUGAUGGUGACAGCAAGGAAACUGAUCGGAGAAGACUUGAUGCGUGAGGAACCAUUAGAAGGAGUAGUUGGAGGGAGUGCACACUCUUCACCAUUGAAGUAAACCUUCGUUGGGAAUGCAUCUCUUCUGAUGUUGAAUUUCUUGGCAUGCUUCUUCUUGAAGGACAGCACGGAUUGCUGCUUCCCCGGCACGUGUGGGUCACCGAUGCGGCUUCCGUUGGUGAGUCCCACCAAAUAGUUCAAACCCUUAAAUCCUUGAAGGAAGACGGUUCUAAGGCCUGGGAUUCUGGUUCCGUUGAAGGAGUAAACUUCAUCGAAAUCUCUGAAAGAAUUGUUGUGGAACUGAAGAGCAGUGAACCAAUCAUCGAAGGCGUAGCGCUCCCAGUUGAAAAGCGUGAUCCUUGCUGUCCAUCCAGUUUUGUAGUCGGAGUUGACGUGCCAGUUGAUGCUAACGGGACAGUUAUCGCCGCAAGGCAUCCGUUUGGGAAUCUUGAAAUGCUUCAUCUUGGCCCACGCUUUCAUCUUGGCGGUUCUGUUAACAAACGGAACGAGAAGCGCGUCGGGUGGAAUAAGCAUGGGUGGUGCCUUUGCGUUGCAUUGCUGGUAACCGUCACAACCGCCACAAGCGCAAGUGUUGCAGGGGAUGGCGGAUUCGUUGUAGAAUGCAGAGAAUGAGACGCAGCACCUUGUUUUCUGAGGCUGUGGCUUUGUCAUGUUGCAAACGAUGUGCCAACUUGCGACGGCGGUGUGAAUAGCCUGGAGACCUGAUGGGUCAGGGUACUCUGCGGGGUCCACUCUGACCGGUGGGCCGCACUUGUAGUGGGGGUUGAUGACGCCGUCGAUCUUCCAUUUCAUGGGUGGUGUGAGUGCUGUUCUGUUGUUAUCUGGUGGAAUCUUGAAAACUUGGAGCUGGAACAUUGACCUGGCUUGGUUCCUAUCCAUCACAGGUGAUAGCACUGUGCCAUUCCUGCAGCACCAUGGUAGCUUCCCCACCUUUUCAUCGUCUUUUCUCUCAGAAGGAAGAUCAGAGAUAAUGGGCCUCUUCUCGCAAUUGGCGACUUGGGUGAAAUCAAAGUCCCUGUAGUACUGGCCUGCAGGGCCAUACAAGCAUUCCGAAGGGUCCUUGACGCGCGCGAAGGCACCUUUCAUGCUGUAGAUGAACUCGCCCCUCUGCCAUUCCCACGUGAGGUUCCAGUGGUCCAGCCGCCCCAACGGGUGGUUGUUUUGGAUGGUCACCUCAGCAUAGUAGCUCGUCUGGUAAGCUUGUAGAACGUCGUAUGAAAUGGUUAAAUCCCCUUUGCCACGUGAUGGGUACUUUGUCUUCUUAAGUGCCAAUGCCUUCGCUUUAGGGUCUUUUCUACAACACACUAUCAUUGUUGACCCUGCAUCAUGCAUCCACAAACAUACACAAUCAUUUCAAAUCUUGUUUCAUCAUAAUAAGCCAAAUUUUGCUAGUUUACAGAAAAUUAAAUUAAUAAACAAUUUAAUGGUCUUAGGCAUGGGGGACAUACCUCUGCGAGAAGAGGCGGGACACUUGAAGCCACUAUUGAUAAGCUUAAUGGUCUUAGGCAUAGGGGUGGCGCCAUCACCAAGACCGAACUGUGAUCCUUUCAUUCCAACUCUCACCGACAUUUGAGUAAAAUCAUUAGCCGUCAAGAUCGCAGUCUUUAGAUCCACCAUUGGGUUUCCGGCGAUCGUGGUGCCGUUCCCUACGGCAGCCGGGAAGUCCUCGGCGUCGAUGGGGACGGCGCCGUCCAUGGAAACCAAUAUUUCUCGGUGUUGGAACCCAAUGUACAUCCUCCAGCCCUUCACCUCCUCGUCACCGACGUUUGUAAUCGUGGCUUGGGACGUGAAGGCAUAUGCUUGAUUUGACUUGUUCUUCACGAAUGGGUAUUCCUUCUCGCGUGAUAUCAGCGUGUAUGUUAGGAACACGCCAUUGCAGACCUGCAGUUCUGCUGGUGGAGGCGGAGGAGCUGGAAUUACCUCAACGUCGGUCGCUGGUGCAGCUGUGGUCACGACGGCCCCCUUGACAGGCUUGGCCUUUUUGACGGCGACCCCGUCUGCAUCAUCUGUAGCCGCAGCUGCUGCUUUUCCAGCCGCGAGAAGGACCAAAGCUCAAAAAGAGAAACAGGAAUAUCAAGAGUAGGGUUGUGUACGUGGAAGCUGCUUUCCUUUUAGCAACUUCCAUCGUUCUCCUUAAAAUAUCUGAUCAAUGUUUUUUUUUUAUUUUAUUGUGGGCUAGGAUGAAGAGAGGUGGUGAUAAUAGCGGCAAUGAUGGUUAUAGGAAAAUAUCGCCGCCGGAGACGGCGAAGCCGAGUGGGAAAGGUUAGGAAGUGAAUAAGGAAAACGGUUAAUAUAUGAAUUUAGGAGAACCUUGUGAUGGUGGAGCUUUGUGCCGCUGGUUUUUGCGGUUGUUUCGGAGAACAGGCCGGUAUUGUGAAUGUGAUAUUUUUGGUAAAAAAAAUAAAGAUUGCACGCUAUGCAUGCAUGGUAUUAGUGGGUGAGAAAAUCUAGCGUAUAAUAUAUAUGUGGAUUAUUAACAGGUUGAUAAGGAACAGGGUCCUAUUAAAUGAGGUGAACAUAUAAAUGUGUAUCUUUAAAACGACAUGAGUAAAGCCUAAAUAUGGAAGUUUAUGUUUUUUUCGUCUAUCUAUAUAUGUAAAAUGGUGUAGAAAACGUUAAUUCGGGUGAAGCGGAAAUUUGUGUGCAAUGUAACUAAUAGGUUGUAAAUAAUUUAAUUUCAAACCAUCAACUUUGGUGUUCUUUUCUUUUCGUUUUUUUUUUUAAUCAACGGCUGUCAAAUUUGGCAGUUUGUUAUAAUACUUUGUCUUUUGGUUUUAUUGUCUAUUUUUGGGUAGGCAGCUCCUAUUCUUAUUACAGACUCGGUGGGUACAAAUGUUCAAUUGGUUAAAACGGUUUACCACUCUCCUUGAGCGAAUGGAGUAUAGUAUUAUUAAAAACUAAUUAAACUAAUUUUCCAAGCUAAAGUAUUUGUUACAUGAUAAGGUGACAGUUUUGUCGGUUAGUUAGUUAGGUGUUCACUUGGUCGUAAAGAAAACUAAUUCAAGUAGAAGUUUUAUGUUAUUGAGUUUUAUAUUUUCCUGCUACCCAAAAUAUAAUUACUUUCAAAAAGCAUUUGUUUUCAAAUUUUAUAAAAUUUAUUCUCAAUAUCGAUUAUUUAAGAAUAAUAUUAUUUACAUAUAUUUGUUAAACUUUGGUCAAAACAUUUUCGAAUAUCAACCAUUCCCGAAAGAGUUGAAAUUUCAAGAGUUGUGCUGUAAAAAAUUCAAGAUAAUUUUGUUUUGUAACGGGUUAAGAAUGGAAGAUUGAAAAUUCCUCAGAUAAAACAAUACUAAAAUAUUUCUUUAUAAUUAGUGCUAUAUAUUAUUUGCAUUAUUACGCACAUAAGGAUAUAUUUUAUUUUUAAUUUAAUAAAUACUAUGCGAGAAUCACAUGUUACGGAACAAAGAAGGAAAUUUCUGAAAAAUACUUUCUGAAAACGAAACGUGGAAACUUCCCAUCUAUGUAUUUCCUUUCUUUCCAUACAAAUUUUGGCAGAAAAGAACAUUCAAAUUUUCAGUUAUAUACUAAAGCUGAUCAAAGUCAUGUACUAACUCCUAUUCAGUAUAACAUGAAUGCAACUUUUCUUUUCUGAUGUACAUCACAUGAUUUCCUUCACCAAGUAGUCAAAAACUAUGUCAGAUUCAGUUGACAGUUAUCUCGUCCAAAUUACUAAUGUCCUCUGUGAAUUGAGUUUUUGGCUCUAAAUCAAUGAACUGGUUCGAUUUACUAGCUAGGUGUGAAAUGCUAACUCUUCCCUGCCGCUUAACAUAAUCAGCAACAGCUUUCAUUUCUUCCUGCGAGAUGUAUAUGUAUUUCCCUCUAUCAUCCAUCACACCCGAAAGCCGGCCUGGUGCUCAAAAAUAAAUUAAUUAGGCUUUUGCAGGAAUCCACAAUAUCUAAGACAAUAGAUGCAAAAAAACCACCAUUUCAACAAUACAUGAAUUUUAGUUUUGUGGAACUGAAUCUAAGUGACAUGAUGAUCAUGGUAAUCGUGAUUAGAAGAACAUUGAUCUCCCUAAUAGCUGUUAUAUUUAGCAAUAAGCCAAAACACGGAGAGGGGGCCACAGUGCUGUUUUAUAUAAGCCUAAGCAUGUGAUGAAAACAUAUUAACAUUUUUGAAAUCAGGUACACGAUUUAAAUUGAUUUCCACAUAUUCAAAAGUUUUCCUUCUCCAUAACAAAAAUUUGGAGUUACACAGACUUGCAAAAGAAAUGCAGUACUUAAUUUAUUGUAGAAAUGCUUACAAAUGGAACGAUGUCAAGAAUGUAUAAAUUUUAACUUCUUUCAAGAUGCAUGCAAUGAAUUUAAGAGCAAGGCUCUUACCCAUACUUUCCAGAUUGGUGAUGCGGUUGAUACAUUCCUGCAUUAGUUGAGCAUGUUGUCAAGAAGGAAGUCCAUGGAAAAAUAUAUAAAUGAAGGCAAAACUAUAACAAUUUGAUUCAUCUACUGAUAUGUUGCGUUAAUGUUGAGUCAAACAAGGUAUACAUAUUGCUUUAUUACCUAGAGAGCUUAAAAAGGGAUCCAAAACCCAUGAAAUGUUAUGGUGAACAGGAUUUUUGUUUCUGGUUUCUUUUUGUGAAAGGAGGGAAGGGAGUAGAGGAAGCCUGACUUUCUAAUAUAUCCUUUCACUUUUCUGUCUUUUGCCUCGCAUUAAAUUAUACUGAGUGGAAAUUAGAUAGUGGGAAUUUAAUGGUCAGUAAAGUUGGUGGCUUAUGAUGUAUAUGGGUCACCAUACACUCUAGUGGCAUGCAUCACUACAAAUAGAAGUAUAGGAUCAGCUUAUGUAUAACCUAAUAUUAAUAAUUUGUGAAUUGGCAUGUGUUCUCAGUCAGAUAUCCUUUUGUAACACUCCAAAUCAAUAAACUUAUCAGCACAGCAUAAUUAUUAUGUUAUAAUGCUUUCUCCCAGUAACACUUAUAUUACAUUUAGUGUAGGAAAAACUAAAGGGGCAACUGAUGGAAUAUAAAGGCUAAUUCAGAUAAAGAUUAGGAAAUAAGGAAUACCUGCGUUCGCAACUUAAAUUCUGCAGCAAGAUCUUCUAAGGGAACACAUUUCUGCUUCUGAAUAAUUGAAAAAACAAAAAAGAAUUAGAAUAGCUACAAAACCUAUAUUCAAAGGUGAUGCGAAUCCUAGUUAAUGCUGAAUAUAUAAAUUUUGACAAAUUUAGUAAGGGGGAAAAAGUAAGUGUAGAAAACACAACAGAUCAGAGAAUAACCUGUAUAUAUUCAACAAAAUUGGAUAGCAAGUCUUCAGUACCAUCCUGUUCUUCUUCAAGGGUACCUUCAUCAUCAACUGAAAAUUCACCUUUCCACUUCUCAAACUCUAUUGCCGCAGCCUCCUCCUCCUUAGCCUUCUGAGCUUUGGCUUCCUCUUCCUGUAUGAAAGUGAAACACGAUAAAGCAUAUGCAUUUUUUCAAUUAAACUGUAAGAAAGUUAACAUCAAAUCAGCAACAAGGCUAUUAACUCACCAACUGACGCUCCUUUGCCUCACGUUCUUCAUCCUUCAACCUCCGCAUCUCUGAGUAACGAUCUUGUUUGGCCUGCUUCGACUCUCGUGCAGCAUCUUCAGCCUUCCAAAAAGAUGUAACACAAUGCAAAUACUACUCAAACUUCAAAGGAAAUGGAAAAACAAGAAUUUCAGUCUAAUAUUCUUCAAAGUCCUUGUAUCCAACUCUCGAUGAUUUACGCAUUUGCUUGGAAAUUGAAGUACAGAUUACAUAUUCUCAAUGCAUCUUAAAUGCACACAGCACAUUUGCUAUACAAGGUGGUAACAAGCCACAUCAGAAAUAACAAUCAAGAGAAAAACUAAUUCAGUAAUUCCUAUUGUUUUUAAGUAUCAAGAUAACUAUAGCCGUCUUUUUUGGUCAAUAUACAUGAUAAGAAAUGGAUACCUGUCGGCGAGCUUCCCUCUCUUGCCUUUUAAUCUCCUUUUUCUUUGCUGCUCUAGCCUCGUAAUUCUCGCCACCAGCAGCUUCAUUCUCACUUUCAUCGCCAGACUCUGUUUGCAUGCCAUGUAUACAAUUGAUCAUUUGAUUUCACAAAUGUGUCAAAGUUUCAAGAUGCAACAUGGAUAUAUGCUUCCAAAAUAUCGGUGUACACAUCAAGUCUUCACAUCACAUACUAACAGCCUAAUGACAAACACCCUAAUUCUCCAUUCUAAUUCGAAUUACAUCUCCUAGAAUUUUAAUUUACAAAAUAAUUGCAUUCAAAUGCAAAGAAAUACGCCCAAACGCAAGUAAAAAUGAAUCAGCUCGAUCCAAAUGUACAACAAACCUUCGGCAGUUGCAGGCGGAGCUGUCGAACUGCUAGCUCCAGAUGCAGCAGGUCUCCGACGCAUUCGGCGGUUUCCGGCUGGGCGCACCACCGCUUCUCUCCGGGGAGCCUGAGGAUUUCGUUAUUACAGUUAAUCUAAGCAAUCCACUUCUAUUUUCAAAAGCUAAAUUUUAUCGAUUCUAGGGUUUUGGAUUGUAGAGGAAAAAAUGAAAAGAGAAUAGAAAAAGUGGAGCACCUGGACCGGUUCAUCGGCGUGAGGAUGUGGUUGAGAAUCCUGGCGGCGUUUCCAUAAGUACAGUGGAAUCAGUGCUACAACCAGAAGCAUCGAAAGUAUAGCUACGAAGAGUUCCUCCAUUGCUGCUGCAGAAUCAGCGCAACGUUUUGGGAUUUUUUUUUCCUUUCCUGUUUUGUUAUUUAUUUGUUUGGUGUUGGGAAAAUUGAUUUUCUGACGUUUCGGGAAAUUUUAUGCGUUAUGAAACAUAUACUUCAAAUAUUGGAUGUAACUUUUUUUUUGUCAAUACAACACAGUGACACACCCUAGUCAGACACAUUACAUAGGACUUGUUUGGGUGAGCUUUUAAAAAAAGAUUUUUUUUUGAAUUAUCUUUUUUUAAAAGAUUUUAUAAAGAAAUAAAAGUAAUUUUAUGUUUGGAUAUCUCAUGUAAAAAGAUCUUUUUAUCUAUCAAUUAUGUUUGGGUAUAACAGUAUAAAAGUACUUUUUUGUUUAUUUAUUACAUGAAAAACAUCUUUUUUUUAAGGAAAAAAAAAUCUUUUAAAAAAAGAUGUAAAUUACAGCUUCUCAAAAAAGAUCUUUUUUUAAUUUUACUAGUGCUUUUACUUUUACUAUUAGAAAUUUGCCAAACACGUUAAAAAAUAAAAAAAGAUCUUUUUUCAUUAAAAAAAGAUAUUUUUUUAACAAAAUAAUGUCGCCCAAACAUGCACAUACUCUGUUUCACCGAGAUUCAAAUCCAUGUGGCAGUUUUAGGAGGCAAUUAUAUUUGCCAUUAGCACAAGCCUCAGCCACAAAUAUUGGAUGUAUUUAGUUGUUGUAACUUAGUUCAGUCAUAAAUUAGUAUUUACUAGUCACUAUAAUCAAUUUUUAUUUUUUAAUGUGUAUAAAAAUUAUUUUGGAUCACUUGAGAGGUUUAUGUACUCGUCCACCUAAAUAAAUAUCAAAAAUUCAAAUAUCAUUUUAAAUUAUUAGCUGAUAACAAAUUCUUACAGUUCUCCGACGCAUUCGGCGGUUUCCGGCUGGGCGCACCACCGCUUCUCUCCGGGGAGCCUGAGGAUUUCGUUAUUACAGUUAAUCUAAGCAAUCCACUUCUAUUUUCAAAAGCUAAAUUUUAUCGAUUCUAGGGUUUUGGAUUGUAGAGGAGAGGUUGAAAUACCAAUAUAUCGAUAUAUUUUAAAUUUUUUCUAUAGUUAAUUCUUGUAUAUCUCUAAACACAUUCAUUAGGACUCUCCUAUCUACAAAAAAGGAAGAGACCUAGGGUGUGUUUGGGGAUCACGUUGAGGAAUAGAAAAGUACGUUUGAGCGUCUUGAACGUUCCAAUAUUAUGUUUGACAAUUUUUUGGAACCCUUAACCCAGAAGUGCUUUCACCUCUGAACGUACGUUCAUGUGAAGCUACAAAUUCAAGCUUCUGCGUUCACGUUAAGAAAAUUAAUUACCGUUGGAGGAAUUAGGUAAGGAAUUUAUUCCAUAUCUACCAACUGUACCCUUCAUUUCAUCUAUAAAAAGGAUACACAUAACCACAUCAUUUCACCAUUAGUUCUCUGUGUGUUCUUCCUCAUUUCACCAUUACUUCUCUGUAUGUUCUUCCUUAUAGUUUUUUUUAGAUUUAUUUUCAUCGCUGCUAAGAUAAAGAUUUUAAUUUUUUUUUAUUAUUUUUAAUUCUUUCUUUCAUAUUUUGAUUUUAGAACAAUGAGUAACAAUGAAUCUCUAAAGACAAAAGCAGCAUGGGACAUAGAGACUACUAAACAAUUUAUCCAAGCAUGUUUAGAUCAAGUUGCUAAACAGCAACGUAAUGGAACCACUCUUACAAAAAAAAGGUUGGAAGGAUGCUUUGUCUCAAUUUAAUGAAAAAACUGGAAAAUAAUAUGAAGAUUCAAUUAAAAAAUAAGUGGGACAAUCUUAAGAAGGAAUGGUCAGCAUGGUACAAGUUUUUUGGCAAAGAAACGGGUUUAGGAUGGGAUUAUAUUAAACAUACCGUUGAUGCACCAAAUGAAUGGUGGGAGAGAAAACAAUUGGUACGUAGUAACUUAUUAUUAAAGCAAAAAAUUUAACUUUAAUUUUGGUAACAAGUCUUGUGUUGAUUAGUUGUACACAUGCAGGAAAAUCUCUUAUAUGAAAAAUUCAGAAAUAAAGGACUUCCUUUUAAAGAUGAGUUAACUAUAUUAUUUAAAGAUGUUAUGGUCGAUGGCAAAUUUGCUUGGGCUCCCUCAUCUGGGAAUGUUACCUAGUGGCAUAGAAGAAUAUGGUGAUUGAUAUCGACCAUACUUUGAGGAAGGUCAUGUUGAUAUAGAAGAAGGUUCCGGAGAUAGUGAAGAAGGUAUAAGUGCUAGUGUGGGAGUUAAUUCUGAAUUUCAACACAUAAAUCUUAGCUCAUCUCAAGAAAAUAAUAGUCAAAAGAGUACGGGAAAAAGAAAGAGAGAUGUGGUUUGUGAAACAACAAAACAGAAAAAAAAUUUUAAAGUCCCUGCCUCAAAGCAAAUUGCGGAUGCAAUAAGUAGAAUUGCCUCUGCAUCUGAAUCACGCUCAACUAUUGUAUCCACAUUUCUAAUACCCGGUGCAUCUAUUGGGAAAGUAAUGGCUGAGAUUCAAAAGAUGGAAAUGAUCACUAGUGAUCCCGAUUUUUAUAGUCAUUGUUGUCAACUAAUGAUGUUUAAGCCUGCUAGAGAAAUGUUUGUAUCCUUAAAAGGAUAUGAGCCAAGAUUGUUGGAUUGGCUCAAACAUGCAGCAUAUAAUUCACUACCAUUCAUGGAAAAUUAAUAUUUUUUUUUUGUGAUUUUUAUGCAAAACUAGUUAAGUUAUUAUUGUACUCCAUUUUAAUUUGUCCAUGAAUUUUUUGUUAUGCUAGGAUAAGACAAUAAAAAAAUUUGUGUGUUGCUUAUUUAGUUAUUUAUCAUUUUAUAUAAUAUUUGUGGUACUUAAUUAUUGUUCUUAUUAUAUAUAAUUUAUUUCUUAGCUUGGUAUUGAUAAGAAUUUAUUUAUAUUCUUAUGUAGGACUUACUUUUUGUUAAUUAAUUUGGAAUGAACAUGGAGUAUUUAUUUGAAGAGUAUGAAAAGGAACAACAUGAAGAAUCAAAAUUACUUUCCAUUAUAGAAGAAGAAAUAGAUGAAAUUGAAAAUAUUUCUGCAUUAAUUGGUCAAUAUGCAGUCAAUUAUCUGUGCAAAAAACCAUGCAGAACUAGUGAACAAACAGGUUAUUUAUGGGUACAAGAAAUUUUAUGUGGUCAUGGCAUUCGUUGUUAUGAAAUGUUUCGGAUGGAAAAACAUGUUUUUUUUCAAUUUUGUGAUGAACUAGUUGAACAUGGAUUAAAAUCUACAAGACAAAUGGGAGUUCAAAAUCUACAAGACAAAUGGGAGUUCAGGAAAUGGUUGCAAUGUUCUUAAAUACGGUUGGUCAUGAAGUGGGUAAUAGGAUGAUACAAGAAAGGUUUCAACAUUCUGGAGAGACAGUAAGUAGACAUUUUCAUGAGGUUACAACUCCUACCAUGAAUUUUCCGCAUCCUCCUCCAGGUUAAUUUUUAUCAUUUUCUUACAAAUAAACUAUAUUUACUUGGUUAUCAUGUAAUUAUUUUUUUUCUUCAUUAGGUAAAUAUUAUUUGGUAGAUGCCGGUUAUCCAACACCGAAAGGAUAUAUUGGUCCAUAUAAAUGUGAGCGCUAUCAUCUUGCAGAUUUUAGGCGUUCUUCUGGAUUCACAAAUCAUAAUGAAGUAUUUAAUUAUUAUCACUCAAGCUUAAGAUGCACAAUAGAAAGGACUUUUGGAGUGUGGAAAAAUAGAUUUGCUAUCUUGCGACACAUGCCCAAGUUCAAAAUUGAAACUCAAGUGCAGAUAGUGUGUGCAACAAUGGCUAUUCAUAAUUUUAUUAGAAGAUAAAAUGAAUUAAUAAGAUUUAUUCAAAUAUCUAAAGUAAAAUAAUAGAAUAAUAUAAAAAAUUAUUUUAAUUGAUGUCUCUUUUAGUAAUUUUUCAUCUAAAAGUAAUUUUGAGUAGUAUAAUCCAAACAACAUUUACUUUACUAUAAUCCAUUUUGACAUAAAUAUUGCCAAACAUAAAUCACCUUAACACAAAUUUACUUUUCAUCAAAAUCAAAUUUGCAAAAUCAAUUCUAUACAAACUCCCCAAACACACACCUAGUGUUACUUGGAAGUACAAACUCCCCAAACACACACCUAGUGUUACUUGGAAGGUUGAGGUGCCGUGAGGCGUCAGCCUUGCAUCGUAGCAAUGGCCUCCCCUUCCCCACACUUGCUAUUCCUCUUCUUCUUUCUCUUUUUUCUCCUAUGUGGUCUGUUUAAAAAAUAAAAAAUAAUUUUUGAUCUUGAGAUAUUUUAAUUAAAAUUUAAGAUAUUUGAUAUUGUUAGUCUAAAAAAUGGCUUUCUAAAAGUAGCUUCCAUUUUGGUCACAAAAAGUAGAGCAUCAGUUAUAAGAAGAUAACUUGCCAAUUUAUAAUAGUUUAUUUAAGAACUUAUGACGACUGGUAAUUGAUGCAAUAAAUAUAAAAUAAAGGAUAAUUUCUUAGGUGCUUCAAAUGCCGGUAGUGGCCAUGGUGGCGGCUAUACGGUCAAUGAUAUAGACACGAAGCCGAAGUCCCACCUGUAUUUCGAACUAUCUUCCACAUUCGCUGUACAUUCGUCAAUGACUCUAUUCAACCCGCACUCACUAUUGCAGUAAUCUUUUAGAAACGAUUAACUCAUGCAACCAUCAGAUCAUCCCAACAGGGGAAUGUUCGGCACAUGAUAUUGAUACCCAUAGCAUAAGUAAAUAAAAACUAACGCAUCCAAGAAUCCGAAUUCCGAUAUGAAUUUAAUGUAGUAAUGGACUCUCCAUAGCUUUGGUUUAUUUAAGAUAAUAGCACUUAAAGUCAUAAAUUCCAUAAUCCCACAUUACAAAUUAUAAGAAAGCACAACAUAAAAAACACCAAUCACAUAUAUGUAUGACUCGCAACGAGCCAGAAAAGACAAACUCAAGAUUCCAGAAGCUCAGAAACCAUGAAUUUUGAUAUGCUCCUUCUUCACGAUACCAGCCUGUCCACGUCCACAAGGGGAGCACAAAAGAAAGGAUUUAAUCAGGUGAAAAAUUAAAAACAAAAAAAAUUCCCAGUAAUUCAUUGGCCACGUUUUCAAUGGAACACACAUAAAUUAAUGUUCACUCACAAGUAUCUUCCACCUUACCUUCUACUACGAGUCUAUGAUAAAUAUGCAACCAUUCAGAACAUCACAUUAUAACCACAUAAUCAAAUAAAUUCUGUAGGGAUUUGGAAAACAGUUCCAGUGCAAAGCAAAAUCAAAAGAAAAUAAAUUCAAAAGAAUUACCAAAAGCAAAAACAACAAAUCCAUUAUCACACAAACAUGCAUACAAAAAAAAGCAAUUAAGCAUAAACAGAAAGAGAAGGAUAACAAACCCGACAAAACCAUGGGGCUCAUAAUAGAUUACUAAAAAACAGUUCAGAAGAACACUUACACAAACUAAUUUGGACUACAGACUAACUGCAUAACACCAAAGAUGGGAGUUAUAGUUACCUGAACUAGGAAGGUAGACACAUUCUUCCUCUGAUCACCUUGAAGUUGAAUAACCUAUUCACGGACGAAAAUGUUAUUUGAAGCAAGGACUAUAUCAUCAUCCAACAAGUAACAAGUGAGUAUCACACGUACCUGCCCUAAUUCUGGGUCCUGAACAACUGUACCAUUGCAACAGAACUCCUUCUUAAGGUCUUUAAGUAUCUUGUUGUAGCUGAAUUCUUUCUUCAAUCCCUGGACAGUUGUCAAGCUUUUCCUACCAUUCCGCUGCUGUAUGCGAAUAUGCACAUACUCUUUUGACCCAGCACCCGAGUCCUCAGCAUUUGCCUCAGCAAAAGGAUCUACAAAGUAUCAUCACACAACCCCAACAAGGGUUCAUAUAUUAUUUACACAAUCAGUCACAAUACAAAUCGUAACCAUGUAUUCCACACCAAAAUACAUCCCAAGUUAUUCAUCAGCAUCAAAAUUUUUCCAACAAACCAAAACACAAAUAAUAAUAAUAAUAACCAAUCCACAUACAACACUUGUACAGAAGUUGCAAGGUAGAACGUACCGAAGGUAGUAGGAAUCUGAGCGUCUAAUUCAGACAUGAACCUUAACUCUCUCUCAGAAACAAAGGUCCUACCAACAGAUUGUUGAAACCUGGAAUCAAAAUCAACAUGUUAGUUCUAUUACUACAACAAAAAGCUCAGCAACAACACAACACAACAUCAUCAAAAAUUAAAAAUCACUUUUUACUAAUCCUCCACAGGUAUACAUCAAAAUCGAAGUUUAGUAAUAAACCACCCAGAUGAUAAAAUCAUUCCAAAUCAGCAGUAACGAGACUUACCCAAAGUUUGAAACCGAAAAUUACCAAGGAGAAAGUAACGGGACCUUAAGAAACACAAAGGGAGCUAUUUUCUUAAGCCUAUAAGAAGGUACAGAAGAUAUUAACCACGAGAAGGCCAAUAAUUGUAAGAUAGCAUAUGAAUCGCAAGCUAGAUCUGAAUUACAAAACUUGAUCAUGCAAACUGUUUCUACAUGGAGAAUCCGAUUGAAAUCAAACAAAACCCCCAAAAUUUAUAGAGAAAAUAUAUUGAAUUUUAGCUUCGAUUAAGAAAGAACUUAGGGAGAAAUUAAUUGAAACAAAAUUAGAUCUUAAAACAAUAAAAAGGGGAUAACAUAAAGGGAAAACAAUUAGAUGUUACCUGCUCCUAGUUAGGGUUUCGAUAUGGCAAGAACGAGGGUGAAAGAACCGAAUCGGAUUGAAACCCUAAAUUGGAUAAGGCAGAACCUUUCUCUCUCUGUGACGACCGCAGUGUUUCGAAGGAGAGAAAGUGAGAACGAGAUUUCAUGAAAGAAAGAAAAUAUAGAAAAACGUGAGCUGUGAGGUUAAGUUGAGCAUCACGUGUGAAGUUAUACUUCUACUCUCGGAAGUGGCUAAUGCAAAUCACGCGCUUGGGUGAGUACACGUGUAUAAAUAUCUCGGCGAGUUAGUUAGCUGAGUGGUUGAGAAAGAGUGGGGAUAGAAAGAUAGAGAUUUGGUAGAAGGAUAAAGAUGUCAAUUCACAUAAAGCAAAUUACUAUCAUACUAGAAAUAAUGGUGGGGCAUGCUUGCUAUUAAGAAAAUUAAAAAGAUAAAUUUUAAAUUCGAAAUAGUAAAUGACUAAAUUAUACUUAAAAACCCUCCAAAUUUUGACCAAGUCAUACAUACAUAUUUGUAUGUUUUGGGCCAACGUACGUUUUAGCGGCCCAAGGAGUUAUGGUACCUGGAAGCCAGGUCCAGGUUCAAAUGUUCAAUGAAGGCAUUGCAAGGCCUGCUCUAAUGGUAACUAUGUAAGUCUUCUUAGCUAGAUCAAAAAUAUGUCUUCUUAGAAAAAUGCAUUAGAUUUUCGGUACCCACUCUCAGGUAGGGCUGGCAACACAUAUAUGGUGCAGGUAGGUAGAGAGCCGUACAAUAGGAUAAGAUACGGAUGUAGAAUAUAUCUUAUUUUAUUCUAUUCGUAUUUUUAAUAAAUUAUAUAAUAUAUCUGUAAGAUACGGUAGAAGCUCUUAUGUGCAAUCAAAAUUGGUUGUGGGCAGCAUAUUAUAAAAGAGGUUAUUUAUGUUUUUAAUUUUUUAAUUUAUUUAUAAAUUAUAAUAGUGUUAAAAUUAUAUAUAAUAAAAGUUUUGUAUUUAAUUUUUAAAUAGAAAAUUUUAUUAUUAAACUGCAAAUGAAGAUGAUGAUGCAUCUCUUAAAUUGAAAAAGAGUAAUAUUGCAAGAAUUUUGGAGUUAGAAGAAAUGUGACAAGAUAUUUAUCUGUGUUUAUAUUAUUUUUAUUUUACUAAGAAUUUAAUGAUUAUGAUAUUUGCACUUUUAUGGAGAGAAGCUCUAGAAGUGCAUGGUCUGCGCAUAAGUCGUAGCAAAACGGAAUAUAUAGAAUGUAAGUUCAGUCUGAGAAGGGAAAAUCCUAAUAUAGAGGUGAAGAUUAGAGAAAACAUCCUGCAAAAAGUUAAAAGUUUUAAGUAUCUUGGGUGCAUCAUACAGGAUAAUGGAGAGAUUGAACAUGAUGUAAAUCAUAGGAUCCAAGCAGCUUGGUCAAAAUGGCGGAGUGCAUCUGGUUUUAUAUGCAACAAAAAAGUGCCUUUAAAACUUAAAGGUAAAUUCUAUCGCACCGCUAUAAGACCGGCUAUGCUUUAUGGUACAGAGUGUUGGGCAACUAAAGGGGAGCACGAACAGAAGCUGAGUGUGGCAGAGAUGAAGAUGUUGAGAUGGAUGAGUUGUCAUACGCGAUUGGAUAAAAUAAGGAACGAAGAUAUAAAGGAGAGAGUUGGAGUAGCACCCAUUGUGAAAAAAAAUGGUUGAAUCGCGUCUCAGGUGGUUUGGACAUGUGAGAAGAAUAGCGAUAGAACAUCCAAUCAGGAGGGUGGAUGAGAUGGAAGAUGGACAAGGGGCGAAAGACAGAGGCAGACCUAAGAAGACCAUCCAUGAGGUGGUCAAACGAGAUCUACAUGUAAACGGUCUCUCUGUAGAUAUGAUACAUGACAGAGCACAAUGGCGUCGUUUGAUUCAUGUAGCCGACCCCACUUAAUGGGACAAGACUUUCUUGUUGUUGUUGUUGGAUAUGAAUUGUGAACUUAUGACUAAAUGUUGCUAGUGAUGGAGAUUAUCAUUGUAAUGAUAAUUGAGAAUUUUUUUUUCAAAUUUUUCUGAUUUUUUUUAGUUUUUUAAAAAAAUUGUAGAUAUCCGCAGAGAUCCCGAUUCACUGCAAAUACGGGGUUUCUGUUUACGGGGUCCCCAUUACUCGUCGCGGGGACGGGAACGGAUUAUGGGUGGCGACAUGUCCCCGCCCCAUGAGGACCCGUUGUCAUCUCUAUGCACAACAACUUCCCAAUUCAUCAGAUUAAAGAGUUCCGAUGAGAUUUCUAGUUUUUCUUCUUGGAUAUAACCUUUAGAGUAGCUUAAAACUCCACUUCAAUAUCAAUUUUUCUAAAACUCAAUUCCCAAGCUGUUUGAAAUGCCAUGGAAAAGUCUCCAAAGUUUUGUUUGGAAUGCAGUGCACAGAACUACGUUUGCCAUGAAUCCAGCAAUCCAAUGCCCAUCUUCACUAUGAAGAAUUCUUCCGCAUCUAGACUUUCAUGGAUUUUCCUCUGAAACUCCAUAUGUGUUUACUUUAAUCCACCCUAUUGGAAGAUUUUUCCACGCUAUCUGUAGUUCAUGCCUUCUUCUUCCUGAUUUUAAUAGAGUUGAUUUUGAGAAAGCAAUAACUAUUUCACUAGAAAAUUUCUGAACAACACUGCUAGCGUUUGGAGGUCCUUGAUAGAGAAGGUUGAAAAUCUUCUUAUUUUUCCAUUUCCAGAGCCACUAGCAGGCUACAAAGAAGGUGUCGAUUCAGGAAAUUUGGGGGGUUGUUGCCCAGCUCUGAUAUGAAGUUCCAUCUCGUCCAAGUAUCGAAGGGAGCUUUGAAAAAAUUAUCAAACUUGUGAGGUUUGCAGAAGUAAGACCCACAUUCUGAAUGCCAAAGGACAGUCUUGCUAAACGUGCAAGAUCGAUUCCACCAUACCCCUGCAUUGGUGACAAUCCGAAAAAGUGUUCAUCAACCUGUUUCUUUUCUCCACCGUAGUUAAACUUUUGUGGGUUGUCAGUCACAUAAAAUUCUUUAUUCUUUAGGACUUACCAUUUCCAUAUCAAAUUCAAAGUUUGAUCUGUUGGGUCCUCUUCAUUUGUUAGGAACCGUUAUGCACUUUCUAUUGAAAAGGAUCUAUCGUUGGUGAAAUUCCAAAGGAUAUUAUCCCUUCCAAGCUCUUGUGUAGACUGGUGUAAAGAUCUAAUCUUGUUGAUCACAUAAUCUGGUAAGUAGUUUUAGAAUAGCUGGAUAUUCCAUUCAGCUUGAUUAUUAACACAUUCAGCUACUUUAAGAUUCAUCAAAUGGGUAUUGAUAUUGGUUAGGGCUUUUUCUUAUAAUGCAUGUUCUUCUUUCACCAAAUAGUCUUGCCGAAUAUUGAUAGAGCUCCCAUCACCCAAAAAGAAGGUAAUAUUUUUCACUAUUUUGCUCUAGAAUUUUUUCAAGAUUUUUCAUAAUUCUAAAUUACCGUUUCGAGUUUGGAGAUUUUGUAGCAAAUUGUGUCCCUUUUCAUAUUUAGCAAGCAAAACUUUGACCUAUAGAAUGUUUUAAUCUGUAAGAAUUCUCCAAAGAAUUUUUAUCAUAAAAGUCUCAUUCACUGUGUUGAGUUUCUUAAAACCCAUUCCCUCCAUCGCCUUUGGUUUGCAUAUCAAGUCCCAAUUAAUAGUAUGCAAUCUCUUGGUUCUAUUUUCAUCCCCUCAGAUAAAAUUUUUUUGACAUUUUUUCACUUCUGCAUAGAUUCCUUUGGUAAUCAUGAUGUGCAUCAUAUCAAAAUUUGGAAAGGCACUGAGGACAGAUUGAGCUAGCGUGACCCUACCCGCCAUGGAGAGACAAUUGGAUUUUCAUCCUCCUAUCUUUUCUUUAAUUCUUUCUAUUAUAUGCUUGAAAUUUUCCUUUUUCUUCUUGUCAUUUGUCAACAUAUUCCCCAAAUAUUUACCAAGGUUGUUGACUUCUUGAUAUCCACUUUUAUUGAUAAUAUUCUCUCUGGUUCUUUUGUCUAUACUUUUAGAGUAAAGUAUAAUAGUUUUUGCAGAGUUUAUUCUUAGCCCUGAUGCUUUGCAGAAAUAGUCUAAAAUUUGAUUCACUUUCAUAAGUUGCUCCUCUGAGGCUUCUAAAGAAACAAAUAAGUCGUCUAUAAACAGAAAAUGAGAGAUAAGGGGACUGUCCUUCCUUGUUCUUAUUGGCUUCCAUCUUUCUCUGACCACUUCUUCUUUAAUCAACUGGGAGAGGUUGUUAAUAAGAAUCACAAAUAGGUAGGGAGACAAAGAAUCUCCCUGUCUUAUUCCCCGAGUUGGGUGGAAUUUUUGUGUCUUACACCCAUUCUAUAGAAUUUGGUAGGAAACUAAGCUAAUGUAGCUAAAAAUAAUCUUAACCACAUGUUCUAGGGUUCCAAAUUCCUCCAAACACAACUUUAAAAAAUUCCAAUUAAGUCUAUCGUAAGUCUUUUCAAAAUCAAUAAUUAUAGCCAUGAUUUUUUUUCUACCUUUCAUUUUCUUCAUGUCAAGAGUUAAUUUCUUUGUGAUAAUAAUGUUAUCAUGAAUGACUCUUCCCGGGAUGAAACUAUAUUGAUUAGGGGCUAUAUGAUUCUCCAAUAAAAAUUUAAUUUCAUUCACUAAAAUUUUAGUGAGACAUUUGUAAGUCACAUUGCAUAAGGUGAUUGGUUUAAACUGAGAAAUAAAUUUAUCUUUUUUAUAUUUUGAGGUUCCUCCCAAAGGUUGACGAUAAAGCUGCAAAAGGAAUUUUCAAUUGUGCUCCGGUUUUUCUUAUAGAAAAGCGCUGGAAAUCCAUUAUCUCCAAGUGCCUUAAGGGAGCCUAUCCCAAAAAUGGCUUUUUCAAUGUCCUGGCUGUUUGGCCUCCUGGCUAAAAGGCUACUGGUCCCUGCCUCAAUGCAAGGAUAGGAGUAUCUUGUGUGUAGAUUGGGUCUGUUAGGGUUGUCUUUCUCAUAUAGCUUUUUGAAGAACUCUAUGGCCAUAUUCCUCAAUUCAUCACUAUUUUCACACCACAAUCCAUCCAGCUUCAUGAGCUUUAUUACCUUGUUCUUACGUCGAUUAAUGGUUAUCUUUGUAUGAUAAAACCUUGUAUUCCUAUCCCUUUCAAUAAUCUAUUGUUGUCCAGACUUUUGGAGCCAGAAGAUUUUCUCUUGGUCAAGGAUCAUCUCUAGUUCCAUAGUGAGAUUUCCUUCAAGUUCUUCUAGGAACAGAUUUGAACCAUAACUCAAGGACCUCUAGAUACCAUUCAGCCGAUUCAAGAUCCUCCACUUCUUUUUGAAAACGUUACCAAAGACCUCCAAAUUUCAUUUUUUUAGGUAUUUUGUUAACUUCUCCAGAGAAAUAGGAAAAGAUUCUCUUUUUUGCCAAGAAUCUCUCACAAACUCAAGAAAAUCAGGAUAUGUGAGCCACAUAGCUUCAAAACAAAAAGAUCUUGGCUCCUGGUCCUCUCUGUUUGGAUUCAUCCAAACCAAAAGAGGGUGGUGGUUAGAGAACGCUCUUGGAAGAACCUCUAUUCUUGCAUUCCCAAAUUCCUUUCUCCAUGCUGCAUUUGCAAGACCCCUGUACCCGAUCUAGAUCACCUCUUUAUCCCCCACUUCAAGUAUAUCUCGCCCCUAUAAAACCUAGAUCUAACAAAUUAUAGCUGUUAAUCCAAUUUCUGAACCUUUUACAAGCAUGCUGAUCAAUACGGACCCCUUUUUUUCUCCUAUUCCUCCGUAGUCUCAUUGAAAUCUCCAAGCAGCAUCCAUGGAUGACAUUCAUGUCUAGCAAUGUGUCUUAGAUGAUGAUCACUACAAGAAAAACACUGAAAAUGAUCAGAGUUACCCUCGGAUUUAGCGACGUCAAUUACCGGCGGAUUUAGCGUCGGAUUUUGCAUCGGAUACAAAGUAGCUUAGAUUUCCUAAAAUGUUUACUAUCAUAUUUUAUAAUCUGACGCUAAAUUCGACGGUGAUUAGUAGUGCAAAAUAUUGAUCUGUGCGCACUAACCUUACUAUCGAUUUUACCGUCGGAUUUUGCCGACUGUAAACCGCUUCAGUGAAACGUUGUAUUUGACCAAUUUACCAUCGGAGUAUUCUGAAGGUAAAUCCGAUGGUUAGAUUGGUUGAAAAUUCAAACGCGAACCCUUCUUCACUCACUUGUCCAAGUUCACUCUCUCUCUCUUCUCUCUUCUCUCUCUCUCUCUCUCUCUCUCUCUCUCUCUCUCUCCCCCUCUCUCUCUCUCUCCUCUUGUGUUCUNNNNNNNNNNNNNNNNNNUGUUCUCUCGUCAACGGAGGUGUUGCCAGCAUUACCGUCACCUGCCAAAGCCUUUGGUGCCGCCGCCACUGGACAUUCUCACCGCUGGAGCUAUCAAUCGCCGCUGGGAAGGUUGGAAAUGUCGCCGCUGUUCUUGGUGGCCACUGACAUCGGUGUCAUCAUCAUUACUGAUACCACCAUGCGUCCAGCAUCCUGCAACCACCAUCAAAGGUAAUUUUGGCAUAGUUUUUAUUUUAUUAAGAUUUUUAUGUGAGUUUAGGAUUUUUGAUUAAAUAGUUUAUGAAAUUAUUGAUUAAAUUAGUGUAAUGAAGUUUGUGAUUAGGAGUUGGUAUAGUUUUUUUUACUGUUUUUUAGAAUUUUUUUACUUCAAGAUUUUGUUAGGUAUUUUACCAAAUUAUUAAUUAAAUUAGGGUUAACUACGACUUUGGUCCCUAAGGUAGGACCGAAAAUAUUUUUCGUCCCCGGUCUUCUUUUUGCUAUAAAAUGGUCCCGAAUGUUUAACUUAGUUUUAAAAUCGUACUUUUUACCAAAUUUUUAAUUUUUAUUUCGAAAAUACCCCUACCAAAAAAAUUUCGUCAGUCGCCAUCGAGCCCUGUCCUAUCGCCGCCGCUGGAGUGAGGCCACGUCGACACCAGCAGAUCCGCGAGGUUGGACGGUCGUCGAUGCUCCUUGCCGGAUGCCAGCAGAUUGGUAUUUUAAUGUUGUUGCUUAUAUUUUCCGUUUCUGUUUUUUGCUUCUUCUACUUCUGCUUCUCUUUUGCUUUUGUUGAUUCACCAUUGUUGUUGUUGUUUUAUUGUUAUUGCUAUUGUUGAUUCAUCAUUGUUGUUCACCAUUUUUGAUUCACCAUUGUUGUUGUUGUUGAUUCUACUUCCUGCUUCUGCUUUUGUUUCUCCUUUUGCCUUUGCAUCUACUUCUGCUUUCUAGUUGAUUUUGGGGAAGAAGGAGGAAGGGUAUUUUUGUCUGAAGGACCAUUUUAAAACUAAGUUAAACCUUUGGGACCAUUUUGUAGCAAAAAAAAAGCCAGGGACGAAAAAAAUUUUCAGCCCCUACCUUAAGGACCAAAAUCGUACUUAACCCAUUAAAUUAUGGUAACAGAGUUUGUGGUUAGGGUUUGGUUUGUGGUUUUUAGUUUUUUUUUUCAGAUUUUUUUGUGAGUCUAGGGUUUUGUUUAGAAAUUUUAUUAUCAAAUAAUUGAUUAAAAUAGGGUAAUAAAGUUUGUGAUUAUGAUUUCUUAUGUUAAUUUAACAUAAAUAGCAAUUAUUAAGUUAAUGUAGGUUAAGUGGGGUGAGAUUAAGAGUGUUUGACAUUGUUGGUGGAUGACUUUGUGUACUUUGUUGAACUAAUUAGUUUCACCUUGUGAGUUUAAUAAGUUUUUUUUAUUAGGAUGGUGGUAUUUGUCUGAGUAAUUGGAUUUUGUUUUUUUCGUAUUCUGUGCAUCCGUGUUUCAGGUAUGUUUUUUAUCUCUAACUAUAAUCAAUUGUUUAAGUUUUAUGUUUGACUUACUUUUCCUAAGAUAGCGUUUUAGGAAGGAAGUGGGAGAAGGUCGCAUAUAUGUGCUUUCUCGAAACCCUUGUUUGAUGGAAAAUUGUGGAUCUAUAAGGGGUUGCGCACUAAAACAGUUAGGAUUUGGUAUGUUAUUGAGUUUGUGUUUGUUCUAAUAUAUGCUUGCAACUGUUUUUACUGUGAAAAUUUGUAUAUUUUUUUUAUUGAUGUCUCUGAAUUAAGGAAAAAUUCUGCAAAAAAUUUGUGUUAUUUUUUUUAAAACUUGUUUGGUUUACAGAAGAUUAUAAUUAUAGGGUAUGCUCUACCAGAUUUUGUAAAGAAUUUAAUAAUUUUGUCUUGUUUGUCAAAUUUUAGGGUGUGUGAUUCAAUAUGAUUCCAAGUUAUCGUCUAUGGACGUAUGAUAGGGAUAACGGUAGACCAGGGUAGAUUAAAACCUGAAUUCUUUGAGGAAGUUGACACAUUGAUCGGGCAUGUGUUCAGCAUGGAACCAUUUAGGUCUGAAGGGGUAUCUAGGUUCUGUGUGAAAAGUGUCGACUGACUAAGUGGUUAGGAUCUGCGAAUAUAACACUUCACCUUUACUGUAACGGGUUCAAAGAUGGGUAUUGAAUGUGGACGGAGCAUGGAAAAGUAGACGAAUAGGGAAUUAACAGGCCUGCCUCGAAUUUGAAUAGGUCCGACUAUCGGUCAACGAGGGUUCGGGUGGAAAGAGAACUAAAUAUGAAAGACAUGACUUGGAAGGAUAACCAAGAGAGAUACAACGAGAUGGUGUUUGAUGCAACAGAUGUUACGAAAUUGGAAGAAGCUGAACAAGAACCUAACCCGGAGGCAAGGAUAUUUUAUCAUCUGUUAAAAUCUGCCACGAGACCGUUGUAUGAGGGUUGCGUUCAUUUGGAGUUGUCUGCAUGUGUUAAAAUAAUGACUAUUAAGUCAGACUCAAAUCAUAUGCAAGAGUCCUUUGAUAAGUGUACCACCCUUUGUAACGAACUAGUACCUGUCGGGACCUCUGGCAUCCCCUGAAACCACUAUGAAGCAAAGAAGCUAGUUUCAAAAUUGGGUCUAAAUUCAUUAAAUAUUGAUUGUUGUUUGAAUGGGUGUAUGUUGUAUUACAAGAGGAAUUCAGACCUAACUGAAUGCAUAUUUUAUAAAUCACCAAGGUUCCAAGUCGAGAGAGAAUAGAUUGGGAAAUGUCGAUUAAAGAGAGCUCUGAUGAAACAGAUGCACUAGUUGUCCUUGAUGCCUAGGCUGAAACGAUUGUAUGCAUCGAUGAGUUUGGCCCCUCACAUGACUUGGCAUAGUAACAACAAGAGGGAUGAUGGAAUCAUGACACACCUGUCACACGGAAAAGCCUGGAAGCAUUUUGAUCGGGUGCAUUCUAUAUUUGCAAGUGAGCCGAGAAAUGUUAGACUAGCUUUGUGCUCUGACGGAUUCGCACUGAAUUUCAAUUUCGGUAACGUGUACUCUUAUUGGUCUAUAGUCAUGACAUCGUAUAACAUGAGUCCCGAAAUAUGCAUGAAGGACCCAUACAUGUUCCUAAUUUGCAUUAUACCUGGUCCCAGAAAUCCAAAGGCCAAAAUAGAUGCAUGUCUUCUUGCAGCCCUUGGUGGAUGAGUUAAAGGAGUUGUGGAUUGAUAGUGUAGAAACAUAUGAUAUUUCGACGAAGACAAACUUCCAAUUGCGGGCUGCAUUGAUUUAGAUCAUUAACGAAUUUCCUACAUACGACAUAUUGUUAUGUUGGUCUGCUCAGGGUAGAAUGGCAUGCCCCAUUUGUAUGGAGGAUACAAAGACAUUUUGGUUGUCGACUGGCGGUAAUAAUUCAUGGUUUGAUUUCCAUAAAAAAUUCCUUGACUUUGAUCAUCCUUUUCGGCGCAACAGGGACUCGUUCAAAAAGAAUAUAACUGAACACGAAGAGGUACCCGUAAAUUUGAAUGGUAGACAAAUUUGGAAUUGCGUCAGCAGAAUCCCAACUAUCGUAAAAAACGAGACAGAUUUGAGACCUCCGAAAUAUGGCCGGGAGCAUAAUUGGACUAAACAUAGUAUAUCUUGGGAGUUGCCUUAUUUGAGAGAUAAUUUGGUUCGACAUUGUCUUAAUGUGAUGCAUAUUGAGAAAAACGUGUUUGAUAAUAUAAUGCACACCGUAAUGGACGAUGAGCGAUCAAAGGAUAAUGAUAAGACACGAUUACACUUGAUGGACAUUUGCAAGUGACCAGAUCUGGACUUAAGGAGACUUGAUAACGAGCGAUGGGCUAAACCAAAGGUAGUGUUCGCUCUAACAAAGGAGCAGAGGCAAAAUGUUUGUAGAUGGAUUAGAGGAUUGAGGUUUCCUGAUGCUUACGCUUCUAACUUGAGUAGGUGUGCAAACAUGUCACAGGGUAGGUUUGUUGGGUUGAAGAACCAUGAUUGUCACGUUUUCAUGGAGCCUUUGCUUCCAGUUGCAUUCAGAAAACUUUCAACCAACAUCUAAAAAUCACUCACAGAAAUAAGUGAGUUCUUUAGGGAUUUAUGUGCUGUCAAACUUAGUAUUAAUGAUCUCACAGUCAUGGAUAAGAAUAUUCUCAUCAUACUUUGUAAGUUAGAGAGGAUAUUCUCUCCAUCAUUUUUUAACAUUAUGGAACACUUAGCAGUCCAUCUACCAUUCGAAGCACUACUAAGUUGGCCGAUCCAAUUUGAGAGGAUGAUUAUAUUGGUUCAUUUAAGCGCACCGUGAAGAACAUGGCUCGGAUUGAGGGCAGCAUCUGUGAAGCAUUCCUAGCUUAGAAAACAUCCGGAUUUUGCUCAUUCUAUGUUCAGUCUCAUGUUGAGUCAUGUAUAACAAGGAUUGCAAGGAUCGAUGAGUGGAGAAAAUCAUCAUCGGGUGGAACAACAUACCUAAUCUUUGCUCUGGAAGGAGCUUCAAUGGGUGUGGGCAGUGACUACUGGUUAGAGAAGAAGGAAAUCGAUGCCGCACAUCUGCAUGUGUUGCUUAACUGUGACAAGAUUUCACUGUACCUCAUGUGAGUUUCUUAAGUCCUCAUAAAUAUUGCAAUCAGUAACAUUCUAACUUCGUAAUCUAAUCAAAAAAAUUUUAUCCUAUUCUAUCAUAUAUGUUAUUUCAGGAGGUAAAUUCUGAUACCUCAUCGAACAACUUUUCAUGUUGGUUUAGAGAAUACGUCAGCGUGCAUCUAUCUAACACAAUAGAUUAAAAAAUAGUUGCUCUUAGUUGGGACCCAAUGAAUAAGGACACUAGCUACCCGAUGUACAAUGUUAAUGGAUAUCGAUUUCAUACCUUACAGUGGUCGAUAGGAAAAAAAACAGAUAACACCGGAGUUUGGGUUCGUAGAGAUUUAGACGGUGGUCAUUUUGAUUGGUUUGGUGUGUUGCAUAACAUAAUUGAAUUAGAAUAUUUCUGUUGCACUACGUACAAGGUGUGUGUAUUUAAUGUGAAUGGUAUAAUCCUAGUUCGUGACAAGAAACACGAAAGCACAAUGACUACGAUAUCACUGAAGUUAAUUUAACUAGAAAAUAUAGGCACUACAAUCUUUUAUUCUACCUCAAAAUGCAAGACAGGUGUACUUUUUGCCUUAUCCGAGUUCAUGCAAGUCUAGUUGUGUGGUUGUAGUUAAGACUAAACCAAGAGACCGAAUCGAAUCCGAUGAUAGGAUAGAGGGUCAGAAACUUUACCAGAUUGAUGACCCAACUCCUUUGAAAAUGGUGGUUGAUACCGGUGAACCGAUUACCCUUAGCUUGGUUGUUAGGAUAAUGAUAUCAUUGACCUUGGAUUACAUGACGAUGCAUGACGAUCGGAUUUCCUGUCGGUAAAGAAAUUCACAAAUAUAUUAUUGCGUUGCAAGUAUAGCUUCUAAACCAACAGAAAAUCCUUCCGUACAAACGUUUUGUUUGUCACUUAAGUAAACCCAAUAAAAUUUAUAAACCGAAGUAUUUAAACCUCGGGUCGUCUUCUCAAGGAAUUGCAGGGAAGUAUGAUUUAUUAGUGGUUAUGGAAAACAGUAUUUUCUUGGGUUUUGAAAAGGUUUGAAUAAGGAAAAUAAAUUGCAGGAAUUAAUAAAUUAAUAUCUAAUAAAACUCUUGGCAAGGUGUGAAAAUCUGGAAGUCCUAUCCUAGUUAUCCUUAUCGAUGGUGAUGAGAAUUGAGUUUUAAUCCCACUUAGUUAACCUUUACUAAAGCAAAGGAAAGUCAAGUGGACUAAUUAGUUUGAUCCUCAAGUCCUAGCCAAUUCCUAAGAAAGAACUAGAGUUAUUGGAAUUCAAUUCAAUUAGAAAAAAUAACAAUUAUCAAUCACGAUGAGUUUGAUAACUCAAGAGUCUCCAAUUAAUCAAUUAAAGCCAAGAAUAUAAAAAGCUGAAUAAUAAUCAUAAAUCUGAAAUACCUCAAUUGCAUUAAUAAUAGAAAAUCAAUCUAAACAUAAAGAGUUCAUGAACUAAUUUGAUAAAAUAAAUAAAAGGAACAUUGAACCUGUAAUAAAGAUAAGCAGUCCUAAAAUUGAGAGAAAUCCUAAUCCUAAUCCUAAGAGAGAGGAGAGAACCUCUCUCUCUAAAAACUACAUCUAAAACCUAAAAUUGUGAAUUAUGGAAGACCUCCUUCAUAAAUGGAUGCAUUCCCCCACUUUAUAGCCUCUAAUAUGAGUUUUCUGGGCCGAAAACUGGGACAAAAACAUCCCAGAAAUCGCCCUGUUAUGUUCAGGUCACGACAAAGUGACGCGAAGGCGUCAUCCACGCGUUUGCAUGGAUUGCAUUUUUGCCAGGUCACGCGUCCGUGUGAUCCACGCGUUCGCGUCACUUGGCGUCAGGAAAGCUAUGACAAAUUAUAUAUCGUUGCGAAGCCAUGGACGUUAGCUUUCCAACGCAACUAAAACAAUCUCAUUUGAAAUUCUGUAGCUCAAGUUAUGACCGUUUGAGUGCGAAGAGGUCAGGCUGGACAACUUAGCAAUUUCUUCAACUUCUUGUAUUCCUUCCACUUUUGCAUACUUUCUUUCCAUCCUCUGAGCCAUUUCUGCCCUGUAUAUCUGAAAUCACUUAACACACAUAUCACGGCAUCGAAUGAUAAUAAGAGAGGAUUAAAGUUAGUAAUUUAAAGGCCAAAGAAGCAUGUUUUCAAUCAUAGCACAAAAUCAGGAAGGAAAACGUAAAACAUGCGAAUAGUAUGAAUAAGUGGGUAAAAAGUUGAUAAAAACCACUCAAUUGAGCACAAAAUAAACCAUAAAAUAGUGGUUUAUCAACCUCCCCACACUUAAACAUUAGCAUGUCCUCAUGCUAAGUUUAAGAGAACUAAAAGAGUGAAGGGAAUGGUAGAAUGUAUGAAAUGCAACCUAUGAAUGCAACUAAAUGCAGAAUGCUUUUUCUACUUGGUGAAGAGUAAAUAAAUCCUUCAAGAAGAAAUAUGAACUGGAUCUCACUAAUUCAAAUCACAAAAUAAAAUACAAGUGAGCUUGCAAGAAGAAAAUAGCUCAUGAAAGCCGGGAACAAAGAAUCGAGCAUCGAACUCUCACUGGAAGUGUAUGCACUCUAAUCACUCAUGUGUUUAAGGUUCGAUUCUCUCAAUUCUCUACUAACCUUGCUUUCUAAGGCUUGCUCUUCAUCUAACAAUCAACAAAAAUUUAAUGCACAGAUACACAUAGCAAGAGGUCUUUUAAGGGUUGUAAUGGGGUUAGGGUCAAGGUAGGAUUGUAUUUGGCCAAGUGGACUAAAAUCUGAAUCCUUAAUUAACUUAAACUUUCCACUUAACUUUAGACAAUCCAUGUAAUCAUAAUACCACAUCUAACUAUGCAUUAACCAUAUUUUCCACAUAUUCAUGCAUUCUAAUUUCAAGUACAGUACAUAUGCAUUGCUUUCACCACUUACUUUGGGGCAUUUUGUCCCCUUUUGCUUAAUUGCUCUUUUUCUUUUCUUUUUCUCUUUUUUUUUCUUCUUUUUUUUAUAUUUUAUAAUAUUUUUUUUCUUUUCUUUUAUUUUUCUCAAUGCAUAUGAUUAAAUUAUUGGAUGCAUGAAUCAUGUCCUAAACAUUUCUUUCACUAACAUACUCAAUUCUCAAACCAAAUGUUUUCAAACCCACUUUCCCACAUUUAAUUCAUGAGCAUUCUCACUAGUCUAAGCUAACCAAGGAUUCAAAUUAAGGACAUUAUUAUUUUUCGCUUAGAGUUAAUGAUGUGCUAAAGUAAAGAACAAAAGGGUAUAAUAGGCUCAAAAUUGGUUUGCAAGAGAUAAUGAAGGGUUAAGGCCAUAUGGGUAUGUAAGCUCAGUGAAACAAAGGCCUCAAUCAUAUAAGUGCAUGCAUGCAUCAAACAAUGGAAAUAUAGAAUUAAGCAAGACAAAUAUCACAAUUUUAGAGAGAACAACACACACAAAAAUAAAAUAUUGGUUGAUAAAAUGCAACCAAUCAAAUAAGUUCAAAAUCUCACUGGUUUUGUGUGUUCGAGCUCUAAACCAUGUUCCAGUAUAAUAUUUAUUCAAACAAGUUUAACAAAAAGUUUUAAUUUAAAUUAGUGAAAUACUCUAAAAAGUUUCUUGAAAAAGAAAAUAUUACUUCAACCAAGUAGUAAAAUAUGCACAAAACCAAAAAAAUAUGCAAUCAAACAUGUAAAUGCAACAAUGAACUAACAAAUAAAGUAAAAUAUUGGUGUUGAGAAGAAAAUAACUAACCCAUGGAGAUCGAUAUCGACCUCCCCACACUUAAAGAUUGCACCAUCCUCGGUGCAUACUAAGAUGUGCAAGUGGACGGGUUUUUCCAACUAAUGCUUUUCUUCCAGAGAAUGUGCAGAUGGACUUGUCUGUCUCCCCAUGUAAACGUCUUCUGGUUCCCUUCCGGGUGGCCAUCCUGAAAGAAAAAGGGAAGAAAAGUAACCCAGAAAUAAAGAUAAGAAAAUAAAUGAAGUAUGGGUGGGUUAAUGCCAAUUGAUAAGGGUCUCAUUUACAUGGAAGCUUCAACAUGUACGUGAGAAAAUAAUAGAAGCACAUGGCAUACCAAUGGUGCAAAAUUUGCAACAAUGGGGAAGAGAGUGGGGAAGGAGAGAUAAUAUAAAUUCAUGUCAAUGCAAAAGUAAUACAGAUAUAAAAGAUUGGCAUUGAUUUAAAUAAUAUUACCCAAUCAGAAUAAAACAAGUCACUAAGCAUCCAAAAUAAUUCAAGAGAAGAUGCAACAGUUAAAUAAGAAAAUUCAACACCAACAGAAAAGUAAUAAAUUUAGAAAAGAAAGUAAAAAUAUGCACAAAAUUAAAAUGUAAUGAAUGAAAGUAUGUAAAUAAAUUAAGUAAAAUAGAAUGAAGGUGAAAAAGAAUGAGAAGUGAAAGAAAUAAAGUAAGAAAAAAAGAAGAAAGAAGGAAAGAUAGAAGAAAUUAGGAUUAGAAAAGAAAAGAUAAGAUAAUUGGUGCUGAUUUGGAUAAGUUGUGCGGCGCAGGCGACGCGGACGCGUGAGUGAUGCGGUCGCGUGGUGUGUGAUAAGGUCAAGUGACGCGGACGCGUGGGUCACGCAAUCGCGUGGCCGCAUUUGUGCGAUUGGCGCGAGUGCAGCCUCGCGUUCGCGCAACUCUCUGUUCGAAACUCUUUUCACCAAAUUUUUGGGUGACGCAGUUGCGUGGCUGACGCAAUCACGUGGAUGGCCAUUUUUGGAAAACGACGCGGCCGCGUGGGAAACGCGUUCGCGUGGGAGGGAUUGGGCUUCCAGCACGAGUCCAGCCCCAUUCCAGCCCAACAUACUGCCAUACACCCCUUUACGUCGAUUUUACAGAGCCACGCAUUCGCGUGGGUGACGCGGACGCGUGGGGAAGCUAUUUUUCAAAUGACGCGGCCGCGUCGGCGACGCGGUUGCGUGGGCAUAUUUGUGCCUAAGGCACGCCUCCAGCUACACUCUCGCGUGACUCUCUGUUCACUUUUCUUUUAUUCCUAAUGCACUUGUAACGCGAACGCGUCAGCGGCGCUUACGCGUCGCGUGCAUUUUUUUUAUGCAAAUGCAAAAAUGCAGGUGAAUAUGCAAAAAUUAUAAAUGAACACUAGUAAAAAUGAAAUAAAAUAAGAUUAAGAAUAAAAAGGAACGAAUAUACCAUGGUGGGUUGUCUCCCACCUAGCACUUUUAGUUAAAGUCCUUAAGUUGGACAUGUGCUGAGUUCCUUGUCAUGGCGGCUUGUGCUUGAACUCGUCUUGAAACUUCCUCCAAUGCUUGGACUUCCAAUAAGCUCUAUCAAUACUAAGUAAAUUCCUCAAGCUUUGAUGGGGUUCUUCACAAGCUUUGAGCUCCCAAAGUUGAUCCUCAUAUAUUCCUGGAUCCCAAAUCUUGUUUCUACACCCGUCUUCAAGUUGAUUAUCAUGAUUCCAUCUGGGUGGUUCAGCUUUAGAAUUCUCACUGAAGCGUCCAAACAACUUCCUAGACCUAUUCAAUUGAGCUCUACACCAACCUUUGCGUUUAAACUUAAAGCUUCCAACUAUAAUGAACCUUGCAGGACAAUUCUUACCACUGACCAUCUUCCUCUUACUCUUAAUGUCACAAAGAGCUCUAAGCUGACCAUCCAUCUCUAGUAGCCCAUAUUCAAGUGGGAAAGUAAAGGUCACAGAUAAGAUUUUGACCCACUUGAACGUUGUGUUGGAUGGUAAUGGCCUUGGGAGAGGUAUUUCGAACGAAUUCGCAAGCUCUACUCCCUUGUGCUCUUCUCUGACAACUUCUACCUCCUUGUAAGCUUCUUCAAUUUCAACCUCUUCCUCUUGGUAGCUUUCUUCCAAUUCAAUCUCCUCUUCACUGCUUUCCAAGGGCAUGGAAGGUUGUGCUUCUUCUUCUUGAAUCUCCAUCUCUUGAUCGACCUCUUCCAAGUCCUUAACCAUGACAUGCCUUGGAGGUUGUAUACCCUCCUCAACAUCAAAUGCAACCGUCUUGGAAGGAGGCUCUAUGUCUUGACUUUCCCAUGGAGGUUCAACAUCUCCCAAGUCUUCAACCACUUCUUCCUCUUCGAUAAUUACUGCUUUGUCCAGUAGUUUUAAUAUAAAAUCGUAUUCAUCCUUGAUGAUUUUCUUUCCAUGACAACUCCUUUCAACUAUUCUUUCAUCUUCAAGGGUCUCUCCUAUCUCCACAUUUUGGGCCUCCUCUUGCUCUAAGACAAAAUCAGACUCCUCCUUGAUGUCUUCCUUCACUAAUUCUUCAACCACUACUUCGACUUCAAGGGUCUUUACUACCUUCACCUUUAGGGCCUCCUCUAGCUCCUUAUGAAGUAUGGAUUCGCGAAGAUGAUCCCUUCUCUCUUGUUCCAUGUCAAUAGCAUCAUUGGGACCAUGUUGCUCUUGGAUUGAUGGAUGUGGGUGCUCUUCCAUGGAUGGUGGUGAUGGGAUGGAGAGAUCAUUCUGUGGUUAAAAAGGAAGUGCACUAGAGCUUGAGGGGUUAUUAUUGAAGGUAUUUGGUGGUCCGAUUUAGGAGACGAGAGCUUGUAUAGUAGAGUUUAGAUCGGUAAGUGCUUUCUCCAUGGAGGUUUGGGGUGGAUAGGAGGGUUCAUUUGUUGGGAGAAAGGGUUCAUGGUAGGAAGGUGGUUCAUCUUGAUAAUGAUAAGGAGAUAGUGUAUAUUGAGGUGGUGGUUCAUGAGAGUAGUUGUGUUGGAAUAGGGGUGGUUCUGUGUAUGGUUUAUUUGGCUCAUAAGGUGGUUGGUAUGGUGGAUACGGGUUAGGGUCAUAUGGAGGUGAAUUAUGGAAAGGGGCUUGUGAGUAUGGUGGUCUAAAGUCAUGUUGAGGAAAUGGUUCAUAGGCAUAUGGUGGUGGUUGUUAAUAAUCAAAAGAGCGCUCACCAUAGCCAUUGCCUUGAUAUGCAUCACAGAACGGUUGUUGAUAGUCCAUUGGAGGUGGUUGUUGCCAUGAGGGUUGAUCAAAUCCUUGUGGCUCCUCCCAUCUUUGAUUGUUCCAACCUUGAUGUCUGUUCUCAUUGUAAUUUCCUCUUCCUGCAACAUAAUUAUAACCAGACUCAUAGCAAAAGGGGUGAGAGUUCAUAGUAGUAGGAGAAAAUAGAAACAAAAACUAACAAAAAGAAAAUAUUUUGAAAAAGAUUUGAAUUUUUAAAAUUUAAAACUAAGAUAAGAUAAGAUAAAAAUUUUAAAAUAAAAAUCUGAAAAAAAAAAUUUUUCGAAAAAAAAUCAAUUUAAAAGCAAAUAUUUACAAUAACCUAUAAUAAGGCACACGUUUGCAAUUCCCCAGCAACGGCGCCAUUUUGAUGAUCGGAUUUCCUGUCGGUAAAGAAAUUCACAAAUAUAUUAUUGCGUUGCAAGUAUAGUUUCUAAAGCAACAGAAAAUCCUUUCGUACAAACGUUUUGUUUGUCACUUAAGCAAACCCAAUAAAAUUUAUAAACCGAAGUAUUUAAACCUCGGGUCGUCUUCUCAAGGAAUUGCAGGGAAGUAUAAUUUAUUAGUGGUUAUGGAAAACAGUAUUUUCUUGGGUUUUGAAAAGGUUUGAACAAGGAAAAUAAAUCGCAGGAAUUAAUAAAUUAAUAUCUAAUAAAACUCUUGGUAAGGUGUGAAAAUCUAGAAGUCCUAUCCUAGUUAUCCUUAUCGAUGGUGAUGAGAAUUGAGUUUUAACCCCACUUAGUUAACAUUUACUAAAGCAAAGGAAAGUCAAGUGGACUAAUUGGUUUGAUCCUCAAGUCUUAGCCAAUUCCUAAGAAAGGACUAGAGUUAUUGGAAUUCAAUUCAAUUGGCAAAAAUAACAAUUAUCAAUCACGAUGAGUUUGAUAACUCAAGAGUCUCCAAUUAAUCAAUUAAAGCCAAGAAUAUAAAAAGCUGAAUAAGAAUCAUAAAUGUGAAAUACCUCAAUUGCAUUAAUAAUAGAAAAUAAAUCUAAACAUAAAGAGUUCAUGAACUAAUUUGAUAAAAUAAAUAAAAGGAACAUUGAACCUGUAAUGAAGAUAAGCAGUCCUAAAAUUGAGAGAAAUCCUAAUCCUAAUCCUAAGAGAGAGGAGAGAACCUCUCUCUCUCUAAAAACUACAUCUAAAACCUAAAUUUGUGAAUUAUGGAAGACAUCCUUCAUGAAUGGAUGCAUUUCCCCACUUUAUAGCCUCUAAUCUGAGUUUUCUGGGCCGAAAACUGGGUCAAAAACAGCCCAGAAAUCGCCCCCAGUGAUUUCUGUUACGUUCAGGUCAUGGCAAAGUGACGCGGAGGCGUCGUCCACGCAUUUGCGUCGCCUGGGGUCAAGGCAGCUAUGUCAAAUUAUAUAUCGUUGCGAAGCCCCAGACGUUAGAUUUCCAACACAACUGAAACCAUCUCAUUUGGACCUUUGUAGCUCAAGUUAUGACCGUUUGAGUGCGAAGAGGUCAGGCUGGACAACUUAGCAAUUUCUUCAACUUCUUCUAUUCCUUCCACUUUUGCAUGCUUUCUUUCCAUCCUCUGAGCCAUUCCUGCCCUGUAAUCUCUGAAAUCACUUAACACACAUAUCACGGCAUCGAAUGAUAAUAAGAGAGGAUUAAAGUUAGUAAUUUAAAGGCCAAAGAAGUAUGUUUUCAAUCAUAGCACAAAAUCAGGAAGGAAAACGUAAAACAUGCGAAUAAUAUGAAUAAGUGGGUAAAGAGUUGAUAAAAACCACUCAAUUGAGCACAAGAUAAACCAUGAAAUAGUGGUUUAUCAAUGCACUACCCUAAUAGGACGGCGAUCUUCAAGAAGAAGACAAAAUCGACGUGGACAAAAAAGAGGAAGACGAGUUCGAUGAUCAAAAAAGUUAAUCCGUCGGAUUAUACAGUAACUUUCAACAAAUUGUGUUAUAUAUUCCGUUGCUAAAUUAGACAAUAAAUAUUUUCUGACAAAAUUUAUACCGUCGCAUUUACUCAGCCGCUAAAUCUAACGAUAUUUAAUAUGAGAGAGGUGCAACUACCCCAUGUAGUUACUGUUUCUGUUCCUUGAGUUUGGACUUUAGCUCCGUCCAAGUACCAAAAACAAAAUGCAUUUGAUUCGAAUCCUAUAACAUUCCUUAAAAAGAAGGUUAUGCUCACAGUGGAAUUCCUACGUGGCGUUUCUCAUAUUGCUCUGGCUUUGUCCGCCACAUACCAAUGAUAUUUUGAAAUAUUUUGAAUUUUGAAUUCAAAAUAAAUUUGGAAAAAAAAUCAUUCCCAUUAUUUACGUUCUCUCUCCAUUAGCUGUCUCUUUACCCUUAUUACGUUACCAUUCCUAUACGAAACUAUUCUCAUUACACUUCAUAAACAUGACAUUUUUCAAUUCAUUCAUACACCUUCCUUUUUGUCUGUAUUCAUUUGUUUUUUUUCUCUUGCUUUUAUAUUCCACCAGAUCUACAAAUUUGUGUGUUUCAGAAUUCAAAUUUUGAAUUGAAAAAUACCAUGAAUUAUUUCCUCUCAGUCUCAGUCUCUUCCCAAUUGUUUCCUCUCUUGAAGCUCCGCUGGCCAACGGCGAUCCCUCCGCCCGGUUGAUGAAGCGGCCGUGCAUCGUGUGGAUGCCUCGGCUGCACGACGACUUCAUUGCCGUGAUGGACGCGACUGUGGCGGUGGUAGGGUUUUGCUGGUUGACGAGGCAGCGACGAUUAUAUUUUUCUUCUGCAUCUCAGCAUCUUAAUGCGUCGGUGGAUUCACACACCUCCCUCACUUCUUUUUUAUCCCGGUCAAAUUCUUCAAUUAAGCAUCUCUCUUUCUUUGUUAUGUGUCCGAGUAUCUUCCACCUCCUUCUUCCGAAGAAAGUUUGAAUUUGAAUUUUGAAUUGAAAGAUAAUUUCAUUUUUCUAUAUUAAGAGAAUUUUAUUUUGUCCUUUUCAUUUGUUUUCUUGGUUGGCGAUACUGGAAUCCAGGUUGUGAAGAAUUUCACUCAUGGAAUCCAUGGGAACGGUGCUUUUGUGCAUUUCGGACAAGGAUUCCAAAGGAAUAGGUUACUUCUUCUGCUUUGAGUUUGCACACCAAGAAAAUGCUCCCGAUGAAGGCAGAGACAAACAUGCUUCUCAUGAGUAGAGCGUCCAACUACAACACUUCUUAAUUUGCCAUGACCUUUGACGAGGAUUCCAUGGAUCGCAGCAAGGUCUUCGUCAACGCCUUGCAGGUUCUCUCUAAUUCUCCUUUUAACUGUUUCAUUCUCAGCUCAGAUUUGCAUUUAUUUUUCACUGUCUUGAUCUUUUGACUUUUGGUUACUCUCUGGUUUGAUAGCGAAGAUGAAUUCUAUUUGGCAGAUAAAAUACGGUGAUAAUGGCGUCAUUUCUUAAGCUGUGCGCUUGCAUUGCUAAUUACAGUUGUUGACUUAAAUUUGAAACCUCAAUUAUAUAUGUUUUUGAAGAGUUUUGUUAUUGUAAAUUGCCUUUGCGUAUGUGAAAAAUAUGACGGGUGGAAGAAGUUGCAUUAAAAUCUGGGAUGGAAGUAAGAAACAAUGGUGUUGAGUUCGAAAGGGGAAUCUUAUCAUGUUACUGGAAAUUUGAGAUAUCUUAUACAUUAGAUGAUUAUAAUUGAGGUUAAUUUUGACUUAUAGUUGAUCCAAAUUAUACUAAUUUGUGGCAUUAAGUAGGUUGAAACUCCGAAUGAUAUAAUUUUUUUUUGUCGAUUUUUACAGUAUUAUGUUACCUAUAUAUGACUCAUUCUCUUUUUAUUCUUUCUGGUUUGUUGAGUUUGAGAUUCAGUUCCUUAUCUACCUGCUGAAAUUUUGGCAUUUGCAGUGGCAAGCUAUAUACAGAAAGGGGAAGCAUUUGUCAAUUAUUAGUUUAUUACCUGGUAACUUAAUUAUUACAUUAGAUGCCAUUAAUUGUUGAACUUUUCUUAGAAAUUAGAACCCAUUAAACGUUGCUUCUACAACAGCCAAUAUUCAUUGUUCUUAACUUAAUCAUUGAGAGACUGUUGAUUUUCUUUACUGCCCCUAUCUUUUUUAGGAAAUUAACUACUGAGAUAUCAGGACUCCAACGGAGAGAAAGAUCUUGAAACUGAAUUUAAAAAAGGUAUUUUGUUGUCUAUGUGAAUUCUUAAUGCUUUAGUAUUUCUCUCAAUUAUUGCAGAAGACUGAUUUGGGAUAUUUCACUUUUCAUUCAUUUGAACUACAAAGCAUUCUGAGAUUGUUUCACCUUGCACCCUCCAAGAGAGAAAUUCAGAUUCUCAAAGAUGUUAGUGGAAUAAUAGAACUAUCAAGGUAAUAAAUUAAUUCUCAUUUAUUUCAGUUAUAUUUGACGAGUAUAAUGAGGGCAAUUUAUCCUUAGUUUCUGAACAGUAAUUUUAUUUUUGAAAAACUGAUAUUUGAAUCCCUGCACAUUUUUUUCUGGGAAAACUACAUUAUUUUCUAACACUUGCAGGGAAACUUGACUGUGACUUAAGAUUUGUUCCUAUUUCAUUAUGAUUUCUUUUGAUUUUUUCUCCUAUAUAAUUAGUUACUACCUCCAAUGUAUCUAAAUAUUAUUUUUUCCGAAUUGUUAACAAAAGGGCAUUUGCAGAGUAAUUUUCUCUAAGCUUUCUCUUUGUCAGUGCAAAUUUAUUGUUUUUUUUUGUUUUUUACUGUUUAUAUUUUUUAUAUUUUGGUUUUUUUUUAAUUCCUUUUUUUCCUUCAGUUUGUUUCUCAUGCCAACAUUUAUUUUCCUCUUCUUUGUCAAGUACAAAGUGCAUAAAAUUUCAAAUUUAAAUUUUGAAUUGAAAAAAAGCAAUCAUUUCUCUUUGCUUCAAAACAAAUUUAUUUAAUUUUUUCUGUUGUCUGUGAAAUUAUAAGUGCUAUUUGAUUGUUGAUACUAUGUUUUGUAAUUUAGUUAAAUCCUACUGUAAUGUCAGAGAUUUAGGUUAAAUCAUGAAGUGUAAACAUUUCUAAAAGUAAAAAAUUCAGUAGAAUUUGGAUUCUGCUUACUAUACUCUUAAAAAUACUAAGAAAAAGAAAUAUAUGCAAAGCAGCAAGUAUGUAUGUGUGAGUGAGUGAGGUUUACAAAUCACAAAAGACAAUUUGUAAUGGUGCUGGGAUUAUGAGAAUAAAAAUUGCAUGGUCGGCAAUGGUAUCUUUUGUAGCCUAAGGGGAAAAAAAAAGGGACCCCACGCUUUUGUGUUAGGAAUAAACAAACAAUAAAGACAAUCUGCAAACUAGAAUUUCUUUUAUAUAUCAGGUCCAUGUGAAUGGAUUGAGUGUCAUAACAUUUUCCCUUUUCUGAAGUUCAUAGAUAGAACUUGAGAAUCAGAUUUAGUUUUCUUUUUUUUUUAUAUUUUUUUCUCAUCAAAAUGAUCUAUGUUGUAACUUAGUAACCAGAUUUAGUUUGUAUAUAAAGGAUUUGUAACUUAGUAACCAGCAAAUUGUUUACUAUUUGAUAUAAUACAUGAAAGUAUAUUCAAUUUUGUGUUUAUGUAUUAUUCUGAAAUAAGUUUGAGUACUAGAAAAAUUAUUUUCUAAGGUGUUUAGUCUGAUUAAAUUUCUUAAUAAGUGUCGUUGAGUUAGAUACUUCUUAAUUAAGUAUGAACUUUUAUUGACAGGUUGUGAUUGCACUGAUGAUACAGUUUGUGUGUAAGACUGCAACCCUGGCCGCUUGAUUCUAAAGUCACUUCUUUAAAAGCUCAUAUGUCAUUUAUAUGGUAUCCUAAUGAUGAGGAUGUUGCUAGUAGCACUGUUGCUGGAGGCGGUGCUCCUAUUACGGUCAUGGCGGUAAAGGAAUUAGAAGGAGAGGAUGGCGAGGCAAUGAUAAAGUCAGUUCCGCGUGAACAUAAAGAAAAGGUUUUGAAUUUAUUCGUUUGUUUUAUUUUGUUUCCGAGUUGUUGAUUAUGUUCUUCUUUCUUUACUUAAUAUUACGUGCGUCUUAUUUUGAAAUAAUAUUGUUACAAUAGAAUAUAAAAUAGGGAGGAAACUGUUAAUAGAAUACAACUUGAGCAGUCAAUGGUUUUGUAACUUGUUUUGCAGAUUUACACUUUUUGACUGCUGUGAAUUCUUUCAAUUUUCGUGAUGUUCAUUUGGGUUUAGCAUCUAAAAUUUUCUACCGGUUUGUGCUAUUAUUAGGGGAAUCCUUCGGCAGAUAUUUUAUUCGACCGUAUUUUUUUUUAGGAUUAAUCUGAGUAUUCUUAUCAUUACAGGAGAUCAUCAAUCCUUUAUUUGAGAAAGGAGAUACUCUCAAGAACUGUUUCAUCUUUGAUGCUUUUUAUGGGCAGGGAAUUAUAGGGAACAUUUUCAACAUUUGGUAACUUACUUAUGACUGAAGCACCACACUCCCUAAGUUUGGAAGAUUAACACUGUUCGGAUGAAAUUGACUCCUUUAAUUACACAAUGUUCUGGUUAUUGUUGAUUAUUAAUUUAUAUUUGAGUUUUCUGAUUAAUCUAGGCUAAUUUUCAAUUUACUGUUUUUCUUGCUGUAAUAGACACGAAUAAAACGAUUACAUGUUGUAGACAUUGCGCUUAUUAAAAACAUGUUUGUUUUCUUUGAAAUACAGUAGUUGGUACACGUGAUUUAUAUGGUAUUAUAUAAAUCACAAACUCAAAUUUCAUUCUAACUUUCUUUCUCAUGUCGUACUCAUGCCAAUCUUUUAUAAUAUUUUGGUACGGUCCGACUUUUUUUAAUGAAAACGGUCAUACACAAAUCCGUUUGUGAAAUUACUUUUCACAGUUUGCAUUUGUUUUUGUAAGUGCUCUGAAUUCAGUAUCAUGGUUUCACACCAUUUUUGUCAAUGAACAAAAAAAAAACAGGAACUGAUAAUAAAAGUUAAUCUUAGGAAGAACUGAUCAUAUUUGCUUUGACUGACAUAGGAUGAUCGCAGACAAAAAAUUUAAAAGUAUUGCAUUAUGAAUAGAAUAUUUUUCAUCUUUCUUCACAUAUGAUUCAAUUUGGCUUGUACCAUAUUAAGUUUAUAUCAUAUUAAGUAUCUUGAUAAUGAUGUUGAGUAUUGCUCAUUGAUUUUGGUAGAAAAAAUUGAUUAAAUUUUAUCUCAUGUUCUUAUGUCCAAGUAGUCAUAUUGUCCAUCAGAAUUGCUUAGUAUUAGAGAAUGUAAACCAUUCUCAUCUUAUAGCAAUUUUGUUUGGUUAAAUCCCAUUGUCACAUAAAUAUUAUCAUCAAUUUACUUUAUCAACGUAUAUUUUUUUUGUAAGUUUAUUUUACUAAUAUUUUUUCUUGCUUUUUUUUUCGCAUUUUAAAUUUGGUAUUAACUAUUAUGAAAGUAUUUUUUUGUCUAAAAAAUGAUUAAAUAAUAUAAAAAGGCAUGGUACAUAAGAGUUUUGGAACAAAUGAAAAAUGAAAAAAUACUUUCAAAUGAUGGAACGAUUUUGUAUAGUUUUCAUAAUAUGAAAAAAAAAGGUUUUAUUAUUGUAAUGCAAAUUAGGUUGUACUUUGACAUUAGAUUUUUAAGUAGUUCUGAUCAUUUUAAAUUUUUUUUUGUACUUUAGUAUUUUCUAUUCACAACUUUAUUACACAAAUUUUAAAUUUUAUCUUAUAUAUUCUUACAUUUUUCUAUAAUGUUCAAAAAACUAAAGUAAUUUAAAUAUUUUUAAUUAGCGAUCCAAUUCAUUAUAAAACACUCAUAUAUAUGUUAAUAACAUAAAAACACUUUCAUGAUGAAUAUUUUUAUUAAACUUACCAUACCCGUGCAUCGCACGGCCAAUUCACUAGUUCUCACUAUAACUAGGAAGUUGAUAUAUGAAAUUUACGAAAAAAGAAUGGGAUGUGUGCGUAUUAAUGUAAUUUGACCCAAAAAAAAGAUUCAAUAAAAAUAUCCGAAACAUACUUUAAAUUAGUCAUAACUCAUAAAAAUUAAGUCCCAACAAAAAAUAGUUAUUAAAAAUACUUUAGUUUAAUAAAUUGAUCGUGACUUAGCUUUGCUUUUUUUUUUUUUUGUCACGGACUUAGUUUCAUAUAUGUGGAUUAUCAAACGGACCAAUCAUCCAAAAACAUAAGUCCAAUUUUUUUUUUUUUUACCGAAACCAUUAAGUAAAAAGAGAGUUCAAAUUUUGGUAACCUUGGGAGCAGUUCUGUUUAAUUUUGUUAAUUGUAUCAUGAUCUGAUACAACUGCUAGUGUUCACUUCCAUAUCAAGCUUCAAUUACUAAGAAAAUUUCCUCAAGCCAAAAUUAUUAUGCGUAAAACUCUAGCAAUAUGAUUAAUGAAUGAUAUUAAUAUUAUAUUAUGAUCGUUUUGUCAUUAAUUCAAUAAUAAUAAUCAUUAAAUUUGUCAGUUAUAAAUUUAGAAUCAAGACAAAUAAAAUUAAAUGACGACUCAUCUAAUAAAGACAGCUAUAAUUUAUCUUGAGUAACAUAUAUAUAUAUAGCCUUUUUGUUUUAAACUUUCACUUUCAAUGUAUAUACAACAAUUAACAAAUAAAAAUAUAUAUUAUCUGCAUAUAAAAUAUUAACCACUAGGUAUUUAUAUAUAAAUGUGUAUUAUUUAAUUUAUUUUUAAAAUAUAUUUUAUAUUUCAAUAUACAUUUUAUAUAAAUUGUUUAUUGGUGGUUGAUUUGUUACGGAUAGCCGGUAUAGGUAGCAUGGUCGAUAAACAAAUCAUGUAUAUUGCAUUGUUAAUAAUUUGUUAUUAGUGACAUCAAAGUAAAGAGGGUUACAUGGAAGCACACAAACAACCAACGAGUCAAACACACCCACCUUUCAUCCACAUCCACUCCUUCCCCUUCCACGUUCAUCACACGCAUGCAGCAACACACACCCUUUGAUAAUUACGUGCAUGCACCACUCUACUCUUCAAUCACCAUCACAUACAUGCAAAGUGAUUAUUAUGGUACUUAAAUAACGUUGCCUAAUUUAUUAAAAAUAAGUACACUCGACUUCACGUGAAGUUAAUAGUUGAGAAUCGUUAGAUAAUUUGACUAAUUUAACUGAGUUUUCACCUUAAAAAUAACUGCCAAUGAGUUAUAUUUUAAAUAAUAUAAUCUCUUUAUAUUCAUCUAAAAAAACAUAAAAAACAUNNNNNNNNNNNNNNNNNNNNNNNNNNNNNNNNNNUGAAUUAUAUAAAAUUUUAAGAUUUUUUUUUUAUUUUUUAACGUUUAAUAUCCAUCUGUCUCACAAAAGGAUAGAGGGAAAACGUAAGGCAAUUUUCUAAAUAAAAACAGAGAACGGAAAAAGGAUUUCCACCAUAUGAAUAUCAUUGCCAUUUCUAAUGACAAUAGAGGAGUUUGAUUGGGUAAUUGAUGUUGAAAAAUGGUAUUAAAUUAACCGUAAAUUUAAAAAAAAUUGACUAAUUUUCUACGGUUAAAAAUUUAAAACAUUAAAAAUAAUUUAAAAAAAUUAAAAAUAUUAAAAUAAAAAUACAUACUUUAACUUAUUACUAACAAUAAUUAAUUAUUAUAUUUUAAAUACAUAUAUAAAGAGACACAUCCAGAAAAUAUAUUUAUAAAGAUACUUUUAUUAAAUACAGCCAUAAAAAAGACAUUUUUAUUAGACACAUUCACAAAAACACUUUCAUUAAACACAAUUAUUAAUAAGAGUUGGCAGAAGUUGAUAGAAAUACUGUUGAUAAUGUAGCGGAAUUGUUUUUAUUAUUAUUUAGGCAUUCCUUAACGCUUAAGACCAAGAAAAAAAAAAAAAACCGUAGGUGCACAAAUCUCUCAAAUAAGAAUUUCGGGUGGCAAGAUGGAAAAGCACAUCGAUGAAGGCGUUGGAAGACUCAUCGUUUUCUUGUGGCUGAAAGUGCGAAGUCUUCAUUCUUGUAUGGUUGCGGAGGCGCAAGAAGCUAAGAUUUGGAAGAAUAGUGGCGGAUAAAAUAUGAUUAUAAAUAUUCAAUCAAAAUUUAAACCACAUGUUGUAUGAAGACAAAAUCAACCCCACAAAAGCAGGUUAUCCAGCUCUCUUUGUCUAUCUAUAUACGUGUGCUAAACAUAGAAGUCGCAUUGCCAGCACAGUUUAGUUUGUUUUUUACUCCUUUAUUUUACUCUAUCUUCCUCAUUUCCAAGGCUCUUAGUGUGUCAUUCUUCAGCACUAUACAACACACUAUCUUUUCUCCUCGUCACACUAUUGUCCUAUUUAAUUAUUGAAGCACUAUGUCCUCAUUACCAAAAACAUAUAUAGGAUUAGGACAGAACACAUUAAUUAUCAUUUUUUUUAAUAAAAAAUUUACAUUAUGUAUUUAAUAUGGAAAUAUUUUUUUAUUAAUAAUAAUAUUUUGAUAUAUAUCCUUUAGCUAGCUAAACUCGUUUAUUUUUUUCCCAUCGAUAAUUUGACAAAUCAAUUAAUUAGAAUUCGAAUUUUAUUCAAUAGUCUUCUACACUAAUUAAUAAAUUACUGCAUACACAAUAUAAAAUUUAAACUCUUAAUAUCUACUUAAACUAAUAAGUUGACUAGCUAUACGACCAAAACAAGUUUAACAUAAAUAUUACAACCCAAGGAAACAAACUAAAAGAAAUAAUGAUAUUUUUAGUUUUUUUACUCAUUUAAUGAAUUCAUUGUGAAUACAUGCAUAAUGAGUAUUGAGAUACACUCAUAUGUAUACGAUAUAGGUUAAAUUCAUACUACAAAAAAAAUACCCAUUUAAAUAUACUUAAAAAAUAUAGCCAAAAAUAAAAAAAAACAUCUUAAAUUAAGACUACACUUUUUAAACUACAAAGACGCUUUAGUGAGAGAUGUCUAUUCGACUGUUGUCUACGAAAACACUCAUAAUUUAUUCACUUUUUUCUCAAAUAAAAGAUAAAUUAUUUUUUAUAAUAUGUUUAAUAGCUAUAUGUUGGAUAAAAUAGAUUGUUACUAUAAUCAAAACUAAUUCUUUAUUAAAAGAAUUCUCUAGUAAUUUUUCAGCCAAAUUUCUUUCUUUAAUUUUAUUUCCAAAUGUAAGAAAGAAGAGGUAAAACGAUAUUUUCUGAAAAUGAAAAUCUAUAUAAUUUAUAAUAUCACUGGCUAGCCACAAAAUAAAAAAAAUGUUAUUUAAAAAAAAACAGCUGAAACAAAAAGAUAAUUAUGAAAUGCAGAAAUAGAAAGUGGGAACAAAACUAAAAGCAGAAUAAUUUUUUUACAAAACCUGCAAAUAUUCACAUGACUAAAGCAAAUAAUAAUUUACAAGAUGAAUUAAUUAAAAUAAAUAUUCUAAAAACAAGAAGAAUAACACACACAAUAUUUUCUAUGAAGGGUAAACAAUAAAACUUAGAGCGAAAAUAAAAUAAAUGCAGAGAAGGCAGAAUAAGAGGACAAAUAUGGAGUGAAAAAGAGAAGAGAAUAAGUAAAAGUAAAAUCUCAACACGAGAGGAGAAGGGAUGAUUUGGUUUCUCUCCGGUAUGUCCAGCUUUAUUAUUAGGGUAAUUCAAAUUAAAUUAAGAAUUAGUGUUAAUUAUGAUGAUAUAAUUCAUUUUAUCUAAAUUAUUAGAUACUAGGAAUAAUUUACUUUUUAUUUAAGAGAAGAUGGGAGUGGAAAUCACCUUAAAUUUAUACAUAUUUUCGGAGAACAGAUUUUCAAACAUUUAAAUUUUUUUUUUUUUUGUAUUGAUGAUAUUUAAUAUUUUUUCUUAUUCUGAAAUGGAAAAUGCUAGGUGUAAAAAGAAAAGAAUUGAUUAGUCUUGAUUCAAAACUAAGGAAAAAAACAUUUAUGGUUUAAUUUUUUUUUUUCUUGUAAAGUAGUAGAGUUAAACAUCAAACAGAAGGUGCAUUAAACAUUGAACAUCUCAUUGAUUAUACCACAUAACAACAUGGCAUGCUUAGGUACCAAACAAAAAGGCAUCUUGGACAGUAUUUGCAUGAAAAUGUAACGUGGAAGCACAAAAUCAAUUAAUGAAGCAAACACAGCCACCCCACCCUCCUUCCCCCUUUCCCUUUUCCACGUACCUCACAUGCAAAAUCCCUCCUUUCACCUAUAAAUACCAUCACCACCAUCCACACUCAAAAAACACCACACACUCUUCAAUACACAUUCCAUAACCACCACAACAACAAUGGCCAAGCUCACCAUACUAGUAGCCCUCGCCCUUUUCCUCCUCGCUGCCCACGCAUCUGCGAGGCAGCAGUGGGAACUACAAGGAGACAGAAGAUGCCAGAGCCAGCUCGAGAGGGCGAACCUUAGGCCCUGCGAGCAACAUCUCAUGCAGAAAAUCCAACGUGACGAGGAUUCAUAUGGACGGGACCCGUACAGCCCUAGUCAGGAUCCGUACAGCCCUAGUCAGGACCCGGACAGACGUGAUCCGUACAGCCCUAGUCCAUAUGAUCGGAGAGGCGCUGGAUCCUCUCAGCACCAAGAGAGGUGUUGCAAUGAGCUGAACGAGUUUGAGAACAACCAAAGGUGCAUGUGCGAGGCAUUGCAACAGAUAAUGGAGAACCAGAGCGAUAGGUUGCAGGGGAGGCAACAGGAGCAACAGUUCAAGAGGGAGCUCAGGAACUUGCCUCAACAGUGCGGCCUCAGGGCACCACAGCGUUGCGACUUGGAAGUCGAAAGUGGCGGCAGAGACAGAUACUAAACACCUAUCUCAAAAAAAGAAAAGAAAAGAAAAGAAAAUAGCUUAUAUAUAAGCUAUUAUCUAUGGUAAUGUUAGUUUUGGUAAUAAUAAAGAUCAUCACUAUAUGAAUGUGUUGAUCGUGUUAACUAAGGCAAGCUUAGGUUAUAUGAGCACCUUUAGAGUGCUUUUAUGGCGUUGUCUAUGUUUUGUUGCUGCAGAGUUGUAACCAUCUUGAAAUAAUAUAAAAAGAUCAUGUUUUGUUUUGGCGAGUAUAUUAUGUUUUAUUUCUCAUUUUGGUUUUUCUGAUUGAUGAUGAUUAGUUGAAUAAAAGGUAUUGAAGGUUUUUUUCCCCUAAACUUCAUCUAUUUAAAAAUUUAGAUCAAGUAAAAUUUUAAUUUUUUUAAAAAGUUAUAUUAUUUGGUGGAUAGGGUGUUUUCACGCUAAAAUUUUGAAUACAGGUGUUAGAGAAAAGAAUGACGCGAAGAGAGAUGGAUGUGCUUCUUUGUUAGAGACGCACUAGUCAAUUCAGGACAACAUUAUGUCAAUGUCACAUUAGGUNNNNNNNNNNNNNNNNNNNNNNNNNNNNNNNNNNNNNNNNNNNNNNNNNNNNNNNNNNNNNNNNNNNNNNNNNNNNNNNNNNNNNNNNNNNNNNNNNNNNNNNNNNNNNNNNNNNNNNNNNNNNNNNNNNNNNNNNNNNNNNNNNNNNNNNNNNNNNNNNNNNNNNNNNNNNNNNNNNNNNNNNNNNNNNNNNNNNNNNNNNNNNNNNNNNNNNNNNNNNNNNNNNNNNNNNNNNNNNNNNNNNNNNNNNNNNNNNNNNNNNNNNNNNNNNNNNNNNNNNNNNNNNNNNNNNNNNNNNNNNNNNNNNNNNNNNNNNNNNNNNNNNNNNNNNNNNNNNNNNNNNNNNNNNNNNNNNNNNNNNNNNNNNNNNNNNNNNNNNNNNNNNNNNNNNNNNNNNNNNNNNNNNNNNNNNNNNNNNNNNNNNNNNNNNNNNNNNNNNNNNNNNNNNNNNNNNNNNNNNNNNNNNNNNNNNNNNNNNNNNNNNNNNNNNNNNNNNNNNNNNNNNNNNNNNNNNNNNNNNNNNNNNNNNNNNNNNNNNNNNNNNNNNNNNNNNNNNNNNNNNNNNNNNNNNNNNNNNNNNNNNNNNNNNNNNNNNNNNNNNNNNNNNNNNNNNNNNNNNNNNNNNNNNNNNNNNNNNNNNNNNNNNNNNNNNNNNNNNNNNNAGUUGUUUUAACCGUUGAUUUCAAUUAAUGUAUAUUAUAUAUAUUUUUUUAUAAUUUAGAUUAAUGGUUAAAACAACUGGAACACCAAUAUUUUCGGUAUACUUAAAACUCUUCCUAUAACAUAAACUGUAACACUUUACCACACAGAGUCUUAUGUUUAAGUCAUAAAACAGAGGUGGUCAGGUAUUAUGACCUCUAAAAAUAAAAUUUAGUACAUAUAGUAUUGCAAAAAUAUUUAUAACUAGGAGCCUUUGAAGCUUCAAAGUGGGUAAAUCAAAACCGAUUAAAUCAAAAAGCGCAACACUCCGAUCGAUAACGUAAACGAAACAACGAUAGAAUGAGCUAACACGAUAAGAUAUACAAAAGAGUGCCAAUGAUACAUAUAUCAAGGCCCAUGAUUCGAUUUGCGAAGGUAAUCGGUCCGAACAUAUAAGGUAUACAUACAUAUAUAAGGAACUUCCCAAAAGACAACCCACAAGACAAAAUACAGAACCUGUUUUUUUCAAAAUACCCUCUAAGAAGAGUUAAUACAAAAUACAUAUACAGUAAAAAAUAUAGUAUCUAAACAAGUAUAAAAUAACCAAAAUAAAAUUCCAAAAUACAAAGAUUUCCGCCAAAAGAAAGUCUUCAGUAUACCUCAGUGAGGAGCCUCACGUCCUGCAUCUGAAAACCACAAAAUCCGCAUGAGUGAGAACCGGUGGUUCUCAGCAUGGUAACAGUACCCAAAUAUCUAACAUGUAAUGUCCUGGAAAAGUCGAAGGCAAUCCUAGAACUUCCAAAUUAUAAUCAAAGCGCAUAAACAUGAUAAGCCAUAAAAAAUGUAAAUAGGUGACUAACUUAAGAGUCUUCAAACUAACUAAACAUCCCCUUUCUAAAUCCUGCAAACCUCCCAACCGCCAAUAGUAACAGAUACAAACACAAGUAUAUCAAACAAAGAAAUGCACGAGUAGGAAACAGAUAAGACAAUUAAGCAAUUAGCAAGUAAUGAUGCAAUCAAUUAGGUAAUCCAGACAAUUCACAUAUAAUGCAUAUGAUGCAUGCUUAUCCUAGUGGUUGAUGAGUCUCAUCUGUUAGUUAUCUAUCCAACUCGACGUGUUCGAUAGCUAACCCGGCCACAGUCUCUCUAUUGCGCGUUAGUACCAUUAAAGGGAAUACGUGCCCUGUCACCGUUAGAGAGUAUAUGCGCCCUGUCACCAAUUUACCAUUAGAGGGUAUCUGCGUCCUGUUGCCAUUAGAGGGUAUCUGCGCCUUGUCGCCCUCACAACCAGAGAGAAAGCAUUACAAAUAUACUCACACCCAACCUCUCCAUUUGUUAUUCAUUUACCGUAUUCAAUCAUGAAUUACAUAUACAUUUAUCCUCAGCCAAACAUCAACACCUAUCUCAGCCAUCCGGCGUAAAUUCAUAAUUCAUUAACAGCCAUAACCCAGCAUCACACACAGUCAUUUGACUCAUAUCAUUCCCGGCCAUUCGGCCCAUACCAUACACAGUACUCCACCAUCUUCCUCCAAAAUUCAUAUCAUCAUUUUUCUUUAUAACCCAUCAUAACAUCCCCGUUCUUCAUCCAUAAGCUACCCUUUCCCCCAGCUUACUCACAUUCACUAGGUAUUCUAUAUCAAUUUAAGAUUUAAGGGAUGAAUUUGGGGGUUUAUAAGCGUGAAAUAACAUCUCGGAAGGUUACGAUCUUGUUGGGAAUGUGAAGAACUUGAAAACAAGAGUUUUAGAAAUGAACUGGGUCACGUGCGUACGCACAGGGGUGUGCGUGUGCACGCCCAAAAGCAUUUUUAAACGCGUGCCUGUGCGUACGCACAGAAAGCAAAAUCUUCAGGGUGAGGCGCGCGCACAACGUGUGCUAGCAUCGCCACCAGUGUGCCAUUUCCAACGUGUGCGUGCGCACAGACCGGUGCAUGCGCACAGACCGGUGCGUACGCACAGCUCGAAAUUCUUCGAUGGUUGUGUGUGCGCACAGGGCAUGCUAGCGCUACCACCAGCAGCCCUGUCUCCGUGUGUGCGUACGCACAAGGCUGUGCGUGCGUACAAGACCAAAUCCUCGCAGUGUGCGUGCGCACACAAACCAGAAAUCAUAAAUUCUACAGAAGUUGCAGAACUCAGUUUUCUGGCCCAAACUUCCAGCGAUCAUAUCUCCUUCCACAAAAUUCAUAUUUCCACCAAAUUUAAACCAUUUUAAAGCUUAUAAAGUUAUUUUUCAUUUGAUAUAAAAAUCAUCAAAUUUCGAAAACAAUAGCUCAAGAUAUGAUCCGUGGAAGUUCAUCAAAUUUUCAUUUUCAUCAAAAACUCAUAAACUCCUAAUUUUAAAACAUACACUUAUCAAACUCAUUCAAAACCCAUCAAAACUCAUUCUUCCAACAUCAAUCAUUGCCAAUGACUCAUACAAUCAUCAACCCACCAAUUCUACCAUAUUUAUCCAAAUCUCAAUUUAACAAAUCUCAUAUCACAAUCAACAUUUCAUAUCUCAAUCCCCCAAUAAAUAUUCAAUUCAUCAAUCACCAUAUAUAUAAAUAUAUAUACACAUAUCAUCAUCACAUUUCAAAUCAUGCUCAUCAUCAAGAGCCCCAACUUUAUCAUCAAUCCAACAUAUUAAAUCCACAUAACAUACAACAAUACAUGCUUUAUCAACCAUACAACCACUCACAAUCAUGUCCAUAAUCAUUCAUACAUUUCUAAUUCAAUCCAAAGUAACCAACAACCACAUCAACAAUUCCAAAGUCCUAUCCUAGGUUCACUAGCCAACGUUUUCACACCACAUUACAUUUUAAAUACAGGAAACCGAAGCCAUACCUUGGCCGAUUUUCGUUCCACCCGGAACCCUCUCAAAUUCACUUUUUCUCAACUUCCAAUGCCUUAAUACUUCACCAACAGAUUUCUAGGCACAAGCUCCACUCCAAGGCUUGUCAAAAUCACUAAUCAAGCUCCAAUAUACAUAUAUACAAAGCCUAAACCACAAUAUCACACCCAAACACAAUAACUCAAUACCCAACACCUCAAAUUCAACAUAUUCACUUGGGUUAGAGAAUCUUACCUUACCCAAUGACCAAGAAAGCUAGAGAAAGCCUUCUCUUCAAGUUAAUUUGAGCCUACAACAUCCAAAUUCAAAAAUCUCAACACUUUACCCACAAAUUUUUGAAAAUGAGAACUGAGAAUUCGAAGAACAAACUGUGGCUUACCUCAAGAUUGCUUAUGUGAGUUUUUUAGAGCUCGAUGCCGCGAUCGCGUGGCUGUAAACAGUGCGUCAAUCGGAGCUCCAGAUCAAAAGAUAUGAUCAAUUGAAGUUGGAGCAAGGGUUUGUGUUUUCCUCCCCCUUUCCCCUCUCAAUCUCAGCGUGAAUGUGUUCUUGAGGGAGGGAGAGAGCUGAGCUUCAUUAAUUAAAUGAAGCUUGGCUGGGUCAUGGGCCCAACUUGGGUCCGGUUAGUUCAGUUUGGUCUGUUCGGCCCAAUCUUGAGCCGAUUUCUUUAAAAUUAGUGUCGAAAUUCUCGUUUUAAUUUUAUCUAUCACAUUAAAUCAUAAAAAUCGCAUUUCUCACUUUCUAAAAUAUAUUUUAAUUUAUUGGUUAAUUAGCCAUUAAUUAACUGAAUUUUUCAUAAACAAAUUUAAAUCAAUUGUUUGUGGUUAGAAUUUUACCAUAUCUUUUCAAUUUUAAUGGAUAAUUUAUCUCUUAUUAUAUAUCAUAACAUUAGUGGUUGAAUAAUUAAAUUGGUUUGUCAUGAUUAAAUUUAAUUUUUUAUUUAAUUUAAAUUUUAUUAAAUUAACUAUAACUAACUAUGGUAUAUUUUUUUUUUGUAAUUUAUAAAAAGAUUUAUGCUAUGUGUACACUAAAAUUAGCCAUCAAAGUCAGCCACCAAUAUAAAAUACAUGUUAAAAUACAAAUACACAUUAAAAAUAAAUUAAACCACAUAUAUAUUUAUACACAAAUACAUUGAUAGUUAAUUUUAGUAGCUGAUUUUAGUGUACAAAUAACAUUUUUCUUAUAAAAAUCAUUAAAAAAUUCUCACUUUGUAAUUUAUUUUUUCUCAAACCACAUAUUUAUUAAUAAUUUCAAACAAAAAAUCUCAAAAAAANNNNNNNNNNNNNNNNNNNNNNNNNNNNNNNNNNNNNNNNNNNNNNNNNNNNNNNNNNNNNNNNNNNNNNNNNNNNNNNNNNNNNNNNNNNNNNNNNNNNNNNNNNNNNNNNNNNNNNNNNNNNNNNNNNNNNNNNNNNNNNNNNNNNNNNNNNNNNNNNNNNNNNNNNNNNNNNNNNNNNNNNNNNNNNNNNNNNNNNNNNNNNNNNNNNNNNNNNNNNNNNNNNNNNNNNNNNNNNNNNNNNNNNNNNNNNNNNNNNNNNNNNNNNNNNNNNNNNNNNNNNNNNNNNNNNNNNNNNNNNNNNNNNNNNNNNNNNNNNNNNNNNNNNNNNNNNNNNNNNNNNNNNNNNNNNNNNNNNNNNNNNNNNNNNNNNNNAUUUUAUCUUACUUCUUUCGUAUUAUUAAAAAAAAUUCAUUUUUCAUACAAAAACAAUUUGAAAAAAAAAAAAGCAAUUAAACUCAGGGUUGUUGAGAACAAGAAAAAAAAAGAGGGAAAAAAAGAACUAUGCAAUCUGCACCAAAUUUGACGAAUUUUAAGGGAGUUUAUUUUAAAAAUAUGUUAUUUUCUCAAAAAAUUCUAUAAUUUUACGUACUUGUAUAUAUCUCAAUUUAUUUAUUCAAUAAAUUCAUUUAACAUACUCUAAUUGAACUGUAAUUAAAAAUAAAUUUUAUUGUAAUAAAAGUUUNNNNNNUUGUUAGUGGCAAUUUCAUGCAUUUCUGGCGAGAAGGGAAACGAUUUUUCCGGUAGCAGCAUGGAGAUGGUGGCAUCAAUAUUUGAUGGUGUUAAGGAAUAUAACGGAUGAUGUAGUUUUUUCCUUCUAUUAAUAAUAACUCAUAAACAGAAUAGCCAAUGAGUUAUAACUCAAAUGACAUAGUCUUUUCAUACUCAAUUAAGAGGUUACGGGUUCGAGUCUUUUAUCUUUAGUAAAAAAAAAAAAAAAACUCAUAUUGCAUUCCAAUGUUUUUUUAUUUUUUUAAUAUUUUUGUUUAAGACAUAAAAAUAGGAAAGAAGAGAGAAGUUGAAGAUGUCUCUUUAAUGGGCCAUGGACAUUUUGUUUUAAUUAAUCAAUUACAAUUUUUGUUUUACAUACAUGUGUGCUUUUAGCGAGUGGGUUGUCAAAUUUGUGAAAAAUAAAAGAGUCAACGCCAAUUUAAAAAAAAAUAAAAUAAUAAAUAUUUAUUUUGAUUUUUGAUAAUUUAUUUGAAUAAUAAAAUAUUUUUUAUAAUUUCAAAAUUUUAAAUUAAUUUUUAAUUAUUUAAAUAACUAACAAUUUGAAAGUCGCUAACUGAUCUCUACCUAUUUUAAUGUUGAUCUAAUUGAUUUUCAAUCGUUCAAGUAAUUGAUCCAAAUGAUCUUUGUAAACAAUAACUUAAAUCAAUAUAAAAAAUUAUUUAAACUAAUUAUUUAAUUAUUUAGAUAAGAGAUUGAUUAAAAAAUUUUAAAUUUGAAAAAAUUAUUUAUCGUUCAAGCAAAUAUUUAAAGAACAAAAAGAAUAUUUACUCAAUAAAAAAUAAAUAAGUUUUGAAAACAAAAUAGACGAUUAAUAUAUUGAAGUAAGGCUAAUUCUAUAUACUUAUUAUUUAAUGUUUAAAUUUUGUCUACUUUAUUUUUUAUAAUAAAUUUUAAAUAUUUAAAAUUUACUAAAAAAAUUAGACAACAAAUAUUAGAUGCCAUAGAAUUGGCCUUAUAAUUAAUAUGUGACAUUAGAGUGGCGGCAGAUGCUAGACUCAAAAAUAAUAAUCUGUGCCAAAACAAACUAGUAGGAAGUAGCUUAUAUUAUGAGCUAUUAUGUAUGCUUGUUUCGUUAAUAAUAAAUAUCAUCACUGUAUGAAUGUGGUGAUAGGUAAGGUUAUAUGAGCACCUUCGGUGUGCUCUUAUGGCUUUACCUAUGUUUUGCUACUGCAAAGUUUUAACCACCAUGAAAUAAAAGAUCUUCAAGUAUAUUAUGUUUUAAUUUCUUUGACAUUAAUGAAAAUCAAACUCUUCUAAUUUUUUUUAAAUAAAUUUUUUGAUACUAUGACAUUUAAACAGAACAAAAAUAUUUAGUAAACAAAAAAUAUUAAUAAAAAAUGAUUAAAAAUUAUUAUUUUUAGUUUUAUUUAAUACAUUUUAUAAUAAAUAAAUAUUAAAUAAGACAUAUUUAAAUUAUUUAGGUAGAUUAUUUUUUGUUUUCUAAUAUUACCAUAAACAGAACUGCGUAUAUAAAUAGUUAUACGGUUAAUUUAUAUUUGUAAUAAAGCUGAUCCGGACAAUGAUACCAUUAAAAGAAAAUGUAGUUAGCUUAUUAAGCAGAGAUUAGACGGACAAUGAUAUCAUUAAAAGAAAAUAUAGUUAGGUUAUUAAGCAGAGAUUAGACUGUUGUAGGCGAGGGACUGUAAUGGUAUUGAAAAUUGAUUUACUGUAAUAAGAGAAAUAAGAAUAUAAGAGAAAAAGAAAUAGAUAGAAAAGAGAAUGAUUAAGGAAGAAGAAGAGAUCAGAUGUCUAGAUAGACAUUUCAUAAUUUACACAUAUUCACUAUUAUUAUUACUANNNNNNNNNNNNNNNNNNNNNNNNNNNNNNNNNNNNNNNNNNNNNNNNNNNNNNNNNNNNNNNNNNNNNNNNNNNNNNNGAUUUUUGAAUUGUCUAAGAGUGGCUAUUCAUCAGUCAUCAAUGUUGGGUUUACUUUUUGAGAUAGGACCUAUCUCUUUGUAUUUGUGUUAGACAUGUGAGUAGUAGGUAACUUAAAAGAUACCUUACUAAAAUUCUAUUUGUUUAAAAAAAUACCUGACCCAUCAUGUGUUUAAAAUAAUUUUCUUUACAAGUUGGUCCAAAUUUUAACCAACAUUUGACAUAUGUAUAGUAAGGGUUUAAUUUCUAAAGAUGGGUUUUCACUUCCUCAUUAUUCUCCUUUAUGAAGAGAAAAGACAUCAAGUCAAAGGAUUCAUCAAUCACCUCUAAAUUUGUCUGUAUCAUUGUUAUUUAUAGGCUUUUGUCUUAGGUUUACACAUAUACACAGUGAAAAAUCACAUAUUAUAUAGAAUAAACACCAAAACAACAAAAAAAAAAAAUCACAAAACAUAAUUUUUAAUUUUUCUGUAUCUCUAUAUAUUUUCAAUAUAGAUGAGAAUAAAUACUUAUGUUUUGUCUUAUCUUGUUGCUCGAUCCAUCAAAAUUCAAAAGACUAGAGUUAUUUACGAAUUAGAUUGGUUUGGAUUUAAGAAAAAAAAUCAAACUGAUUAAAUUUAAUUAGUUCGAGUUGGUUCGAAUUUAAUUUUUUUUAAGUAAAUCCAAAUCAAUUUGGACAGAUUAGAUUUGAAUUGAAUUAGUUUAGAUGAUUAGGUAUCUGAUUGAAACUCGAUCCAUCAAAAGACUAGAGUUAUUUACGAAUUAGAUUGGUUUGGAUUUAAGAAAAAAAAUCAAACUGAUUAAAUUUAAUUAGUUCGAGGUUCGAGUUGUUUAAUUUUUUUUAAGUAAAUCCAAAUCAAUUUGGACAGAUUAGAUUUGAAUUGAAUUAGUUUAGAUGAUUAGGUAUCUGAUUGAAACAAAAGAUGAGGAGGAGGAAGAUGAAGAGUUUUGAAUUAUGCAGAACUUAUCAGAAUAAAGAUGCAUUGAAAUUUAUUAACAAAAAUACAUAAAUUUCUUAGUUUUUAUACCGAAACUUUGCUACAAAAGCACAAAAAUAUCUUCUUUAAUGUUGUAUUUUUUUCUUCUUUUUUUCUUAUUUCUUUCUUUCUUUUAGUUGAAUGAAUGUAGGUUUAUCCCCUUCCUAGUAAUUUUGCAGCAUUAUGUGUUUCUUCUUCUUUGUUUGAUAUUUUUUUUUGUUUUUAUUUUUGUUAAAAGAGUAAAACAAGAAGAAAUUUGAGAAGGUAAAACAAGAAAGAAAAGAUUAAUAAAAAAAAGACGAUGAUGAAAAUGAAGAAGAAGCAGCAGAAGAUGAGGAGGAAGAAGAGAAAGAGUUGUGAAUUAUACAGAACUUAUCAGAAGAAAAAUACACUGAAAUUUCUUAACAAAUACACAUAAAUUUCUUAGUUUUUAUACCGACACUUUGCUACAAAAGCACAAAAAUGUGCAACAUCUCAUUAGUAAAUUAAUGUGCAGGAAUAAUCGGAUAAAUUGUGUGCUUUUUGGUCGGGUUAUAGAUAAUAUUAUGCCUCACCUUGAAGAAGAAAGGGUUGGACCCCUCAUCGUUGUGCUGAGUUUUGAAUUAUGCAGAACUUAUCAGAAUAAAAAUAACACCAAAAUUUCUUAACAAAUACGCAUAAAUUUCUUAAUUUUUACACCGAAAUUACUUAAUAUGAUUGCAAUAUGCAAACUCAGUUUAAAAACAAGAAUACAAACAAGACUGAAUCAUGAACAAAAACAUAUCCAAAUUAAUUUUGGAUCAGGCAACGUCAUUAAUAUGACAAAAAUUCAACAAUAAUGAUAAUAAUAACGAUAAAAAAAGAUGACGAUAAUAAUAAUAAUAAUGAUAAUGAUGAUAAUGAUGAUGAAGAUAAACGAUUAUAACAACUUGGUUAAGUAUUUUGUUUAGAUAUAAAAUUUUAUUCUUUUGGAUGUAUAAUCAAAUUAUCCGUACCAUAAACACCUGUACAAAAAACCGCUAGCGCUGCAUCAUAUGUUAAUUGAUAUAUUAAAUUUACUAUAUUCUAUCUUUUUCUGUACGUGCAUAUUGUAACACCCUACCACACUUAAUCUUAUGCUUAAGUCAUAAGACUGAGAUAAUAGGUAUUACGAUCUCUAAAAUUAAAAAUAUACAUAUAAUAAUAGUGAAAGAAAUAUUUAACUAGGAGCCUUGAAAAAUGGAUAAAACAAAAUCGCAAAAAUAAAAGCGCAACGCUCAGGAAAUGAGAUAACUUGCGUGCUAAGAAAUCUAAAGAUAAUAAGUAUAAAUAGACAGAAAAUGAGAAUAGAGAGUCAAGGAUACAAAAUAACUAACUCCUAACUCAGCCUGCGAAGUCAAGGCUGACCGGAGAAUAUUUACAUACAUAUAUACAUAUCCCAAAAACCCCUGAUACAUAGGUAAAGUCCUAGCUCUCCUUUAACCUCUAAGAGGAACAAAAUAAACAAGUUUCUUGGAGAUAAAGCUAAGUACAUAUAUACAUAAGAUACAUAACAAAAGAACCCAGAAACUGCUCCGCUUCAGGAGUCCAGACGCCUAGCGAGGUGCCUCUCGACCUGCAUCUGAAAAAUAACAAUACAAUAUGGGGUGAGAACCGGAGGUUCUCAACAUGGUAAAUGUAACAUCUAGCAUUUUUUGAAAAUCUAAAUAUAAAUGAAUUGUGAUAUUAUCUUAUCAAGUUUAAAAUUUAUAAUUUUAGAAAUUAUUUUGUUAGAAAUAAUUAAAUAGAUUGGAGAUAAUUUUAUUUUGAAUUAAUUAAUAUUCUUAAGUGAUAUUGAUUGAUUAUGUGGAUUGUGAAUUGUUUGAUGACCAAUUGUUGAGAAUUUCUAAAUUUUGAUGAUUAUAUUGGAUUGUUGUCGUUGAGCUGGUUAUUGAUGUAUUGUGAUGGCGAUGAAUUUAGUUGGUAGUUGAUUUGGAAUUAAUUUUGAGAAGUAUUAAAGGGAUUGAAUUUUGAAAUACUAAACUACUUGUUGAAAAUAUGAAGUUUUGAAAUGAAGCGGCAACUUUGAAAGUGAACCGGCAUCUUAAUAGUGAUUGGAAUGAUAUGAGACUAAAAGCUAAGCGAACUACAAUAAGUAUAGUUAUUAAUAUUCAAUUUUAAAGGUUUCGUAUUAACUAGAGAAUUAGUUAUGAUAUUUCAAAGUUGAAUUAUGAAAUUUGAUUUUCUACAUUACUUUUAAACGAAGUCAGAAACUUUGAAAAGCUAUAACUAAUUUUGUGAUGAUCGGAAUUGCAUGGGACCAAGUCUGGAUUAAACUUAGGAAUAUAGGGAAUUGGACUGAAAAAUUUGAGGCAUUUUUGUUAAAUGUACAAUUUAUGGUGAAUUUUUAGAUUUAAGUUGAUAAAUCUGUCCUGCAGCAGAGAAGUUCAAAUAGGGCAGCAACUUGUUUGUCUUGCUGCGACUCCUACGAGUUGAGUUUUGGAGCAAAACUAAUAUUGUUUUAAAAUUUGUUUAACUUGGUUUAUUUCUCUAAAAUUUCAAAAUUUUAGGAGUUAAGAAUUGGGAGUUGUGAAUUUUUGAAAACUGGUGAUCAAAGCCGGAAAGAAUCAGUUUUCAGCAAGUUAUGCAUCAACUUCUAAUGCUUGUUGAUGAUAAUCAGUGGCUAAGAGAAGGGGGUUGAAUCUUAGCCCUCUUUUUCUGAAUGUUACUUUCUGCUUUUUAGAAUAGCUCCAGGAGAUAUUCUGCUUUUUGUCUCAUAACUGGUCAAGAGAUAUUUUCUUUUUGGCUCGUAACCGGUUAGGAGAUAUUUUUCAAUUUUAUCUCCCACGAACAGAAACAGUAAAUGAGUAGAAGAGAAAGAGAGAAUCACACCCAAAAGUAUCCUGGUUCAGCUACUAAGUGCAAUGCAGCCUACAUCCAGUCUCCAUCACAAUAGUGACAGAAUUUCACUAUAAUCAACUUGAUUACAGACACUAAUUCUUCCCUAGGAACUACCCAUUCCUAUCCGGGACAAGUCCAGAAUCUAUCCCUAAAACUGAACUUGACUUGGUCACCUACCAAGCUUUCGACUGAAAAGUGCUAACCCAACUUGCAAGGGAACAAGUCAAGAUUCUACCCCAACCCAAACUUGACUAGACCUCAAUCUAGCUUUCAACCGCAAAGUGCUAACCCAACUUGUAAGGGAAUCUCCUCAGGAUCAUGACAACAAAACAGAAAUACAUACAAAGAAUUUUUGAUAUAAUAAUGAUUUUUUCUUUAACUCUGCCUUUUUUUCACUCAUUGGCUUUUUCUUACAAAAUCUCACAUUUUGCCUUUUACCAAUGAAACACAGACAGACUCACUGAGGAAAAGAAAUAUUCAAUGAAAGCCAUGAAGGAGAAGAAUAAAUAGUUCAAAGAGCUAUGGGAACCCGAACGUAUGCUCUCACUCCUUGUCUCAAGCCUUGGCUGCUCACCCUUAUUAUAGAAGGGGAAGCCUCCAAGGUUGAAACGGUUCAAUCGAGCUAACUUCUUCUUCUUCAACACCAAAACCGGUUCGAACAGAGAGAAGAGAGAGGGAACCGAAAGCUAAAACCAACAUGCAAUUACCUCUCUCUCAUCCCUUUUCUUCAAGCUUCAUCAAUCUGAGCCUUCCAUCUUGACUUGGUCCCCAAGAAGGAUUUCUGACCCUUGAUGAACUCUUGAUCCUUGACAGCUCCAUCUGCUCCACUUUUGCUUCCUCCUCCACAUAGCUAUAGUAGCCACCUUCUGUGAUGGAUGAACAAAAAGUAGAAAUGAGCCAUACCACAGGGAUCUUCUUCUCUGACCGAAAUGGAUUGCUACCACUUUUGGCAUGGAGAUCUUGAAACUUCUUCACCACAUCUUGCCAUUAGUAGAAAAGAUCUCAGCCACGCCAUGCUUUGGAUCUUCCUUUUUUGCAAAGGCCAUUAUCCUAGCCUUUUGCUUCUUCCAGCUUCUCUGUAAUUUCUCUGAUAACUUCUUCUUCUUCUUUCUUCCAUCUUCUUUUUUGAUGGAUGUGACAAAUAAAACAAGAGAGAGAAGAGAGAGUAGAAACAAAGCAUUGAUUGUUAGAUUAAAUGAAAUUGAAAUCCUACUAACAAUCCCAAUGCAUAAAGUAACGUGUGGAGCAAUUAAUGCCAUCAAAUCAAUUUUAAUUUUUUCUCUCCUAUUACCAAUGCAUGCAAUAAAAUCAAGUUAAUAAAUUUUGAAUUCCAUAAGCCAUGGAGGAAUGUAACCGUGGAAAGCAUGCACUCAAUUUGAAUUUGGAUCUCACCAAAGUAAAUGGGUAAUAGAAACCUCAUGCUCCAUUUCCUUUUUCUUUUGAUUUUGGACCAAGUCUUGUUGGUCACCUAACAAAAAUUAAUUUGGGCUACUCACAUGAUACAUGGCCCAAAUUACCUUUGCAAAAUAAUUCAGCCAUACUCUUAGAAAUCUUUUUGCACAUUGGCUGAAUAUUUUUUCAUUAUUUUGGACUAUGUUGUUUUUAGCCCAAAUAAACAAAUCAAAGCAUGUGAGAGAGUGAACAUUUUUGUGAUCACCGUAUGGAGCCUUUGGUCACUUAAAGAGAUUGCAUUAAGAUCAUUGAAUGGCUUCUUCCAAGGCUUUGGGUCACUUGUUUCUGUCUUUAAUUUAUGAUGGGUUUUGAUGGAUUUGGGCCUCCUUGGAUUUCUUUCUUUCUUUAAACAAUCAGCUACUAACAUUUGAAUUAUUUUUGCUCAAAGCUAAAUUUGUUCAAAGAUCAAUUUGGGCUUGUGUAACUUUGACCCAAUAGAAAUUAAAUUGCUUGCUUGCACACUUGAACACAAAUCAUCAAACAACCUAUUGGAAAUUAUUAAAUAAAACACUUAAUAAUAAUUUUAAUAAUUUCUUAAUUUAUAUUUUAAUAAUGUUUGAUCAUCAUUUCAGUUUUUCAAACUUAACAAUCUCCCUCUUGAUGACAAACAUUAUUAAAUUGAAUUGAAAGAGUUAGGAUAGAUAACUUCCCUUUGAAGAUUUGCCAAAAUCUCCCCCUUUCUUUUGUUCAAUGUGCUCCCCCUUAAUGUGUGCUUGAUUAAUAAAAUAUUUAAGAAAGCCAUCACCUGUAUACAAGCUCUAAAGAGUUCCAAGAAGAUACAGAUUUCAAAACAUAGAACCUUUAAGAUCGAGCCAUUAUUUUCACAACAUGAUCCAGAUAGCACAUGUAUGUAUACUUAAGCAAAUAAAUUUUUCAAAAUAUAAUUAGAGCUCAAGUUGAAAUUCUCUAACACAGAGUGCUCAAAACAAUGAGCCAAAAUAGAGCACAAAUAUGAAACAAAAUGCUCAUGUCCAAACAGGACAGCAACGAAAUAGUUUCAAUUCAGCAAUUUAGCUCUUCUUUCAUUUUUCUUCCCCUUUUGUCAUUAAAGAGGGACAUAUCAUAUGUCAAAAGUUUGCAAGGAUCUUAUCAAUUUCCAAAAACCAUCAGCCAGCCUUGAAAGAAGCAUGAAUCAGAGCUAAACCAAGCAUUAAUUAAAUACUAUUUAUUCACAGGCUCAUAUGCUAAGCUAUAAACAAUAUUCACAACCAGAUGAAACUGCAGAUUUUUAAAUACAAAUUCAAAUAAUAAACAGCAGCUCAAACAUCAUCAUAGAUAAAAACAAACAGCAGCAACAAUAGCUUCAAACAUUAUUAUCAUAGAUAAAAACAAACAGCAGCCUUUUAAUUCAUUUUUCUUUCUCCUCCUGCAUGGAAAAAUAGUUCACCAUAUAUACAAAAAGUGUAGAGUAGGUAAAAAUGUAAAAUCCAAGUUACAGUCACCCAACAGAAUUCAACAGCUGAGAUCCAAAAAUAGAACCAAAAUUAUGAUAAACUAAUGUUUCAGAAAAAGUUUUUCAGAAGCAACAUCAUGGAGCAGUCUUAAAAAAAAAGAAAACUCAAAUACCAAAAUAAAAAAAAAAACUAUAAUAAGUAUAAGCAAUAUUCACAACCAGACCAAUAUGCAUAUUCAUAGCUGCGUGAAAUAAUAGUGAAAACCCAAGAAAAUUGCAACCAAUCUCAAGCAUCAUAAGUUCAACUGUUUCACUAUAGCUGUUUCAAUUUAUUUUCACACAAUACUUACUCCCCCUGUUGUUAUUGAGAAUAGUAAAUCUGCACACAAAAACAGUUCAAUAUGUAAUCCACAAGUGCAAAACAGGUAUGAGUGUAAGUGUCAACAGAAGUUGUAAAAUUUAUCAUAAAAAAAAAACUAUAAGAAAUUAGCUGCAUCAAAUCGGACUAGACAUCAGAUCCCUCAUCCUUGGUUGUAGGAGGAUCUUCCUCUUCUUUCAAAAUUGUGUCCUUGGCUGCCUUUGUGCCCUUUUUCUUAGAUUUCUUUACAGCACCACUACCUUUAAGAUUUAAAAUUUUGUCUUGGGUUUCAUUACUCAGAUCGACACCACAAUACUCAAAAAUACAAGUUAAAAACAUUCUAUAAGUAAGAAAAAUGGGAGUAGUGGAGAAGAUGAGAAGGUAUCAUAAUAAAUGCUUUAAAUGUUCAAAAAUCUUUUGAAAACCCAAACCAAUUCAAUAAAACGAGAUUUAAAGAAUUUUGAAUUUUAAAAACAAUACACGCAGUUUUGAAAUGACAAGUCAAAUAAAAGAUUGAAAAGAUUUUGAAACUAAUUUGACUUGAAAAAUGAUGAAUGUAAAUACUCUCAUUUUUGGUGUAUGUGAUCAAAACAAGUAAUGAGACCCACUACAUAAAAUAAAACAACUUUCUCUUGGACUUAGUAGUGGUUUUAAGGAAACACAUUUGACCACCAAAGAUUUAUUUCAGAUCCAAAUUCAUUUAAAAUUAUCAACACAUAGUCUGAACUUCAUGGAACCUAGAGGGAGUCAUCAUCUGCUCAGUUUUAUCUUCUUGUAGCCUGAGAGACAAAAACAACCAAAAAAAUCUUUAAGCACAUUUAAUUAAAAAAAACUCAACAAUGAACAGUCCCUAGAGUAGUUCUCAAUUUCACAAAUUGAAUGUCAAUUGUUCCCUUAAGCACAUGUUCUUUUAUGGAAUAGAAUCUUACUUUAAUGUGCUUAGUUCUUGAGUGUAAAACAUGAUUUUUUUUAAAAAGAUUUAUUGCACUCAAGUUGUCACAAAACAUAGGGAUACUAUUGACUUACAAUUUGUAAUGUGCAAGAUAUAUUUUAAACCAAGUCAAUUGAGAACAAGAGGAAGUUGAGAUAUAUAUUUAGCCUCAGCCGUUGACAGAGCAACAGUAGCUUGCUUCUUUCUUGUCCACAUAUGGAUUUUCCAAGACAACAAAAAAUUUCUGAAUUGCUGCUCCUGUUCACACGAUCUCAGCAAGAUCUUAAAUUGGACCAGUUCUUCCUCAUUUGCUUUUAUUCAAGAGGGAUCUUCAAUUAUUUUCUUUAUUUUGGGAGUUCCAUUUGUGAUGCAAGAGCGAAGUUAUUGAGUUUGCCUCUUUUUCUUCUUGAGAAUCUUGUGGUAACUCCAUGAGAGGGAUCUCCAAUGAUAAAUUCAUGUGGAUAGUUCUUCAAGAACUUCUAUUCUCUUGGCUUUUAUGAGGUGAUCUCAAGUUGAGUAUGAACAUGAUCAGUUCCAUUGAGAUUUUCAGAAAUCUCUAUGUCAGGAGGAGACAAAACAGAAUCGUCUCCUAGAUUCUGGUUUGCAGAAUUGUGAACAGCAUCUUCCAUUGAAGGUUCAGAUUUGUCUUUUCCUUGAAUUCUUCUAAAUUUUGUGCAAUCUUAGUUCCUGCAUCAAUUUUCUCAACAACACUUGAAAUAGAGUUAGAAUAAUAAGAAAAUGAUAUGUAUGAACUCCCCAAUUAUUCCAUGUUUAUUGAUGUAAACUCUAUAAGCUUUACUAGUAGUUGAAUAUCCAACAAAGAUACCUUCAUAAGAUUUUUGGAUUAAAUUUUUUAAAAAUAUCUUUAGUGUUUAACACAAAGUAUUUGCAUCCAAAAGUAUGAAAGUACUUAAGAUUGGAUGGUACUCCUUUUCAAAGCUCAUAUGGGUUUUCUUUAAAACUUUUCUAAUGAUGAUUUGGUUCAAAAUAUAGCUUCAAUCCAAAAGAAUUUUAGUAUUUCAUUUUCACCAAAACAUAGCCCUAGUCAUUUCUUGAAGGCCUCUAUUUCUCCUUUCAACAACUCUAUUUUAUUGAGGUAUGCUAGGACAUGAAAAAUUAUAUGAAAUACCAAAUUCAUCAAAGUGUUGUUUUCCAAACUCAUUUUCAUGAUCACUUCUUAAGAAAAUAGUUUUCAUUUUGAAUCUUUUUGCAUAGAGUUAAGACAGCAAGAAAAACAUCAUUCUUAUGAGCUAAGAAAAAGAAUUCAUCCAAACUUAGUAUAGUCAUCAAACACCACUAAGCUAUAGUGCUUACCAGCAAGACUUUGAAUCCUUGUAGGACCAAAAAGAUCAAUGUGUAGCAUUUUUAAAGUUCUUUUGGUUGAGAUGUCAUCCUUGGGUUUGAAAAAUUUUUUUUUGUUUAUUUACCCAAUUAACAAGCAUCACAAGUGGUGUCAUUGUCAAAUUUUAUUUUUAGGAAGAUAUCUAACCAAAUUCUUUUUCCCAAGCUUAGAAACUAGAAACAUGCUUGUAUGUUCUAUUUUCUUAUGCCAUAACUAUUUCUUAGAUUCUGUGGAAAUAAAACAAGCUACAUUUUAUUCUAUUAGUUCCUCUAAGGUUAGUCCAUACACAUUAUCGCAUCUUAUAACUUCAAACAAAAUUUCACCAAAUUUUUCACACACAACUAAGCAUUUCAAUUUCUUGAAAAUAGUCAAACAACAUAAAUCACACAAUUUUCUCAUGCCUAGAAGAUUGUGUUUCAACCAAUCAACUCAAAAUACAACAUCAAUGAAAGUUGAGAAAUUCUUACUAACCUUACCUACGGCCAAAUUUUUUCAUUUACCAUUGUCACCGAAAGUCACAAAGCUUCCAUCAAAUUCAUCAAAGAAAGUGGAUUUUUCGGUCAUGUGCCUAGAGCAUCUCCUAUUCAUGUAUCACAUGUCUUUCUUUUUCUUGGAUGCUAAGCAAAACUGCACAAAUCUUUUAAGUGACCUUAGGUAUCCAAACUAAUUUGGAUCCUUUGAAGUUAACCCUUCUUGGUUGUCCAAGAGCAUUAAAAUCACAGACAACCUUGUAUAUUUUGUUUCCUACUCUUCUUUUGUCAAUAAAGCAUUAAUAAGAAGAGUGACCAGAUUUAUUGCAAUUAAAACAGUGAUUUGUGUGAGCAUGUUGCUGAAAACACUUUAAGAUAUGAUGCUGAUGGUGAUCAAAAGAUUUGAAUUUUUUGGUAUUUGAAAGGGUGCAUUUCUUUUGAAAGAUCCAUCUCUAACAUUAGUACCUCCUUUUGCCAGAAAUCUUAAACCAGAAUUUCUUGACACAGACGGGUAUCUAGAACGUGAGACUCUUUUGUGAAAGAAAAAUUUUCUAAAAACGUCCUCAUUGUUAGAGAUGUAACCCAGACUAGAGUUUAUUUGAAGCAGGUUCAGGUUUUGAAUAAGAUGCAUUUUUAUAAAAAUAUGGCUUUUCAAAAUCAGCAUUAAUGUUAGAUGAAUAUCCAAGACCAGAUUUAUCAAAAGAUGAUUUUAUUUUUGAAGAUGAUGCUGUGAAUUUGCAAGUGAUUUUUUUUAAAUGCAUCUUUUUUUAUUACAUACCCUAAACCUGAUUUUUCAAACAAAGUUCUUUGAUUAGCAAGUAAUUUGUCUAAGUUGCUUGAGUUAUGUGCAAAUUUUGCUAAAUCAUGAUUCAAUCAUUUGAUCAUUUAAUCUUUUAUUUUCAGCAACAGAUUUUUGAGAGAGAUCAAUAAUGCGCUUUCCAUUGAAAAUUUUCAUAUUUAAAAAAAUCUAUUUUCUUUAAUAAAAUCAAAAGCACAUUUGAUCUCCUUCACCCUUUUCUUUUAAAAACUCAUUUUCAGCAUUCAAAACUUCAUUUUCAGAUUUACAUUUGUUGUAUCUAUUUAUCAAUAUUUCAGAAAGGUGAGAGAGAUCAUCAAUAGUCACAUGCAAAUCAUCAAGAGAUAAGUCAUAGAAAUUUACCUCUUCUUGUUGAUCUUCAUCAAUCAUGAAACAGAUUUGUGCUCUAUCUUCGGAGUCCUCUUCCUUAUCUGAGUCAAUCUUGAGAUCCUCCCAAGAAGCCAUAAGUCCUUUCCUUUUUGGUUCCUUUGAGUUGCCACCUCUGCUUCUUCCUUUGAGUUUCAUCAUCCUUCUAAGUUUUCUAGCAAAACAUGCAAACUCGUAAUCUUAUAAACAGUCACUGGAUUCAUCAUCUAAUGAUUUAGUGCAAGAUUUAAGAGCCACUCUCCCUUUUAUUUAUUUUUUUUGUAUCAUCAUUUUUUUUAUUUCAUAUGCUAAUAAAUUUUUCUCUCAACUCAUUACAGGUUAUUUCACUAUCCACUCUCUUGUCAAGCUUCUCAAGAUUUUCCUCACUAGCAUCUGUUCGGAAUGAGUAAUCCCCAUAGCUUUCAAGCUAUUAUUGAUGAUAAAGAAUGUUAUCAAUUGAUUCUUCUUUCUUCAUAGAGAACAUCUCAUACUCUUUGCUCAGCAUGUCAAUGUUGGUUUCUUCCACUUGUGUGGUGCCCUCAUUUGUGACUUGAAACUUUAUCCCAGAUUUUCUUUGCUGUUUUGCAUCUUGAAUCCUUUCGGUAUUCCUUGAAGCUGAUUACACAGUUCAGCAUGUUGACAGUAUUGCUAUUUAGUUUUUCUUUCCUUUUGUAAUCUUCAUUCCAUUCUGCUUCGACUUUGGGAGAGACAACACCACCAGUGCCAUCUUUUGUAGGGACUUGAGGAUCAUUUAUGAUGAUCUUCCACAUGUUGUAAUCCACUGACUGAGAAAAAAAUCUUCAUUCUUCCUCCUUUUUUUGAAGAAUGGAGAUCUAUUGUUAGACUGUCCUUCAGUCAGGAUAUAAGCCACUGUGUUUGAACCCAUGUAGUUCGCCAUCAGGAUCUUUUCCUCCAAGCUGUGAAGCUUGAUCUCUUUGAGACCAAGCUCCGAUACUAAUUAAUGAUAAUCAGUGGCUAAGAGAAGGGUGGUUGAAUCUUAGCCUUCUUUUUCUGAAUGUUACUUUCUACUUUUUAGGAUAGCUCCAAGAGAUAUUUCUGCUUUUUGUCUCAUAACUGGUUAAGAGAUAUUUUCUUUUUGUCUCGUAACUAGUUAGAAGAUUUUUCAAUUUUAUCUCCCACAAACAGAAACAGUAAAGGAGUAGAAGAGAAAGAGAGAAUCACACCCAAAAGUAUCCUGGUUCAGCUGCUAAGUGCAAUGCAGCCUACAUCUAGUCUCCAUCACAACAGUGACAGAAUUUUACUAUAAUCAACUUGAUUACAGACACCAAUUCUUCCAUAGGAACUACCCAUUUUUAUCCGGGACAAGUCCAGAAUCUAUCCCCAAAACUGAACUUGACUUGGUCACCUACCAAGCUUUCGACUGCAAAGUGCUAACCCAACAUGCAAGGGAACAAGUCCAAAUUUUAUCCCAACUCGAACUUGACUAGACCUCAAUCUAGCUUUCAACCGCAAAGUGCUAACCCAACUUGCAAGAAAAUCUCCUCAGGAUCAUGACAACAAAACAAAAAUACAUACAAAGAAUUUCUGAGAUAAUAAUGGCUUUUUCUUUAACUCUCUGCCUUUUUUCUACUCAUUGGCUUUUUCUUACAAAACUUCACAUUUUGUCUUUUACAAAUGAAACACAGAUAGACUCACUGAGAAAAAGAAAUAUUUAAUGAAAGCCAUGAAGGAGAAGAAUAAACAGCUCAAAGAGUUAUGGGAACCCGAACGUGUGCUCUCACUCCUUGUCUCAAACCUUGGCUGUUCACCCUUAUUAUAGAAGGGGAAGCCUCCAAGGUUGAAACGGUUCAACCGAGCCAACUUCUUCUUCUUCAACACCAAAACCGGUUCGGACAGAGAGAAGAGAGAGGGAGCCGAAAGCUAAAAUCAACAUGCAAUUAUCUCUCUCUCAUCCCUUUUCUUCAAGCUUCAUCAAUCUGAGCCUUCCAUCUUGACUUGAUCCCCAAGAAGGAUUUCUGACCCUUGAUGAACCCUUAAUCUUUGACAGCUCUAUCUGCUCCACUUUUGCUUCCUCCUCCACGUAGCUAUAGUAGCUACCUUCUGUGAUAGAUGAACAAAAAGUAGAAACGAGCCAUACCACAGGGAUCUUCUUCUCUGACCGAAAUGGAUUGCUACCACUUUUGGCAUGGAGAUCUUGAAGCUUUUUCACCACAUCUUGCCAUUAGUAGAAAAGAUCUCAGCUACGCCAUGCUUUGGAUCUUCCUUUUUUGCAAAGGCCAUUACCCUAGCCUUUUGCUUCUUCCUAACUUCUCUAUAAUUUCUCUGAUAACUUCUUCUUCUUCUUUCUUCCAUCUUCUUUUCUGAUGGAUGUGACAAACAAAACAAGAGAGAGAGGAGAGAGUAGAAACAAAGCAUUGAUUGUUAGAUUAAAUAAAAUUGAAAUCCCACUAACAACUCCCAAUGCAUAAAGUAACGUGUGGAGCAAUUAAUGCCAUCAAAUCAAUUUUAAUUUUCUCUCUCCUAUUACCAAUGCAUGCAAUAAAAUUAAGUUAAUUAAUUUUCAAUUCCAUAAGCCAUGGAGGAAUGUAAUCGUGAAAAGCAUGCACUCAAUUUGAAUUUGGAUCCCACCAAAGUAAAUGGGUAAUAGAAACCUCAUGCUCCAUUCCCUUUUUCUUUUGAUUUCGGACCAAGUCUUGUUGGUCACCCAACAAAAAUUAAUUUGGGCUACUCACAUGAUACAUGGCCCAAAUUAUCUUUGCAAAAUAAUUCAUCCACACUCUUAGAAAUCUUUUUUCACAUUGGCUGAAUAUUUUUUUUCAUUAUUUUGGACUAUGUUGUUUUAGCCCAAAUAAACAAAUCAAGGCAUGUGAGAGAGUGAACAUUUUUGUGAUCACCGUAUGGAGUCUUUGGUCACUUGAAGAGAUUGCAUUGGGAUCAUUGAAAGGCUUCUUCCAAGGCUUUAGGCCACUUGUUUCUUUCUUUAAUUUAUGAUGGGCUUUGAUGGAUUUGGGCCUCCUUGGAUUUCUUUCUUUCUUUAAACAAUCAGCCACUAACAUUUGAAUUAUUUUUGCUCAAAGCUGAAUUUGUUCAAAGAUCAAUUUGGGCUUGUGUAACUUUGACCCAAUAGGAAUUAAAUUGCUUGCCUGCAAACUUGAACACAAAUCAUCAAAUAACUUAUUGGAAAUUAUUAAAUAGAACACUUAAUAAUAAUUUUAAUAAUUUUCUAAUUUACAUUUUAAUAAUGUUUGAUCAUCAUUUCAGUUUUCCAAACUCAACACUUGUAACUCUUAAAAUUGAAUAGCAAUUGGGUUGCAACCAAGACACUCUUGUUGCUAGAUAAGUUAUGAGUUUUCAAACCAAACUUUAGCCUAAUUGAAGUUUUGUAGUAAAAGUUAUGCAAGUUGAAAGAUACUAAGCUGCUUGAUUUCUAAAAACAGAUUUUGAAUUAUUUCUAUCUAACUUUCAAAUUAUGAAACUUCUUCAUUAAAAAUGAUAUUAACCUGGAACUAGUUGAAAAAAAAACUUGGAUAAGUUAAGUUUAACCAUAUUAAUUUUGAAGGUGGUUGGAAUUAAUUUGAAUUUUAUAUGGAAUAUUGAAUAUUAAACACUGCUGUUGUUUUUUUGGUUUUUAAGCACUGCAGAACAAGCACGGUUUUCCUUUUAUUUUCAAGGCUAGAUUGAUCAGAAAUUUAUGAUUUUUAGUUUAUUAGAAAGCUUAAUCCGAGAUGGAUGCCUGAACAUAAAGUUUUUGCAAUUCCGAAUUCAUUUGGUAUUUUAAAAACAUAAUUAAAAUUAGGCUGCCGGUGUUAUUUUGGUAACUACCUUGGGUAUGGAUCUUAAGAAAAGAUUCCUAUAUUAUUAUCAAAUAUUUUUUAGAAUGUACUGUUGUAGUACUUGAUGAUAAAAGGUUGGUGAAAUAUUGAGAAAGAGGGAAACCCGUAAGGGUGGUUAAGUCCUAUUUUUAGAGGAGAUCAUGUCCAAACUUUUAUAAAAAUAUAAGGACUUAAUCAAAAUGAAUAUUUAAGACUUGUUUAAUGAUGAUAACUUCAACAAUUCUUUUGAGAAAAGAUAAUCCGUUUAUGAAAUUAUUGGCAAAGACGUGGGUUUUGUCCCGCUUGCAUAUUUAUGAUUAUAAAAGAGAAUAAAAACCAGAGGAUCUGUUGAAAGGUCAUUUGUUGCUUGAGGCAACCCAAGAUAUGUUGUUUAUUCAUUUGUUGCACUAAGGCAACUUCAGAGAUAUUUAUAUGUUCAUCUGCUGCAUUGAGGCAGUCAGAUAGAUGGUGGUUCGACCACUGAGAACGCUUUCCUGUGGUACAGAUCCAUAUUUCAUUUCUGUAAGGCAGAGGGGUUAUUUCCUGCUACAGAAGUACCGUGACCACCUGUUUCAUUUCUGUAGUGGCAGAGGGAUUAUUUCCUGUAUACAGAAGGUGUGUCGGCAUACAUCCCUGCAGUGGCAGAUGUGUUAUUUCCUGCAUGCAGUGGACCCUGUGGUGGCAGAGGGGUUAUUUCCUGUACACAGGGGUAUAGCCAACAGGAAAUCCAUAUCCGGGUAGUAAUGCUGGGUUAAGCCAGGAGCGGGUAGAAACCGACAGAUGAGCUCAUUACCUACACUAUGGCUAGACAUGCAUCAUCUUGUUUUUGCAUUAUUCUUUGUGAUAUUUCCUAUGCUUUUAUUGUGUUCUUUAUUUUGUUUGCUUGUGUUCUAUUUGUAUAGUUCUACUUGCCUAUUUUUGAAUUGCGCUUAGAGUUAGGUAUUAUAUGAAAAGUCAUACUAGUUCAGCAUAGACUUAAUGAACCUAUGUUUAGGACAUGCUGACUAUUCAUACCGAGAUUGACAUAAGCUAAUAUCCAAUUCUCUUUCAACAUAAUUUUCAAAGAGUCUUAUGUAAUUAAUGAAAAUGAAUAUUAUUGAAUUAAAUUAUCUAUUUGCAUUUUUAUUCUUUAUUUUUACGACAUUCUCGAUCUCUACUGAGAACUUGUGGUUUGGUUCUCACCCCCAAAUUUUUCACCCUUUCAGUGACACAGGUUUGAAGACGCAAUAUGAAGCUGCAAGCGAUUAGUCGAUUUUUUCAUUAUUUUAAUUGCUUUCAUAGAGUCCCUCCCUAUUGUCCUUUGAGAUUUUAUCUUACAUAGAGGGGUAGGUAUGGUACACUGUAUUUGAGUUUUAUUUGGUUUCUUUUGUAUAAAAAUUAUUGCUAAUAGUAUUUAUGUGAUUAUUAUUACUUGUAGAAUCUUUGAUAUAUGUCUUUAAUAAAUAAAAACAAAAUUUUUCGGUAUUUUCUUAAAUUAGAAACGCGAAAUCAAAAUAAAGGCUCAGUAAUUAAGUAGUUAAUACUAGAAAAGGUUACGUAAUGUUCUUUCUAGUAGAAAUACCCUGACUUAAGCAAGGUAUUUUGCUGGAAGGGAUGUUACAGUAAAGGUGUCAUGCACAUAAAUUAAUCCCUCACUUUGCAUUAAGUGACUCAUAUUAGUCCCUAAAAUUAAAUAUCGUCGUGCACCAAACUAAUCGAUUCACCAGUUUUUUUUCAUUUUUUUAAAAAAUUUAAAAUUUUCAAUAUCUUGGAUGCACUAAUUUUAAUUUUGUUUUUUCAUAUAUCAUUUAAAUACAAGUACUUUCAUAAAAAUUCUCAUUGUCAUUAUUACAUCAUACUUCUAUUUAUAGUAUAAUUCUCAUUCUCUAAUUGGGCUAACCCAAUACUAAUCUUAUCAUUAUCCUAUCCUUCAAAACAACCUUGUCCUUAAGAUUGGAGAAAAAAUAUAAAACCUAAGUAAAAUCGUAAAUAUGAAUUACAAGUACUAAACAAAAUUAAUUUAAAAAAUAAUAUUUUCUAUACUACUACUUAAAAUAAAAAUUCGCCACCAGAAUCACAUUAUUUAAAAUAGAGUAAAGGACAAAUAGGUCCCUGACCUUUUUUUUGUGGACAUUUUUGUCCUCAAGGAAGAAAAAAUACAUUCAAGUCCCUCACUUCCAAAAAACGUGGACAUUUCAACCCUUCCGUUGAAUUCAGGCGUUUGGACUGGACGGAAAAGUCUGACCUGGCAGAGGUGGCACUGACCUGGCCGUUACGGAGCCCACGUGGCAGGAAGCUUUUCGAAACAGGACAUAUAAGUCCCCGGAGAUGAAAACAACGCCAUUUCGUUACCUCCCCUCCAAACACAGUUGAAUCCCCGUAUACAAUACCCAGAAGACCCAUACUUGAGUGAGAGAAUUACUGAAAAUCCUAUGCCAAAGACGAUCAAACUCUUUCGUCUCUAUUUUUCCCUCCAAAAAAUACAACACGUACAAGAGCAAUAGGUGCCGGUUGAAGUUGGUGCCAGAAGCUGAGAAGAAGCUUGCUCUGAGGUCAUGGUUGCUAUCUUCGUCAGAAGGUAAAAUUGUGAUGCUUAGCUAGGAAGGCAAUGUGUGUGCAUGUUUAUAGUGUAAGAUAGAAUAUGAAAAAAGGGGUUUAAAGCGUCCUUUGUAGGAUUAGGGGAAAGGAUUGUGUUAGGGCAAUGUGGUUUCGUUCAUAUCUUGUGUUUAUGUGUUUUUUAUUUUAAUCCUAGUUCUGCACGGGUUAAUUUCAGAUGGUUGAUGUGUUUGUGGUGCCGGUCUUUCAUCAUGGAGGGAACUUUGUAAGGGAAAUUGAUGAAAAAAUGGUUUAUCAAAAUGGAAAGGAAGAGAGGUUUCCUCAGAUGGACCUAGACUUUGUUAAUUUUGGAGACCUGGUGACACUAUUUAAGGGCUUGGACUACCAGUCAUACAAGGCAGUAUACUGGUAUGAUCCAACAAGCACUGACAUUGAAUCCGCAAUGAACAUAUUGACUAGGGAUGCAGGGAUCAACGCAAUGCGAGAGAACUUAAUGAAGAACCCAGGGCUAGGUGAGUUCCAUAUAUACUUUGACCACCCUGUUAAUGAUCCGGAGGUUGUUGAGGAUGCUGCCCAGGACAGAGAUACUGCAGGGGAGGUGGAUGAAACUGCAGAGGAACUGAAUGCAUCCUCUUCAUCUGAUGACGGGUACAAGAGCACGGAGGACGUGUUGUACAAACCUCCACCGGCUGGAAUUGAGAGUGAUAGUACUGAAAGUGACAGCAAUGGUGGGGUUACUGCUGGGAAGAGGAAAAGAUGUGUCAAGGGUAAAAAGAAGGUAGUCACUCCGAAGAAAAAGGUAGUUACUCCAAGGAAAAAGGUAGUUAUUCUGAAGAAGCAAGGGAAGAGGAAGAGACAAUUUGGCACAAGGGUUAAGGAAAGAGGGGAAGGCAGUGGGAAUAGGAAUGAUGUACGUGGUGAAGCUGGGGAUCAGUUGCCUGAUGUCCAACCCGAUUAUGCAGUACGGGUGGGUUUUAUGUUAGUGAGCUCCCAACAGAGGUGGAGAAAAUCAUGUUUGAGUAUGAGUCUGAAGACUUGCAUACUCUCAUAUCAUCCGAUGAUGAAGGCAGAGGUAAUAAAUUUCCAGAUUUUGAUGAUGAUUAUGCUAAUGGUGAGGGCAGGUUUGAGUUAGGAACUAGGUUUACCACUGUGGACAGGUUCAAGGAGGUAGUUAAAGAUUCGUUCAUUGUUGAGGGGCGGGAAUUGAGGUGGAUAAAAAAUGACAAAGAGAGAGUGAGAGUGGGGUGUGGGGAUCAGGAGUGUCCUUACUUGGUUCACUUGUCAUAUAACAAAAGUUUGCAGUGUUAUCAAGUGAAGACCUACCAUCCAAAACACACUUGUGCAAGGGAUUUGGGCAGUAACGCUGUUGAUCAGCACUGGCUAAGUAAGAAAAUUGAGAAACGAAUGUCAACCCAACCACACAUGAAUACGAAGAAGACAACUGAUUUCCUUAAAGAGGAAUUUUCGCUCUGUCCCCAUCCUAAGAUGGUUUAUAGAGCAGUGAAGGAAGCUAGGGACAAGAUCAUGGGAAAUGAAAGGGAACAAUACAAGAGAACGAGGGAUUAUUGUGAGGAAGUACUUAGGAGAAAUCCAGGCUCAUCAGUUAGGCUUGAGCUCAUGCCAAUUCUAGAGGCUCCCCCUGUUUUUGAUAAACUGUACAUUUGCCUAGAUGCCUGCAAACAAGGUUUCAAAGAUGGAUGUCGUCCUUUGUUGCAUUUGGAUGGUUGCUUACUGAAAACAUAUUAUGUUGGUUGGCUUCUAGAAGCAGUUGCUCAGGACGCAAACAAUCAGUUUUAUGUGGUUGCAUAUGGGGUUGUCAGGACUGAGACCAAGGAUUCCUGAAAGUGGUUCCUGACUAAUCUGCAAGGGGACAUAUGAGACGAUGCAAACCAUGGCUGAAACUUCAUAUCAGACCAGCAGAAAGUGAAAGUAGUUUAUGGUUAUUUUCAUUGCUUUGUAUUUAGUUAAGAUGAUUGCUAACUAUUUGGUGAUCUUCAUUGCUAUCUAUUUGGUUAAUUUCAUUGCUGUCUGUUUGAUUAAUUUCAAUGCAGGGUUUGCUGCCUGUGCUGAAGGAGGUCAUGCCACAUGCUAAGCUCCGCAAUUGCGUCAUGCAUAUGUGGAAAAACUUCAUAAACCGCUACAAGGUCUUGUACAUUAGACAUGUUAUGUGGGAGUGUGCUAGAUGCAUGACUGUUGCUGAAUUCAAGGAAUGCAUGGAGAAGUUGAAGACAGUUAACCAGGGUGCUUGGGAGUACCUCAGUAAAUUUGAACCAGAAACAUAGGUUAAGGCUUACUUCUCCCAUGGACCAAAAGUGGAUAACCUCACAAACAUGUGCGAGGUUUUUAAUGCUAAAAUAGUAAACUACCGUUGCAAGCCUAUCCUAACUAUGUGUGAAGAGAUCAGGUGUUACCUGAUGAGGACUUGAGGAGGAUGGUGAAUCAUAAACGGGUAUUGGACAAUCACUCAGAGAAGCUAGCACCAGUUCAGGAAAAGAGGCUGGAGAAGUUAUUAAAUCUUAGCACCAAGUGGACGGCUGAAUGGAUUGGUGACAAUGAACGAAAGAGGUUUGAGGUUUCUCGCAAAGCAACGAAGGUGGAUGUGGACCUCAUUAGGUACAGUUGCUCAUGCAACAGAUGGCAAUUCACUGGUAACUACUGUUCUCACUUGAGUCAGUUUUUUGGUUAUUUUGAAAUGAAUUUCCUUUACUGUUUUUUUGGUUCCAUUACUCACCUUCACUGCAUUAUCUCAGGCAUGCCCUGUUUACAUGCACUAGCUGCCAUUUGGAAGAGACAUGACAUACCUCAUGACUAUGUUCACCCUUGGCUGUGCAUGGAGUCCAUCAGGAUGACAUAUGCACACUGCAUUAAGCCUGUUCCAAGUCCAGAAUUUUGGGCAAGAACUAAGUUCUCGAAGUUAGACCCACCCAUUAUCAAAAGGCUAAUUAGACAGCUAAAGGUUCAUAAUAGGCAAAAAGAUCCUGCUGAGCCCAUCAUGCAAGGGGGAAAACUGAAGAGAUCAUUCAUUGUAUUCUGCAGCAAGUGUGGUGAGAAGGGCCACAACUACAAAACAUGUAAGAGAGCUCCUUCCAACCCAAACUGGAAGCUGAAGACAAGGCGCCCUAGGAAGAAAGCAGCUAGCUCCUCCCAGUCACUGAUUGUGCUUCCUCUAUCACAAUCUGCUCCCCCACCAGAGGUAAGAUCCCUACUGUUAUCAUUGUCUUUUAGGGACUAUUCUGUCUUAGUACUAUUAUGGUUAGGGACUAAUCUGUCUUAGUAUACAAAACAUUAGGGUUAAAUAUGUCUUAGUUUACUAUUCAUGAGGUGCUGUUAUGUCCCAUCAUCAAACUGUUUACAUAUUACAUGCAUAUUUUCAGGAUACAUCCAGCAGCCAACCAGGCAGCUCCACAUGCCUGACCCCAAACUCCACUGUUGUGGAAUCACCUGCCCCAGAAAUCCACCUAUGCCACCAGCUCCAACAAGGGUGACAAGAUCCACAGUUGUCAUUUCACUUGCAGGGCCAACAGCUACUCAAGCCAGGCCACUAGCCCCAACUACAGGCCAUCCAUUUAAACCUCCAGGGAAAGCCAAUGACACAGCUCGCCCACAACAGUCCAGGUUCAGACCAAAAUAGAAGAUCUUCAGGCUGCCAGCUCUAAUUGCUGCCUGCACAAUCCCACCUAAAACACAAUAGCCAACUCUAUCUACCAUCCCAUCUGCAGCACGAAUCAGGAUGCUCCACCCCCAAAUUUUCCAACUUCAUCAACAACGAAGGACUCGAAGGAGUGAAGACUUCUGUCAUUAUGUGCUUUUGUGAAAACUUUUUGGAUAUGUAAUGGUUCAUAACAAGUAGUAGAUACAAUUUGCCUUUUUGUUACAUGCUUUUUGAACACUGGUGCGUAGAAAUCGUGACGGUUCCAUUCCUUGGUAACGGCACUAAAAACUCAAUACGCACGUUCAUAAUCUUAGUUCUUUGUCACAACUUCGCACAACUAACCAGCAAGUGCACUGGGUCAUCCAAGUAAUAAACCUUACGUGAGUAAGGGUCGAUCCCACAGAGAUUGUCGGCUUGAAGCAAGCUAUGGUCACCUUGUAAAUCUCAGUCAGGCGGAUUCAAUUGAUUAUGGAGAUUUAGUAAUUAAAAGAUAAAUAAAAUAUAAAAUAAAAAUAAUGAUACUUAUGUAAUUCAUUGGUGAGAAUUUCAGAUAAGCGUAUAGAGAUGCGUUCAUUCCUCCUGAACCUCUGCUUUCCUAUUGUCUUCAUCUAAUCAUUCAUACUCCUUUCUAUGGCAAGCUGUAUGUUAGGCAUCAUCGUUGUCAAUGGCUACAUCCUGUCUUCUUAGUGAAAAUGGUCCAAUGCGCUGUCACUGCAUGGCUAAUCAUCUGUCGGUUCUCGAUCAUACUGGAAUAGGAUCCAUUGAUCCUUUUGCGUCUGUCACUACCCCAGCACUCGCGAGUUUGAAGCUCGUCGCAGCCAUCCCUUCCCAGAUCCUACUUGAAAUACCACAGACAAGGUUUAGACUUUCCGGAUCUCAAGAAUGGCCGUCCAUGGAUUCUAACUUAUACCACGAAGAUUCUGAUUAAGGAAUCCCAGAGAUACUCAUUCAAUCUAAGGUAGAACGGAAGUAGUUGUCAGGCAUGCGUUCAUAGGUUGGGAAUGAUGAUGACUGUCACGAUCAUCACAUUCAUAUUGAAGUGCGAAUGAAUAUCUUAGAAUCAGAAUAAGCUUGAAUUGAAUAGAAAAACGAUAGUACUUUGUAUUAAUUCAUGAGGAACAGCAGAGCUCCACACCUUAAUCUAUGGUGUGUAGAAACUCUACCGUUGAAAAUACAUAAGUGAUGAAGGUUCAGGCAUGGCCGAAUAGCCAGCCUCCAAACGUGAUCUAAAGAUGAAACUAAAGAUGUAAAUGCAAUAGUAAAAAGUCCUAUUUAUGCUAAACUAGUUACUAGGGUUUAUAGAAAUGAGUAAAUGAUGCAGAAAUCCACUUCCGGGGCCCACUUGGUGUGUGCUUGGGCUGAGCAUUGAGCUUUACAUGUGUAGAGGCUUCUCUUGGAGUUGAACGCCAGUUUGUAACCUAUUUCUGGCGUUUAACUCCACUUUGCAACCUGUUUCUGGCGUUUAACUCCAUAAUGCAGCAUGGAACUGGCAUUGAACGCCAGUUUGCGUCAUCUAAACUCGGAGGAAUAGCGAUGGAUUCCUAUGAAGCAUUCAGGAACAAGAAGAUUCAAUCGGACGACGAAUUCUUACGUGGUCCAAGGAAAUCAAAGGUCCGCUUCCACGAUUUCAUCUAUAUCGAAUCUGAAUAUCAGAAUAGCUUAUAUAGUCAUGAUUCAAUUCAGGUCCACUGACUUUUGAUUGAUUUCUCUUCGGAUCUGAUUGGAACAUUGGAGAAGUAGGAAGAAGAGAAAGUAGCUGCGAUUGCUUGGAGACCUCUUGAAUCGAUUCUUACUUAGACUACAAUAAUUAUUAUAACCACAACUUGUCUUGUCGUACUAGAAGUUCGAACUAGAGGCAGGAAGUAAGUACUGGCGCAGGGAAUGGAGUUUUAAGAACAGGAACAUCGUUAUGCCUUCCUUUCAGUCCUCUGAUCUUACCUUAGACCCUCCAUGCUAUGCGGGGAAGCGAGGUAAGGGCUAGCUUCUAAUCUCCGAUGAUGCCAAGCGAGUCUUCUCGUACUUCAGGCACUCCAGAGGUUAGUUUGUAAAAGAGUGAGAACAUGUGAAACAACAAAGAGAAUUAGGAAUGGAAGGUGGGUGCCCUCUAUAUUGGGGGUUGAUUCUAGCUUUCCGUCAUCUCAACCUAAGCAUCACGUUCCUAGGGACAGAGACAUCUGCGCUCUAAGGCUAUCAUAGCCAGCAUGGUUACAUCUAACUGCCUACUGGGCAAGCUUCAACUUCAAAGUCACCUGAUUUGGAUAUGGACUAUUAUAUAUUGCUGGAAAGCCCUGAAUGUCUACUUUCCAAAGCAAUUGGGAGCGCGCCAUUUGGAGUUCUGUAGCUCCAGAAAAUGCACUUUGAGUGCAGGGAGGUCAGAAUCCAACAGCAUCUGCAGUCCUUCUUCAACCUCUGAAUCUGAUUUUUGCUUAAGUCCCUCAAUUUCAGCCAGAAAAUACCUGAAAUCACAGAAAAACACACAAACUCAUAGUAAAGUCCAGAAAUGUGAUUUUUAUUUUAAAACUAAUAAAAAUAUACUAAAAACUAACUAAAUUAUACUGAAAAUUAUGUAAAAAUAAUGCCAAAAAGCGUAUAAAUUAUCCGCUCAUCACAACACCAAACUUAAAUUGUUGCUUGUCCCCAAGCAACUGAAAAUUAAAUAGGAUAAAAAGAAGAAAAUAUACUAUAAAUUCCAAAAUAUCAAUGAAACUUAGUUCCAAUCAGAUGAGCGAGACUUGUAGCUUUUUGCCUCUUGAAUAGUUUUGGCAUCUCACUUUAUCCGUUGAAGUUCAGAAUGAUUGGCGUCUAUAGGAACUUAGAAUUCAGAUAGUGUUAUUGAUUCUCCUAGUUCAGUAUGUUGAUUCUUGAACACAGCUACUUUAUGAGUUUUGGCUGUGGCCCUAAGCACUUUGUUUUUCAGUAUUACCACCGGAUACAUAAAUGCCACAGACACAUAACUGGGUGAACCUUUUCAGAUUGUGACUCAGCUUUGCUAAAGUCCCCAAUUAGAGGUGUCCAGGGUUCUUAAGCACACUCUUUUUUUUGCUUUGGACCUUGACUUUAACCGCUCAGUCUCAAGUUUUCACUUGACACCUUCACGCCACAAGCACAUGGUUAGGGACAGCUUGGUUAGCCGCUUAGGCCAUGAUUUUAUUCCUUUAGGCCCUCCUAUCCACUGAUGCUCAAAGCCUUGGAUCAUUUUUAUUUACCCUUGCCUUUUGGUUUAAAGAGCUUUUGGCUUUUUCUGCUUGUUUUUUUUUUCUUUUUCUUUCUUUUUUUCCGCUAUUUUUUUUCUGCAAGCUUUUGUAUUCACUGCUUUUUCUUGCUUCAAGAAUUAUUUUUAUGAUUUUUCAGAUUAUCAAAUAACAUUUCUCCUUUUUCAUCAUUCUUCAAGAGCCAACAUAUUUAACAUUCAUAAACAUCAACUUCAAAAGACAUAUGCACUGUUCAAGCAUUCAUUCAGAAAACAAAAAGUAUUGUCACCACAUCAAAAUAAUUAAACUAGUUUCACGGAUGAAUUCAAAACCAUGUACUUCUUGUUCUUUUGUUUUUAGAAUAUUUUUUUCAUUUAAGAGAGGUGAUGGAUUCAUAUUCAUAACUUUAAGGCAUAGACACUUAGACACUAGUGAUCAUAUAGUAAAGACACAAACAUAAAUAAAACAUAAAGCUCAAAAAUCUAAAAACAGUAAAAUAAAUAGACAAGGAGAUUAAGGAAUGAGUCCACCUUAGUGAGGGUGGCGUCUUCCUCUUCUUGAAGAACCAAUGGUGCUUUUGAGCUCCUUUAUGUCUCUUCCUUGCCUUUGUUGCUCCUCCCUCAUAGCUCUUUGAUCUUCUCUAAUCUCAUGGAGGAUGAUGGAGUGCUCUUGGUGCUCCACCCUUAGUUGUCCCAUGUUGGAACUUAAUUCUCCUAGGGAGGUGUUGAUUUACUCCCAAUAGUUUUGUGGAGGAAGGUGCAUCCCUCGAGGCAUCUCAGGGAUUUCAUGGUGGGGAAUUUUCUCAUGCUCUUGUUGAGGUCCAUGAUCUCUUAUUUGCUCCAUCCUUUUCUUAGUGAUGGGCUUGUCCUCUUCAAUGAGGAUGUCUCCCUCUAUGUCAAUUCCAGCCGAAUUGCAGAGGUGGCAUAUGAGGUGAGGAAAGGCUAACCUUGCCCAAGUGGAGGACUUGUCAGCCACCUUGUAAAGUUCUUGAGGUAUAAUCUCAUGAACUUCUACCUCCUCUCCAAUCAUGAUACUAUGGAUCAUGAUGGCUCGGUCUAUAGUAACUUCAGACCGGUUACUAGUAGGAAUGAUUGAGCGUUGAAUGAACUCUAACCAUCCCCUAGCCACUGGUUUGAGGUCAUGCCUUCUUAGUUGAACCGGCUUGCCUCUUGAGUCAAUUUUCCAUUGAGCUCCUUCUUCACAUAUGUCUCUGAGGACUUGGUCCAACCUUUGAUCAAAGUUGACCCUUCUUGUGUAGGGGCAUGCGUUCUCUUCCAUCAUUGGCAAGUUGAAUGCCAACCUUACAUUUUUCGGACAGAAAUCUAAGUAUUUCCCCCGAACCAUGGUAAGCCAAUGCUUUGGAUUCGAGUUCACACUUUGAUCAUGGUUCCUAGUGAUCCAUGCGUUUGCAUAGAACUCUUGAACCAUUAGGAUCCCGACUUGUUGAAUGGGGUUGGUGAGAACUUCCCAACCUCUUUUUCGGAUCUCAUGUCGGAUCUCCGGAUACUCAUUCUUUUUGAGCUUGAAAGGAACCUCAGGGAUUACUUUCUUCUUGACCACAACUUCAUAGAAGUGGUCUUGAUGGACCUUUGAGAUGAAUCUCUCCAUCUCCCAUGACUCAGAGGUGGAAGCAAUUGCCUUCCCUUUCCUCUUUCUAGAGGUUUCUCUGGCCUUAGGUGCCAUAUAUGGUUAUGGAAAAACAAAAAGCUAUGCUUUUACCACACCAAACUUAAAAUGUUUGCUCGUCCCCGAGAAAAAGAAGAAAGAAAGUAGUAGAAAAAGAAGAAAAUGGAGGAGAUGGGGGAAGAAUAUGUAUUCGGCCAAGGAGAAGAAGAGAGGGUUGUGUUGUGUGAAAAUGAAGAAGUAGUGAGGGGUUUAUAUAGGAGUGAGGGGGGAUGUAGGGUUCGGCCAUUAGGGUUGGGUUUGGGAGGAAAAUUAGUUUGAAUUUUGAAGGUAGGUGGGGUUUAUGGGGAAGAGAGGAUGGAUGUAAGUGGUGAAGAGGUGAUGGAAAAGAGUGAUUGAGGUGAUUGGUGAAGGGUAUUUGGGGAAGAGAGUUAUGAAAAGGUGUGAAGAGGAGAGAAGAAAAUGUGGGGAUCCUGUGGAGUCCACAGAUCCUGAGGGGAUCCUGUGGGAUCCACAGAUCAAGUGGGGUCAAGGACUUAACAUCCCUGCUCCAAUUAGGCGUGUAAAAUGCCCUUGCUGUGCAAUCCUGGCAUUUAACGCCAGACUGCUGCCUGUUUCUGGCGUUAAACGCCCAAAUGUAGCUUGUUUCUGGCGUUUAACGCCAGGUAGAUGCUUGUUUCUGGUGUUAAACGCUAGACAGAUGCUUGUUUCUGGCGUUUAAAUGCUAGAUUGUUCUCCUCCAGGGUGUGCUGUCUUCAAUGCUAUUUUUCAUUCUGUUUUUUAUUUUUCAGUAGUUUUUGUGACUUCACAUGAUCAUCAACCUAAUAAAACACGAAAUAACAAAAAGAAAAUAAAAUAGAUAUGCUUAAAUAACAUUGGGUUGCCUCCCAACAAGCGCUUCUUUAAUGUCAAUAACUUGACAGUGAGCUCUCAUGGAGCCUCACAGAUAAUCAGAGCAAGGUUGGAACCUCCCAACACCAAACUUAGAGUUUGACUGUGGGGGCUUUGGUUGACUCUGCAGUGAGAGAAGCUUUUCAUGCUUCCUCUCCAUGGUUACAGAAGGAGAUCCUUGAGUUUUAAACACAAGGUUGUCCUUAUUCAGUUGAAGGACCAACUCUCCUCUGUCCACAUCAAUCACAGCUCUUACUGUGGCUAGGAAGGGUCUUCCAAGGAUGAUGGAUUCAUCAUCUUCCUUCCCAGUGUCUAGGAUUAUGAAAUCAGCAGGGAUGUAAAGGCCUCCAACCUUUACUAACACGUUCUCUACUUGUCCAUAAGCCUAUUUUCUUAAGUUGUCUGCCAUCUCUAAUGAGAUUUGGUGCACGAAAUUGUGAUCUCCAGGCUCGAACAAAUCCUGGUAAUGGCUCCAAAGCUUGGUGCUCUGAUCUUAAUUCAUAAUUGUCACAACUUCGAUACAACUAACCAGCAAGUGCACUGGGUCGUCCAAGUAAUACCUUACGUGAGUAAGGGUCGAAUCCCACGGAGAUUGUUGGUAUGAAGCAAGCUAUGGUCACCUUGCAAAUCUCAGUUAGGCAGAUAUAAAUGGAUAAUGGUGUUUUCGAAUUUAAUAUAAUAAAAUAGGGAUAGAGGUACUUAUGUAAAUCAUUGGUAGGAAUUUCAGAUAAGCGAAUAGAGAUGCUUUUCGUUCCUCUGAACCUCUGCUUUCCUGCUAUCUUCAUCCAAUCAGUCUUACUCCUUUCCAUGGCUGGCUGUAUGCAAGGGCAUCACCGUUGUCAGUGGCUACACCCCCUCCUCUCAGUGAAUAAUAUGCUCACGCACCCUGUCACAGCACGGCUAUUCAUCUGUCGGUUCUCCAUCAUGCUGGAAUAGGAUUCACCCUCCUUUUGNNNNNNNNNNNNNNNNNNNNNNNNNNNNNNNNNNNNNNNNNNNNNNNNNNNNNNNNNNNNNNNNNNNNNNNUUUUGAAAAAGAUUUGAUUUUUAAAAUCACAAUUAAUGACUUGAUUCAUAAGAAAUCACAAGAUAUGAUUCUAGAACUCAAAGUUUGAAUCUUUCUUAACAAGCAAGUAACAAACUUGAAAUUUUUGAAUCAAAACAUUAAUUGUUUAUUGUUAUUUUCGAAAAUUUGGUAUAAAAAUAAGAAAAAGAUUUUUGAAAAAUAUUUUUUGGAAUUUUCGAAAAUAACUAAGAAUUUUGAAAAAGAUUUGAUUUUUGAAAAAGAUUUUGAAAAAGAUAAGAUUUUCAAAUUGAAAAUUUGAUUUGACUCAUGAGAAACAACUUGAUUUUAAAAAUUUUUGAAAAAGUCAAUUCAAAUUUUCGAAUUUGAUGAGAGAAAAAGGGAAAGAUAUUUUUUUGAUUUUUGAAUUUUUUUUUUUGAAUUUUUAUGAAAACAUGAAAAAUAUGCAAUGCAUGAAAAUUUUAGAUCAAAACAAUGAAUGCAUGCAAGAAUGCUAUGAAUGUCAAGAUGAACACCAAGAACACUAUGAAUGUCAAGAUGAACAUCAUAGACAAAAUUUUGAAAAAUUUUUAAUGCAAAUAAAACAUGCAAGACACCUAACUUAGAAUUCUUUAAUGCCUAGACAUUAAGAAUUCAAGAAUGCAUAUGAAAAACACUAUACAACACAAAACAAAAAAUCAUCAAGAUCAAACAAGAAGACUUACCAAGAACAACUUGAAGAUCAUGAAGAACACUAUGAAUGCAUGAAAUUUUCGAAAAAUGCAAGAUGCAUAUGCAAGUGACACCAAACUUAUGAUAUGACUCAAGACUCAAACAAGAAACAGAAAAAUAUUUUUGAUUUUUAUGAUUUUCUAAUUUUUUUUGGAUUUUUUUCGAAAAUUAUAUGAAAAAGAAAAAUAAGGAUUCCAAAAUUUUUAAUAUGAAUUCCAGGAAUCUUGCAUUCUUAGUCUAAAGCUUCAGUCCAGGAAUUAGACAUGGCUCACUAGCCAGCCAAGCUUUCAAUGAAAGCUUCGGUCCAAAACACUAGACAUGGCCAAUGGCCAGCCAAGCUUCACCAUGUAAUUCAGACAUGACAUGCCUGACAUACCCUACAAUCGUAUAAGAGCUGAUGGUUGGAAGCCUCAGUCCAAAAGAAUUUAGACAUGGCUUUACAGCCAGCCAGGCUUCACAUGCUUCAUGAAACACUAGAAUUCAUUCUUUAAAAAUUUUGAAUCUAAUUUUUUUUUCGAAAACAUAAGAAAAAUUUUUGAAAUAUUUUUGAAAAAUUUUGAAAAUAAAAUAAAAAGAAAAGUACCUAAUCUGAGCAACAGGAUGAACCGUCAGUUGUCCAAACUCAAACAAUCCCCGGCAACGGCGCCAAAAACUUGGUGUUAUUGCCGGGAUUCAAACUUGGCACUGAUGUUACCGGACCAAAAGCUUGCCGAAAACUCAAACAAUCCCCGGCAACGGCGCCAAAAACUUGGUGCACGAAAUUGUGAUCUCCAGGCUCGAACAAAUCCUGGUAAUGGCUCCAAAGCUUGGUGCUCUGAUCUUAAUUCAUAAUUGUCACAACUUCGAUACAACUAACCAGCAAGUGCACUGGGUCGUCCAAGUAAUACCUUACGUGAGUAAGGGUCGAAUUUGGAGUUGAACGCCAGUUUCUGUGCCAGUUUGGGCGUUCAACUCUGGCUUUGGAUCCUUUUCUGGCGCUGGACGCCAGAUUUGGGCAGAAGGCUGGCGUUGAACGCUAGUUUACGUCGUCAAUUCUUGGCCAAAGUAUGGACUAUUAUAUAUUGCUGGAAAGCCCUGGAUGUCUACUUUCCAACGCAAUUGGAAGCGCGCCAUUUCGAGUUUUGUAGCUCCAGAAAAUCCGCUUUGAGUGCAGGGAGGUCAGAAUCCAACAGCAUCAGCAGUCCUUCUUCAACCUCUGAAUCUGAUUUCUGCUCAAGUCCCUCAAUUUCAGCCAGAAAAUACCUGAAAUCACAGAAAAACACACAAACUCAUAGUAAAGUCCAGAAAUGUGAAUUUAUCAUAAAAACUAAUGAAAACAUCCCUAAAAGUAGCUAGAUUCUACUAAAAACAUACUAAAAACAAUGUCAAAAAGCGUAUAAAUUAUCCGCUCAUCAAGAUUCUAGCAGCUUGCACCUCAAAGAUCCCUAGUUUCUCCAUUACAGAGAGUGGCAUUAAGUUUAUUCCUGACCCCAGGUCACACAGAGCCUUCUCAAAGGUCAUGGUGCCUAUGGUGCAGGGUAUUAAGAAUUUUCCUGGAUCCUGUUUCUUUUGAGGUAAUUUCUGCCUAUCCAAUGCAUUUAGUUCAUUGGUGAGCAAGGGAGGUUCAUCUUCCCAAGUCUCAUUACCAAAUAACUUGGCAUUCAGCUUCAUGAUUGCACCAAGGUAUUUAGCAACUUCCUCUUCAGUAAUGUCUUCAUCCUCUUCAGAGAAAGAAUACUCAUCAGAGCUCAUGAAAGGCAGAAGGAGGUUCAAUGGAAUCUCUAUGGUCUCUAGAUGAGUCUCAGAUUCUUUUGGUUCCUCAAAGGGAUACUCCUUAUUGGUCACUGGACGUCCCAGGAGGUCUUCCUCACUAGGAUUCACGUCCUCCUCUUCCCUUGUAGGUUCGGCCAUGAUGGUCAAUUCAAUGGCCUUACACUCUCUCUUUGGAUUCUCUUCUGUAUUGCUUGGGAGAGUACUUGGAGGGAUUUCAGUGACUCUUUUACUCAGCUGGCCCACUUGUGCCUCCAAAUUCUUAAUGGAGGACCUUGUUUCAUUCAUGAAACUCACAGUGGCCUUAGAUAGAUCAGAGACUAUAUUUGCUAAGCUAGAUGAAUUCUGCUCAGAAUUCUCUGUCUGUUGCUGAGUGGAUGAUGGAAAAGGCUUGCUAUUGCUAAACCUGUUUCUUUCACCAUUAUUAAAGCCUUGUUGAGGCUUUUGUUGAUCCUUCCAUGAGAAAUUUGGAUGAUUUCUCCAUGAGGGAUAAUAGGUGUUUCCAUAGGGUUCACCCAUGUAAUUCACCUCUGCUAUUGCAGGGUUUUCAGGAUCAUAAGCUUCUUCUUCAGAAGGUUGUGCUUUAGCUUCCCUUAGCUUCCUCUUCAGAGUCCUUUCAGGUUCAAGAUCAACCUCAAUAAGAAUGUUCUUAUCCUUGCUCCUGCUCAUAUGAAAAAGAAGAAAACAGAAAAAAAAAUAUAGAAUCCUCUAUGUCACAGUAUAGAGAUUCCUUUAUGUGAGUAGAAGAAUAUAUGAAUAGAAGAAGGAGAAUUCAAACACAAGGGUGAGGAGUAGGUUCGAAUUCUUGGGUGAAAAAGGAAUGUUAGUAGAUGAAUAAAUAAAUAGAAGAAUUUUCGAAAAUUAGAUAAAAUAAAAUAAAAGUAUUUUUGUUUUUAAAUUAAAAAUUAAAAUUAAAAAUUCAAAACUUAAUCAAGGAAAAUUAAAUCAAAUUAAUUAAAUUUAAAACAAUUAGUUAAUUUAAAAAGGAAUUUUGAAGAAGAGGGAAGGGAUUUUCAAAAAUUAGAGAGAGAGAGAGAGUUAGUUAGGUAGUUUUGAAAAGAUAUGAUUGAAAUAAUAAACUUUUAAAAUCGAACAAAAAGUCAAGUAGUUAAUUAAAAAAGAUUUGAAAAUCAAUUUUUGAAAAGAUAAGAAGUUAGAAAAGAAGUUGGAAAAGAUUUUGAAAUUGAUUUUGAAAAAGAUGUGAUUGACAUUUAUUUUGAAAAAGAUUUGAAAAAGAAAUUUAAAAAGAUUUGAUUUUUGAAAUCAAAGUUGAUUACUUGACUAACAAGAAACUUGAAGAUAUGAUUUUAAAAUUUAAAAAUUGAACCUUUCUUAAUAGGCAAGUAACAAACUUAAAAAUUUUGAAUCAAUCACAUUAAAUGUUAACAUUGAAUUCGAAAAAGAUAAGAAAAAGAUUUUGAAAAUCAAUUUGAAAUUUUCGAAAAUAUGAAAGAAAAAAUGAAAAAGAUUUGAGUUUUGAAAAAGAAUUGAAAAAGAUAAAAUUUUUAAAUUGAAAAUUUGAUUUGACUCAUAAGAAACAACUAAAUUUUAAAAAAUUUUGAAAAAGUCAACUCAAAUUUUCGAAAAUUUAUGAGUGAAAAAGGGAAAGAUAUUUUUUUAAUUUUUAAACUUUUAAUGAUGAGAGAGAAAAAUACCAAAAAGACUCAACGCAUGAAAAUUGUGGAUCAAAACAAAUGAUGCAUGCAAGAACACUAUGAAUGUCAAGAUGAACACCAAGAACACUUUGAAGAUCAAGAUGAACAUCAAGACUUAUUUUUGAAAAUUUUUUAGAAAAGAAAAACAUGCAAGACACCAAACUUAGAGAUUUUUCAUGUUUAGAUACUAUGAAUGCAAAAAUGCAUAUGAAAAACAACAAAAGACACAUAACAAGAAAAUAUGAAGAUCAAACAAGAAGACUUGUCAAGAACAACUUGAAGAUCAUGAAGAACACAUGCAUGAGUUUUCGAAAAAUGCACAAAUUUUAAAAAUAUGCAAUUGACACCAAACUUAAAAACUGACACAAGAUUCAAGCAAGAAACACAAAAAUUAUUUUUGAUUUUAUGAUUUUAUAAUAUUUUUUUUUUUGGAUUUUUCGAAAAUUAUUUUGGAAAAACGAAAAAAGAAUAAAUUUUUUUAUAUUAUUUUCGAAAAUAAGAAAUAAAAAGCUUAAAAAUAAAAUAAAAUUACCUAAUCUGAGCAACAAGAUGAACCGUCAGUUGUCCAAACUCGAACAAUCCCCAGCAACAGCGCCAAAAACUUGGUGCGCAGAAAUCGUGACGGUUCCAUUCCUUGGUAACGGCGCUAAAAACUCAAUACGCACGUUCAUAAUCUUAGUUCUUUGUCACAACUUCGCACAACUAACCAACAAGUGCACUAGGUCGUCCAAGUAAUAAACCUUACGUGAGUAAGGGUCAAUCCCACGGAGAUUGUCGGCUUGAAGCAAGCUAUGGUAUAGGAUCCAUUGAUCCUUUUGCGUCUGUCACUAUGCCCAGCACUCGCGAGUUUGAAGCUCGUCGCAGCCAUCCCUUCUCAGAUCCUACUCGGAAUACCACAGACAAGAUUUAGACUUUCCGGAUCUCAAGAAUGGUCGUCCAUGGAUUCUAACUUAUACCACAAAGAUUCUGAUUAAGGAAUCCCAGAGAUACUCAUUCAAUCUAAGGUAGAACGGAAGUGGUUGUCAGGCACGCGUUCAUCGGUUGGGAAUGAUGAUGACUGUCACGAUCAUCCAUUCAUAUUGAAAUGCGAAUGAAUAUCUUAGAAUCAGAAUAAGCUUGAAUUGAAUAGAAAAACGAUAGUACUUUGUAUUAAUUCAUGAGGAUCAGCAGAGCUUCACACCUUAAUCUAUGGUGUGUAGAAACUCUACCGUUGAAAAUACAUAAGUGAUGAAGGUUCAGGCAUGGCCGAAUGGCCAGCCCCCAAACGUGAUCUAAAGAUGAAACUAAAGAUGUAAAUACAAUAGUAAAAAGUCCUAUUUAUGCUAAACUAGUUACUAGGGUUUAUAGAAAUGAGUAAAUGAUGUAGAAAUCCACUUCCGGGGCCCACUUGGUGUGUGCUUGGGCUGAGCAUUGAGCUUUACACAUAUAGAGGCUUCUCUUGGAGUUGAACGCCAGUUUGUAACCUGUUUCUGGUGUUUAACUCCACUUUGCAACCUGUUUCUGGCGUUUAACUCCAGAAUGCAGCAUAGAACUGGCGUUGAACGCCAGUUUGCAUCAUCUAAACUCGGGAAACGUAUGGACUAUUAUAUAUUUUUGGAAAGCCCUGGAUGUAUACUUUCCAACGCAAUUGAGAGCGCACCAUUUGGAGUUCUGUAGCUCCAGAAAAUCCACUUUGAGUGCAGGGAGGUCAGAAUCCAACAGCAUCUGCAGUCCUUCUUCAACCUCUGAAUUUGAUUUUUGCUCAAGUCCCUCAAUUUCAGCCAGAAAAUACUUGAAAUCACAUAAAAACACACAAACUCAUAGUAAAGUCCAGAAAUGUGAUUUUUAUUUAAAAACUAAUAAAAAUAUACUAAAAACUAACUAAAUUAUACUGAAAACUAUGUAAAAACAAUCCCAAAAAGCAUAUAAAUUAUCCACUCAUCAAACACCCGUUGUGGGUCAAAUGAACUUGGAUAUUAGCUAUUACAGUUUUUUUGUUAGUAAUGCAAUGCUAUGUUAUGUAUUACUUAACCAACUUUAAUUUCGUAAACACCUUGCAAAACACGUACAGGGCAAUGCAAUCAUUCAUAUAAAUGAACUGUGAAUUUUUUUUUUUUGGUGCAACAAUACAACACACUUUUUCAUUCCUUUAUCAAUUCUUACAACUUAGAACAGCAAAACUCAACACAAUGACAAUAACACAAAUACACCAUCUUAUUGAGUUUUUUUUCAUCUCUAGAGCUACUAUCCUCUUCUCCAAGCAUGUGAUCUUCAUUUCCAUGUCUUGCUUCCCGUGAUAAUCUUCAACAUCCACAAAUUCCUUCUUUCUCAUAUACUUUGUUUCUAUCAAUCCAAGUCCAACAUCGUGCUCAUCAAGCCACAAAAAAAAAUUUGCAAUACGGUUGUCUUGCCUGCAGCAAAUCAAUCCACAUAAUUCAAAAACAAAAAACUGGUAACCCUAACACAUCUUCAAGCACACCUUCCACACAGUCGGUUACCAUACCUUGUAAAAGGGACAGCCCAGAAACAAUCUGUCCAGAUUGCUUCGCGUCUUCGACAUGAAAAGGAUUGCGUUUUCUCCACAAAAGCACGUUGGUGAGAUGCCAUCUUUGCCAUCCUUCCCGUUAGGAUGCGAGCUCGAGCCGAACUAACCUCCACUUCUUUUCCAACUUGAUAAUACUCCUUCAGAUGCCAUGGAAGGAAGAAUUUCCUUUAUUCCUCUACUCCCCACAACACCCACUUCGCCGUUUCUGUGCAGACGAGGGAUUAGGGCAAAGAAAUUUGAAAAAUUGGGGGAGGUAACGAAACGGCGUCGUUUUCGUCUCCAGGGACUUAUAUGUCCUGUUUUGAAAAGCUCCUUGCCACGUGGGCUCCAUAAUGGCCAGGUCAGCGCCACCUCUGCCAGGUCAGAAUUUUCCGUCCAGUCCAAAUGCCUGAAUUCAACGGAAGGGUCGAAAUGUCCACGUUUUUCGGGGGUGAGAGACUUGAAUGUAUUUUUCCUUCCUUGAGGACAAUAAUGUCCACAAAAAAAGGUCAGGAACCUAUUUGUUCUUUAAUCUUUAAAAUAAUAUCCACCAAUUAAAAGAUAACAAGCUUUCUGCAUCUGACCCAAAAAAAUCAAAUAAUAACCCUUAAUGGACCUUAAUAUACCUUCAGCAAAAAUUAUCAUUGAGUUUUGAUCUGUUAAUAAAAAAUUUGUACUGACUUCAGACUGGUAAAAUUGGGCUUGCCAUUGGCCCACUACAGACCACAAGGGUCUCCAAUGCAUAGCCUCAUUUGUCACCUCUCUCAGAAUUGUAUCUCUUCUCCCCUUUUUCCGGAAAUAGAUAUUUUCAAUUUUUUUUAAUACUUGAGGGAAUAAAGUGUGAUCUCUCACCAUUAAUUUUAUAAGUGGGACUAAAAAUAAAUAUGAGAGAGAGCAAUAAAGGGUUAGAUUAAACAAUUCACGCCAUCCACUUUUUCUCCACUGGAGAGGAUCUGCUCCCCCUUUUCCUCGUGCUCUGCUUCCUUCAUCCACCUUGUUCUAAAUCCAUACUCGUGGUUCCAUGAAAAAAUCGCCACCGCAACUCCAUCCCCCACACAGCUGGCCGUCGCAAGCUCACAUGGGGAACCGGUACUACCUUUCCACUCCCGUCUCUUCGCUGUUCGUUGUUCGCUAUUCACAUGGAGGAAACGGCACUGCUUUCCAGCUCCCUUUGCCACUGCCUGCCGUUGCAGUUGUGUCCUCUGUUUCAGUUCCAAGGGAAGACAGCUGUUAUGAGUGGUGGUGGCUUGGCCACUAACAAAGAGAUGCAACAGACCCAAACUCCACCGGUCACCGCUGUUGUUCUGCCCUCUGUCUUCAUUGACGCUGUUUUCCCCUCCACCGUCGUGAGUUUUCGCUCGUCCAUCGCGGAAGCACCGACCUCGGCGCUGCUCCUAACUUUGUUGUCUUCGCAGAAUCGCCACAGAUCGCGGCCGUACUCAUCAUCUGUGGCGGUCGUCCGCGGGUUCGGCGCCGCCCUUGGAAGAAAUCGCCAAUUGUCCUCGGCCAUAACCGUUUCCUCCAAAUGCACCAAAUGUAGAUCUAGGUGUUCUUCUCCUGUGUGUUCUGGAAUGAGAGGUAAUUUUGAUUGCAGUUCUGGAAUUGAAUUCUAGAAUCUUGCUUGAACUGAAAUUGCUGUUGAUUCUACAGGUUGAAAUUCAAAAUUGAAAGCUAAUUCUUCUUCUUCGGUCAAAUCUGUUGCUUCUUCUUCAUUUUCUUCAAAAAUAAACAAGGAAGAAUGAAUUAUUGCUCGAUUUGCCAGCUCUGUUGAUUUUAUUUUUUGUUGAGGUUGAAUUGUAAAAUUGAAAUCUGUUGCUUCCUGUUCUGUGUAUGCAGAAGUCAUUGCUAAGUCCAAAAGUUUUGGUGCUGCAUUCUUGACUUGUGCAUCUGAUAUUUGUUGAAUUUUCUAUCUCUGAAAUUUCUGCUUCUAGAUUUUGGUUGAAUUGUCUACUUCUAGUUUAUCUAGAAUUGUUAGAUCCAGUGUGUCUAUUGAUGAUUUUGUUGCUGCAUUCUCUAAUUCUUUAUUCUCAUAAAUCGAGUAUGAAUUUUGGAAUUGCAGAACUGGAAUUGAUGAAUUUGCUAUUUCUGAAUUUGUUGAAAUAUUGAUGAUUGGGUGAGAAUCUGAUGCUGAUUUGGCUUGAAUCUAUUGAUUAGCGUUCAAGGUCGCACAAAUUUUGGUGCAAGUUGUUUGAAUUUCUUCAAGUAUCUUGGUACGUUCUUGAUAAUAUGAAUUUAAGCUUUGUAAAUUAGUUUGAAUUUAUCUCAAAUGGAAUCCGCAGAAUUACUAUGAGAGUUUAGUAUGGUGAGAAGAGAGAAUUAGAGAUAAUAAAAAAGAAUAGAAGAAAAAUCUUUAGAAGUAGGACAAAAGAAAAAAAAUAGAAUUUUUAAUUAUAUCAUACAUAUUUCACAUUAUUACAUCAUACUCUUAUUUAUAGUAUAAUUUUCAUUCUCUAGUUGGAUUAGCUCAAUACUAAUCCUAUCAAGAGCACACAACAAAAAUAGGUUGGGAAGCAACCAGUAAGUAAAAAGAGAGAGAAGAGGUUAAUUGAUAAAAAACAAAAACAAACAGAAAAAACAUUUUUUUUUAAAUUAAAAUUAUUUUUAAGGUUAAUUGAUUUUUUUUGAAAUAAUUUGAUGAUUUAAAUUUUAUUUUAGUCGUUACUGAGCUAUUAUGUAUGCUUGUUUCGUUAAUAAUAAACAUCAUCACUGUAUGAAUGUGGUGAUAGCUAGGUAAGGUUAUAUGAGCACCUUCGGUGUGCUCUUAUGGCUUUACCUGUGUUUUGCUACUGCAAAGUUUUAACCACCAUGAAAUAAAAGAUCUUCAAGUAUAUUAUGUUUUAAUUUCUUUGAAAUUAAUGAAAAUCAAACACUUC